rnacentral:lncRNA from 1 species
GAAUGAGAUGAGAUGCAAAAGAGGUGGGUUUUCUGUCUUGACUCAUGGUCAAAGUACCCAGUGCAAGUGAAAUUUUACUUAGGAUGACCAUAUCUGACAUUACCCGGACCUAUGAAUGGGGUGCUGAUGAGGGGCGAUGAUGUUCAACCUUUUCUGAAUUGCAUGCCAUUGAGCAAUCAAGGCAGCUGUGGGUAUCUAAUUUGAGCUGAUCUCUCCCCUCUUGAAGCCUAUUUAACCAUCUCUUAUUGUUUGUGGUUCUGUGCCUAGGAUGGUCAUUCAGAUAUGCGACAACCAGCGCAGUUCCACUUAUAUUAGGAUGAGUAAAUUGUGCAGCAAGAGGUGUGAGGGCUUGGCUUGUAUGAUCGAGCAAAGGCGAAGCUGAGCCCUCUUAGUACUAUUUCAAUACUAACAGCAUUGUCUUGCUGUACAAUUCAUAGUUUUCUUUGUCUCUUGUUUGAGUGUUUCAUCUUUCAACUAUUGCCAGCCUUCAUUCUGAAGUCAGAAUUCGGCAUUAGGGACUGCUCUUCCAUGCACUUGCAUGGAUGCCCUUUUGGGUAGCAGCAUCAAAUUAAGAGAAGAAUGUUUCCCUUUUUCUAAGAGUUGAUUCUUUUCUAAGAGUGUCAAUUUCACUUACAUGCAUGCCUUUUAGAAUUUGGGAAUGCCAUCUGUAAAUGGACCCAGUAUAUACAAAAUGGGUUGCUGAUGAGUGGCAAUGAUGAUCAGCCCUUUUUAAGGACAUGCCUUUGAUAAAUCGAGGCAGCUGUGGCGUCAAAUUUGACCUUGAACCUCUGUGUUGCAGCUUAUGCGAUCAUUCCUUGUUUGACCUUGAACCUCUCUCUCUGCCCUCCUUUCCUGGUGGUGAUGGCAACUAGGCAAGCCGUGGCCCCCUUCACACAUCAUCAUCAGGCCCUUUGCUGGUGACGAGCAUCCACCAGGUAUGCUCGCCCCUUCUCUUCCCUUCCUGUUGUGCUAAACAGAGCACCCCAAACCCUAAUGUAAGCUAUUUGUAUUCGGAUCUGAUCCAGUUACAAGUAUAUGUAUGUGUUAUACCUACAAGCUUUGAUUUUAUUUAUUUAUUUUUUGCAAAAAAAAGUCAGGUGUACAUGUGUACGCCCUUGUCCUAUACUUGGUCUGUCCUCCCCGCUCUUCAGCAGCCGCAAGCAGGGCAGUGGUGGCAGCAAGGGGUCGGAAUUGCAAGUCAGGCUUUUGUUUUAAGCACUUUCUGCUUGCAAUAUUUUUAUUUGACUUGGAAUUUUCAAUGCCCCUCUUGAAACAUCCCCUCAAUAAAAGAGAAAAAGGAUAAAAGAAAUCUCAAUCAAUGUUCACUCUACUUCCACUGCUGUAUGAUCUUCGUUUUUGUUUGUUCUACUCUUGAGUGGCUAUGAUGAUUCAUCUGUAGCAUUGUUUUAGCUGGUACCUGGGAUUUUUGUUCUAUUUGUUGCUUAACUAGGAUGGCUUGUACAUCAAGUAACCAGUUCUACAGCCAACUGCGGCAGCUGAUGGCUGUUACCGCUGAUACUGAUGACAGCUGGUGGCCCGUCUGAACUGACAUUGCUGUUUCAUUUAAGGGGAGAGAGAGAGAGAGCUUAGAUUGUGUUGCAGCUGAUAUGGUACCUAAUCUGCUAUUUGAUUUGAUUUCUUCAAACCUUUUGUUUUUUACUCUUUUGAGCUCUUAUCUACUUAUUUCUUUAUGCUCUUUUGCAAGUCCUGCAGUUGAUGCUCUACCAAUCCGCGAUUCUGUCUUGCGUUGCUGCCACUGAUCUCAAGGGUUGUUCUUCACUUCCCUUCCUGCUGGAUUCGAACCUGGGACCUGGGUCAAUAUUAUUGGGACUAAUAUGUCCAGUCAGUUCAAUCUCACGAGUGAGCUUUGGCUUCCUGCAAGAAUGAAUAAGAUAAAAUUCCAAUGAGGGGCAAUGAUCAGCAAUGAUGUCUGAUAUAAGCGCCUUUGAGGCAGGCUGCUCUGGGCAUCAAACUGGAAUCUUCCCUCUCUUGGAAACCUUAUCAACUAUGCGCUAAUGGCUUUGUCCUUGGAUGGUCAUGCCAUUCUUCAUGGGUGAUAACCAGGACAGCUCCUCUUUCAGAACAGGUUGAUAGGGUGGUAAGAGAAGGUGGGGAAUGCAGUUAUAUGAUUGAGCAAAGGCGAAGCUGAGCCCACUCAAAUGUUUUACUGCUACCCACAGUAUUUUAUGUGAUCGGUUUUUUGUUGAAUAUGUUGUUGCUUUGUGUUUUAUGUCUAACCUAUUUACCAACUUACUUUCUUUUUGCUGUAUUUGUAUAACUCCAUGCAGUUACCUUGCCAAUUGCGUUCAUUGGCAAGUUGUGACAUUUCUUAAUUUCUGCAGUUUAAUUCUGCUAUAUUUGUUUGCAGUAUCCUGCUGCAAUAUCAGUGGUUACAUUACCUGAAGAUACUUUCAGCUAGCUUAGUGCAUCUACAAAUUUCUUGCAAUAAUUUAUUGAGUUAUGUUGGACCUCCGUGAGUUUGGACUCUGGAGGCAUUGUGUUAUUGGGAAGUACUAACUUUGGUCAUCACAACUAUUAUAUCCAUGCUGCAUUGAUAGUGAUGCAAGUUAUAUAUAUUUUGGGUCAUUGGGUCAACCCAAAAAGUUGAUAAAAUGAACUAGAAUGGUAUUCCACGUAAAUAAUUUGGGAGGAUAAAUAAACUAGUGCCAUGCCAUCGUAAUUAAUUUGACCCAGAAAACGCUAUUGGGUACCCACUUGCAUUCCUUUUGUUUUUCGGAAUUUUUUUGUCACUUUUGUCUGUUGAUCUUUCUUUCUUCUUUUGUACUGUUCUUCCGUGGCUGUGAUGAUUGGAUGCCCCAUAAAAGUGUUGCUUUUUAGCAUCCCUGAAUUGUUGUUUGCUUGGGCAUUUUUCUCAAUUUACUGCAUUAACUAGGAUGGCUUGUACCAUAACAAGUAACCAGUUUUUGCAACUAAUUGUUGUCAUUGCUACUGCUGUGGCUGUGGUGAUGGUGGUGUUGGAGGAGAUCUAUCUAGGAAUGAAUGAUCCUACUUGAAAAGUUCAUUGUGUUGGUAUUGGGGCAGAUCUGAGCCAUUCAAGUGACAUUACUGUUUGUUCCAUCAUUCGCUCGUACAAAGUUAUAUUUCUCGUUUGCUGUCUACUUAUAUUCCUUAAUGUUAUCCAGUACUCUCCAGUGAGUGAUUUCAACUUGGGAUAUGGAUGAUGGCAAUGGGACUAACAUUUCAACUCCUGUCUCCCGUCUCGUAAAAUUUGUAAUGCAUUCAGGCUUGGGUAGAUUCCUUGUUUUGUUUGUUGGGAUGCCCCAGCUUACUUGGAUGAAUUGAUCAUUUUCUUUUGGGCGGGUGGGGAGAUUAUAUUGUGCUUCCACUGUAAGUUUUUUUUUUCCCAAACACACAGGAGGAGCUGCGUAUCACUAUAUGAAGAAAACUAACACUGUAAGUUGUCAUGCUGAUAGUGGGUAAAUUUGUGCCAUUUAAGUGACCUCUUUUUUCUUUAUUGGACCCUUGUUUGAAUAACCGCUUGAAUUUCCGGAGUCUUUCAAUGACAGAUCAUGUUGAGAUGUGUCAUGGAUUAACUUUGGAAUAGGUUUGGAAAUCUAAAACCGGCUAAAUCACCCUAUGAACUAUGCAAAAUCUUCUAGACAACCCCCUGGUGGAUUUGAAGGGUGGUUUUGCCGCUGUUGCAUCUUAUAUGGCAGCUAAGAUGCUCUUUGAAUUGCUUCGAACUUUUAUUCUGUUUGGUACUCUUUUGAGCUCUUAUCUGCUUAUUCCUUUAUGCUCUUUUGUAUGUCCUGUUGGUGCUCUACCAAUCUGUGAUUUUCUUGCAUUGCUGAACCUUAUCCCAAGGAGUGUUUGCCCUCCUCCUGAAUCUGAACCUGGGAUCUUGGUCAAUGUUAGUGGGACAGAAAGUUGAGUUAAUUCCACCUUACUAGUUCCUGCCUAAGUUUCCUUCAAGAGCGAAGAAGUGAAAUCCUCAAGGGGCGAUGAUCAACAACCAUGGCUGACACAAGCACCUUUGAGCAAUCGAGGCUAUUGCGGGUAUCAAACUGGAAUCCUCCCUCUCCUCUCUUGGAAACCUUUACAACUAUGAUCUAAUGAUAGUGGCUUUGUCCUUGGAUGGUCAUGCCAUUCUUUAUGUGUGAUAACUAGGGCAGCGCCACCUAUCAGAAUAGGUUGAUCUGGUGCAAUGUUAUACAGUCGUCCAACUAAUCGCGGCUAGUCGGGCUUAUCGCCCCCCUAGCAUCGAUAAGGACCAACGACUAGGCAUGAGCGACUAGAAAGUUAGUCAUCCGGUUAGUCGUCGCCUAAUCGUGAUUAGUCGUCUGAUUAGGCUUAAAAACGAUCAGGUUUGAGAGUUGAGACAUUGGGUUUUGGCUGGUGGGUGGUGGGCUACUUGGUUGGCAAUUAGGCCCAUUAGGCUACAGGUGCUACUGAGAGCCAAAAUCGCCCGCAAUGCGUCGCCGCUCGCCUACCCAAAAUCGCCUGGCACCAUCCAGCCACCCAGGAGGCCGCUGUCGUCGGGGAGCUGCCCAUGAGCUUCACGUGCCUAGGAGCUCCCCGUCUUCCCAGUUGGCUCGAAGCUUGCUGCCGCCCAGCCCUAGGAGGUCGCACCGUUCGUGAGCAAUCCACAACUUUAAGAUGAGCUCAUCCUCUGAUGGUACGUUUUGUGCUCUGAUCUGCUGCUCUUGCUUUUAUGCUUGCCCUGCUCUUGCUCUAAUCUCCUCAGCUGCUGCUCUGCUCUUGCUCUGCUCUCCUCUGCUGCUGCUCUAGUGCUUGCUCUGCUCCUGCUUCAAGUUGCCAACUGACCAUCAUUUGUGGUGUUGAUGCUUGCUGAAUACUAUGCACUAUAUAGUAUACAUAUCAUAUCGGUCCUUGUAUGUAUGGACGACUAGGACCGACUAGAACCGACUAAUCGGAUCUGAUCGACGACUAAUCGUGACUAAUCACCUUAUCGGUGCCAUGGCAACUAGGUCCGACUAGAUGACUGUAUAACAUUGAUCUGGUGAUAAGAGAUGAUGGGGAUACAGUUAUAUGAUGAGCAAAGGCGAAGCUGAGCCUACUCAAAUUUUAUUGCUACCAGCAGAUCGUUUUAUGGAGUUUCCUUCAUUUUUUAGUUGAAUAUAUUUUCGCUCAUUUUUAUUCUCUCCAAUUUUUUUUGUAAUACUUUUGGAGUUAUGUUUUAGGGUCCUGUACUCCUGUUGGAGCUGGGGUGAGUUUGGACUUUGGACUCUGGAUGCAUUGUGUUUUUGGCAGUUACCACGUUGGGGCCAUCUCAACUACUAAUACACAUGCAGUGUUGAUCCAUUUUGCCACUUUCCAUGCACUAUUUUGGGUUUUCAGAUUGUUUUCUGGUGUCACUUUUGUCUUGAUAUUCCUUUCUUGUUUUGCACUGUUUUUCAAUGGCUGUGAUGACUGAAUGCCCCAUAGAGCUAUUGCCUUUUAGCAGCCCUGAACGUAUGGAUAUUUUGCUCAAUUUGCUGCUGAACUAGGAUGGCUUGUACCAUGGAAAGUAACCAGUUUUGCAACUAAUUGUUGCCAUCGCUGCUGCAGUGGCUGUGGUGUCGUAAUGCAUAUUGGAAUGAACAAUCAUACUCAAAAAGGUUCAUUUAGCGCCGCCACCCCUCCUCGCCGCCGCCUGAGCGGCCCCCAGAAGCCCUCGUGGCUGCAAGGAAGGUGACGGUGGGGCUCCACCAUCCUCCUUUCCUUCCCACCCUCGCGCUCUUCUUGGUGGCACCCAUGGCGGAAGCGGCGGUCGCCGGUCAUCCGCGGUCGGAUUUGCGCCCUCAGCCGUCGGAUUCUCACCCUAGGCUGCUAGAUCCGCUUCCCUCGUGCCUUAGCGUGUUGGGAUUUCUGAUGGCGGUGGUGGGUCCGGCAAAGGUGGCGCCUCGGGGUCGUACUCUCCGCCUGCGGCCUCAUCCUCCUGCGGGCAGCUCCCCCUGACCCCCCUCUCGACCAUUGAGGUGAGGUGCGUGGGUGACCCCCCUCUCGACCAUUGAGGUGAGGUGCGUGGGUGUUGAUUUCACGGAGUGCUCAGUCGUGGUGUCUGUGGGCUCACGGUGCUGCUGCAGCGGCGGAGAGCAACGCGGGGGUUGACGGCGCCAAAAUGGCGCCCUAGCCUGUGCGUAGGCGGAACGACGCGAGGCCGCAGCACUCGGUCGCUCUUUGGCUCGGCCACUAUGUACCGUUGGUGCCUCGGCUGGGCCAUGGUGUUGCCGCCAUCUACGGCGCCUGCGGCUCGACUACGGCGGCGUCGACGACUGGUGCUGCACCGCCGGCAGCCUCGUCCACGAUCGGCGGAGCUUUGGCUGCCACGGUCGCGUCUGCGAUUCGGUUGUGGCGGCGUCGGCGGCCGGUGCGGGCAUGGUUGCGACUGUGACUAGCCGUGGCGGCGCAUGCAGCCAGCGCGCCCCAAUGAUGCCGGCGAUGUCUUGGGUGGAUGGCCUACAGUGGGUGCUGGGCGAAAGCUCUACCUAGCAUAAUGCUAGGCCCGAUGACGGUGAUGCCUUGGGGCACCAUCUUCCUUCUUGAAGGCGUUGUCGUAGCACCACUUGCUCCAAUUCCACUCAGGGGGGAGUGAAAACCUAUUUUCAAUCUUCCAAUUUAGUGAUGGCGAUGUGUGUUUGACGUCGUCCCUUGACGAAGGCAUCACUUUGGAGAUACCCUUGAAGGCAUCGCUUUGGAGAUACCCUCCUGCCACUUCUCAGGACCACCCAUGGUGAUGCUCAUCCUCCUUCCACACCAUCCAUACAUACACUUCUUCCAUCGGUGGACAAUGGUUGUCGACUUCUAUCGUGAUUCGGUGACUGUUCCCUAGCACCUCUGCUCCGUUAGUGCUCUCCUUGUUGAUGGUGCCAUCAAAUCUUAUGCCGCCAUCAAAUCUUAUGCCGGGUAGUUCCACCUCUACUACCAUUCCUCUCGAGGUUUCCUCCCCUUGUACGUCGUUGGGUGGCGGUACGUGGAUCCCGGAUGUGCGACAAAUGUGGCGGUACGUGGAGCCCGGAUGUGCGGCAAAUGUGGCGGUACGUGGAGCCCGGAUGUGCGGCAAAUGGUGUUAGUCUCCUUCAAGGGAGGUCCCCGUGUCCAGCGUGUUUUGGUUUGCGUGCCUCCUGCCACCUUUAGUCCCCAUUUCGUUGGCCUAGCUCUCUACGCGUUUUGGUUUGCGUGCCUCCUGCCACCUUUAGUCCCCAUUUCAUUGGCCUGGCUCUCUAAUAGAGGGUGACAAUGGAGCGGUGGCUCUCUAAUAGAGGGUGACAAUGGAGCGGUGUAGUUAAAGGGGUGGAUUGGAUGUGCAAUAUCCAUGAUGUACCUGGCGAGCAUGUUGUUCAUUGGAGACUCAAAUCGGCGAUUGAUGGUUCUUCAGCCUAAAUCAUGGCCUUUCACCUGGCGAGCAUGUUGUUCAUUGGAGACUCAAAUCGGCGAUCGAUUGUUCUUCAGCCUAAAUCAUGGCCUUUCACUUGAGGUGUCUGUAUUGUGUUUCUACGUAUGUUGUACUCUGGUUGUAAACCUCUCAUGUUUUUCUCUUGCUAAAAAUUAAGACCGGUUUUGGCCUACCUGAGGCUCCAUAAUGAAAUUUAGGUAGGGAUUCUCUCCCCCUCAUGACCCUUCAAAAAAGUUCAUUUAGAGAGGGAAGGAGGGUAGGAAACAUUGUGUUGACAUUAAGGGCAGAUGUGAGCCAUCCAAGUGACUUUGGCUCAAAGUGACUUCUGUUCCGUUCGUUGUUUCCUACUUCAGCUUCAGUUAUAAUUCUCUCCUGUUCUCUAUCUACUUAUUCGUUCUUGCUAUCCAUUAUUCUCCGAUCAUUUCAACACGAGUCUUGGUUCAUGGUAAUGCAAUAAUGGGACUAACAUGUCAACUCUUGGUCUCAUCGUAGUUUCCUUGUUUUGUUUGUUGGGAUGCGCCACCAGCUUACUUUGACAAGUCUUUUCUUUCCUGCAGGCUCUCAUAUUUAGCUUACUGGUUUUUCAAUUUUAAUGAACGAUCUGAUCACCAAUUGAUCUAGUUGAAAUUGUAGAGUGAUGUAAGUUUGAGCAAAUUGUUGGAUUCUUACAAAAUAGUAAGCUGGAUUGUACAAACUAGGAUCAAAAUUUGUUUAUUUGUUUUUAUUCUACUUGUAAAAGUUGAUUCCACAAUCAUAUAGGCCCUUAAGGCCUUAAUAAAGCAACAAAUUUGUCCAAAGAAACUAUUAUGUUUUGGCUCAACCUAGCACUUAGAUUUUCGUUCUAUUAUUUCAGCAGAUCAGGUGGCCAUCCAUCUUCUCUCCUACUUAACGCUAUCAUUGCCUUCCACUGUGAUGCACUAUUGGUUACUAUUGCUCGUCGGUGUCCCCUCUAUGGCCAUUGGUUUUUUUGGGUUGCUUCACCUCACUCUCACGCUAGCCCCUACUUCGGCCUUUCUUCGCCGGCUUCGACUGUCAGAAUCUAUACACCUUUCUGUCAUCUAGUCCUGCUAAUUGGGCUGGAAUCCAAGCUAUAAUCAUACCCAUCCAUUCCCAGGAGGGAAAUAAAUACAACCCACCCAAAUCCAUACCUUUGCCACUACACACCGUACCACCCUAAUCUUUUUAAUGUUUAUUAAGGAAACAAACUCUGGACCAACUAUGAUUUCAACACAUUAAACCCAUUAAGAAUCUGUUAGCUAGCUAGUAACCAAACUCCAUCUUCUUUGAGAUCAAUGUAGAUGUAUCUUGGAUUCCUCGAGAAAAACCCUGUGGUAAAAAUCUAAGGAAUAUGUAUGUACAAAUACGCUAUAAGAACUCCUUUAAACCUUAUAGGAAAGUAAGGAGAAAAUAGCAUAUAUGAGUGUGAUUUAAAUAAAUCACCAUGUCAUUGGUAUCCCAUUAAAAAUCUAGUGGGAAAAAUAUUGGAGAUACGACAUCUAGAUUACCCCUCAAAACAUUUCAGGAAAAAUAUGAGUAAUAUAAAUUGAUAUGUUGCUAAAACUCCUGUAAAACCCAAUGGGAAAAUUAGGAGAAAAUAUGACAACAUAUUAUUGGUAUUGCCUCUUGAUAACUUACAUGAAAAACCUUUUAAGGGAAAAAUUAUGGAUAAAUUUGUGUCUUUGAUAGUUUCCAAAAAACCCCCGGUGGGAAAAAUAGGAAAUAAGACACAUGCUUAUGUUCAUAUUACCUCGUUAAAAACUUUAACAAGAAACCUUGUGAGUAAAACUGGUGAAAGAAAAAAGUUUAAUAUGAUGCUGGUACAGGUUAAUAUUUAGGAGAUAUCUCCUCUGAUUCUGGCAAAUCUCGAAGUCGCCGCAUACCAAUUCCAUGUACCAAUUUUUGAAAUACAGAAGUUUGUAAGGACUUAGUAAAUAGAUCAGCGAGAUUAUCAUAUGACUUGAUUUGCAAGAUGUUUAUUUCCCCGCUUCCUUGUAAUUCAUGGGGAUAAAACAGUUUAGGAACAAAAUGCUUAGUGAUAUUGCUCUUUAUAUAACUUGUUUGCAUCUGUGUAAUACAAGCGGACAAGCGGAAUUAUCUUCAUAGAUAAUUGUAGGUGACUCAAUUGAACCAAUACCACAUGAUUGUUGUAUGUGGUUAAUCAUUCUGCGAAGUCAUAUAUAUUCUCGUGAUGCCUCGUAUAGAGCAAUAGUUUUAAAAUAAUUAGUAGAGGUCGCUGUCAUAGUCUGCUUAGAAGACUUCCAUGAAAUAGCUGUACCUACUGUAGGAAUACAAAUCGUGUUUUGGGAUUUUCCAUUAUGAGGAUCAGAUAAGUAACUAGGAUCAGUAUAACCAAUCAUACUGGGAUUAUGAUUUUUCUUGAAAAAUAGACCAAGAUGUUUUGUACCAUUAAGGUAUCUGAGGAUACACUUCGCUCCCGUCCAAUGACGGCGAGUUGGGUUUGCACUAUGCCUAGCCAGUAAGUUCACUGCAAAUGCGAUAUCAGGCCUAGUGCAAUUUGCAAGAUAUAUAAGUGCGUCAAUGACACUGAGAUAUGGGAUUUCUGGUCCCAACAUCUUUUCCCCAAUAUCCCGUGAUCUAAAUGGAUCUUUCCCUACUUCUAAGGAACGAACAACCAUUGGAGUUUUAUUGUGUAUGAUUUAUCCAUAUUAAAUUUCUCCAAUAUUUUCUGGAUAUAGGCUAAUUGAUGCACUAAAAUCCCUUAAGGAGGGUGCUCAAAUUGUAAGCCUAGACAAUACUUGGUCUUACCCAAAUUCUUCAUCUCAAAUUCCAUCUUUAGAUGUUUGUGUGCUUCUUCUAUAUCCUUAGGGCUGCCAAUGAUAUUUAAAUCAUCAACAUACAUGAAUCUUUACCUAUUAUUAAAGCAAGUAACGCCUCUGCCUGAUUUUUCGUCCGUCGUGGUCAUUUUGCAAAAAAACCCCUGACGUUUCAUGUAAUCAACCCGCAGUCCACUUUUGAAGAGACGGGGGGCUCGGUUGCUAAAAAGUGGAAAGGGAGGGUGUUAAAGGUGAAAGAGCUUCUCUUAGAAACAGACAUCCCAGUGCCCGUAUCCGCCUUCCCCCUCCCUCCCCUUUCGCCGGCCAUCUUCGGGGGAGGAUGUAACGCACGCCGCCCCCCGCCCCCCGACCCGCCUGCUUCACCCACGGAUCUGCGCCGUCGCCGAUCCGAUGGCUCCAUCGCUCCCCCCUCUCGCCCCUCCUCCGUCCCCUUCCGCCGCCCAUCUUGUUAUUAAUUAGUACACAGACCCGUGGAUCCCGUCCGGCAACCUCGAGCACACGCUGCACAGGUCCAGGGAUUCGGCGGGGCGCGUCGUGGAGCGGAUGCAGCACACGCUGACCGCCGCGCGGGUGCUCUGGAAGUCGCUCCUGUCCGUGCUCUCGUCGGCCAACCAGGAGGUGCGGUCCGGGUUCGAGUUGCGGGUGGCCGCGCUGCUCGACGACAUCACCGCCGCCAGCGUCGCGCGGCGGGCCGCCAUUGUCUCCGCGGGCGGAGGUGCCGUCGUCGACUGGCUGCUCGACAGCGUCAUGCGGGGGGCCACGCAGGCCGAGGCUGCCAGGGCCCUCGCGCACCUGGUGGCUGACCCCCUGGGUCGCGCCCGCCGUUCUCGGGCGCCCGCGCGCGGUUCCCUGCCUCCUCCAGUUCAUCUUCUCGUACCAGCCCACGCGCGGCAAGAAGGUAAUGACGGGUCUUCAACCUGUUUUUUCGGCUUUGGUUGAUUGCUGUAAUGUGGUUUGGUACAAGCUUGCAAUAGUUUAAUUCCACAGAAGUAUUCAGAUGUUGAGUGAGUAUAGCUUGUGGCCUAGCUUAUGAUCAUACUCAGGUGUACUUCAGUUUACGAGAAGCAGCAGCCAAAUUUUUUAAUGUUCUGGGCUCUUGCUUUUUUUGAGAUACAAUUAGUUCGUUGUACCUAACAUAUUUUCUUUUUUGAGACAGAAAUCUUCAUUCGAUGGUUCAGAUCAUUCUUAAGGGAGGAGCAUGCUUGUGGCUGCACUUAUGGAUAUCAUCACUUCAAACUGUGAUAAUGCAGACUACUCGUCGUUUCAGCCUUUGCUGCCUGCAGAUGUUGAUACAAGAGACAUUAUUUAUAUAGAUAAUACAUGUAAUGUUUAAGAUCACCCGUAGCAACGCACGGGCAUGUUUGCUAGUAUAAUACAAAAUCCCGUUCGAGAUUUCUUAAUGAGAACACAUGGGCAAACAUCAUUGUUAGUGUGUCCUUUCUUUAGAAGGAAUUCACUCAGUCGGUUGUACCACAUUUAUCCUGACUGCUUGAAGCCAUAUAAUGACUUUUGUAGUUUUACACAAUACAUGUUGCGAUUUGCGUUUGAUUCGGAAUUUGGAUUCCAUCGGGAACCUUCAUGUAUAUGUUUGAAUCAAGUGAUCCAUAUAGAUAUGCUGUCACCACAUCCAUUAACUGCAUAGAUAGAUGAUUUUGAACUGCCAAUGAUAUUAAGUAUCGAAGAGUAAUUCCACUCAUUACUAGAGAAUAAGUUUCAUUGUAAUCAAUGCCAGGUCUCUGCGUGAACCCUUGUGCUACUAAUCUCGCUUUAUAUCUCACCACCUCAUUGUUCUCAUUCCGUUUUCGAAUGAAAACCCAUUUAAAGCCUACAGGAAGGACUUUGGAAGGUGUCGGACAUCCCUAGCGAGGCCAGCCGGAACAUCAUUGAUCCCUCUCCUCACCGUCCGAGGAGGGAUCCCACUCGACCGUCCAACCCGGAGGGAGCUGGGGUGGCCAAGUGCCAGCAGGAGAAGGGUCGGGAGCAGCAACAACACCUGAAAAACAGGAGCCACAACAAGGCUGAGCUACUAAGCUCAACAAGACUUAACCGACAGGAGUAAGGCUACUCCACACUUCUAGACAUGCAAGGCUUUAUGGCUGAGGGGUUUGUUUGCCAAAAGCACUAAGUAAAACCCUAUUUUCAAGUUUUAGCUCCGGUUCUAAGUUCAUUAACCGGUCUAGGUUUUGCACCCUAUUCUAAGCAAUCAUAGAACCAAAACAAGGUAUGUAUAUAUGUCAACAAAACCAUGUCAUCAUCAGAUUCCUCAUUUACUCAGGGUGACAUAGCGAUCAAGCAGUCUCAAACUGUGAGAGGCAGACGAAUCGAUUCGAGUUCUUUAACCAUGCAUGGUGAACCUAACCUCACGACAUCCGCGCACCCAGAGGUCGCUUCCUGUGUCGGCCUUCCCCAUCAAUCCCCUAACCCGUGUCGGGCCCAUUUACUUUGGUGCAAGGUUUCACAGACCCGGCCUCUACCGUUCUGUGACCACGCUUGCCACCACGUGCGACAACCAGCAGGGGAAACUCCGUUCCAAGAACAAUGGGGCGACCGCUCACGUCUAGGUUCAAUCCGGUACUAGGCUUCCUCAUCCCAUACUAAGUAUGAAGUUUGCCCCUAAUGCCGGGAAAUGGUCCUCAUUAAUAUAUGCAGUCGACGUAUCGGGUCGCGAAUAAGUCCCCUGUAAGAGGCUCGAGGUAUUUGAUAAUUGAUGGAGAUUGAUAUCCCACAUAGAUACCAAGUUUCCUAUGUGGGCCCAUAGAAGUACGCUUAGGCAAUGAGAUCGGUACGUAUACAACGCAACCGAAUUUUCACAGAUAGGAAAUAUUUGGCAUAUUCCCACGUACUAAUUGCAAUGGGGACUGCAUGAUACGCAGUUGGUCGCAAUUGUAUUAAGUCAGCAGCGUGUAAGACUGCAUGACCCCAACUUGAGGUUGGUAGGUUGCAAUUUUGUAAUAACAGUCGUGCAAUGGGUUUAAUUCUUUUAAUAAGAGAUUUUGCUAAACCAUUUUGUGUAUGGACAUAUGGGACAGAGUGCUGAACUUGAAUUCCCAAAGCCAUACAAUAAUCGUUGAAAGCUUUUGAGGAAAAUUCAGCAGCAUUGUCCAUUCGAAUUGAUUGAAUUUGAUGUUCAGGAUUAUGUGCUCUAAGUCUAAUAACUUGAGCAAUAAUUUUUGCAAAUGCAUGGUUACGAGUGGAUAAAAGACACACAUGAGACCAUCUAGUAGAUGCAUCUAUUAGAACCAUGAAGUACCUGCACGGUCCAGACAGUGGUUGUAUAGGGCCACAAAUAUCUCCUUGAAUACGUUCAAGAAAUUUUAGUGGCUCAUUUGAAUCUUAGCGGUCGAUGGCUGUACGAUCAAUUUUCCUGUAGCGCAUGAAGUGCACAUAAAAUCUGAAGAUUUAGGGAAUUUAGCAGUAUUUAACUCAUGACCAUUAGAAUUGCUGAUAAUUUUUUGCAUCAUCCCCAUACUAGGAUGGCCAAGGCGAUCAUGCCAAGUUUUGAAUGCGUCAAUAUUCGGAAAAAUUACCUUAUGCGCAACAUGUGGUACGGGUUUAAUGUAUGUAUAGUACAAUCCGGAUGAAAAAGAGGGAUUUUUUUCAAUAAUUUGUUUGCUAUAUCCGCUAUUUUUAGUAAUGAGGAGAAUUUCCUCAUUAUUGUCAUCACAUGUUUCUAUAUGAAAACCAUUUUGACGGAUAUCUCUAUAACUUAACAAGUUACGCUUUGAGUCAGGAUAGAAUAAUGCAUCCUCAAUUGUAAUUUGGGUACCCAUGGGGAGUACAACAGUGGCACUAUCAGAGCCAAUUAUUGUAGCAUCGCGUCCUGCGACUGUCAAAACAUUUCCUUGUCUUUUUGUAAGAGUUUGGAAAUACUUUGUUUCUCUAAGUAUAGAAUUAGUGGUACCACUAUCCACGAGGCAUAAUUCCUCCUCCAUCAGAUUGACCCCCAUAGGAACGUGGGUUGUUUAGGAGCAUUCGCAUGUUAGUUGUUCUCUAUUCACGAGCGCGUUGAUAACGUGUUGAAUGUGAAUGUAAAAUGAACAGAGAUUUGGGAACUCCUUUGUGUUUAUUGAUCUCUUUGGAUUAUAUACAAGUGAACAGCCGCGUUGUAUGGACGUGACUGUUCGGGAAAAGGUAACUGUUCAAUGGAACAAUCUACUAACGAAGGGACAUGUCCUUCGUAGUGCUAACUGCUUAUACUAACUAACUGCUAAUUCUCUUCCUCUGUUGAUGAGAUCACUGAGUAUAGAGAGGUGUCUGUUAGGAACAGACACACCGUUUCGUAACACAAACCAUGUUGGCGGAUGAUUGCCCGCUGAAGCCGCUAUAAGAAGACAAAUGACCAUAAUCACAUAAAUAAUCAAAAUACAUAAAAGAAAAUAGAGAAGGAAGAAAAUUGCAGCAUAUUCAGUUACAAAUAUAGACAAUGUUAUAAAUCUUGAAGUCUCAAUGACACGAAUUAUUACAAAUUAGUUCCAUCCACCAUGUUAUCCAGAAGAGGUCAAAUUAAACUACUACUAGGAAUGUCAAUUUACGACAAUACUGAAUUGCUGAAGCUAUCUGACAGAAAUGUCAUCUCCUUCAGUUGCGUCAAGAUGUGCUCCAUAUACUCCCGCUGCCAGUUAGACUCACGAUAUCUGGAACUUCUUCCCAUGCCCAUAAGUUCGAAUGCAUUCCAUAGAAACAAUCUCAUCAACCACCAUGAACCUUAUAUGUUCGAUCAAAGCCACUCGUGAACUGGUAAAUAAUCUGCAUAUGUCCUAAAUUUGUGCAGCUAUUUUUUGCCAAUGGUUAGGUAAAAGUUAGAAUUCAAGCAGCUAUCAGUGUGCAUCUGAAAGUUAGCUGGCAGUAGAUGUUGACUCGAUGCAAGUUUACCAUCUGGAUGUCAACUGAGACCUUGCCAUGGAAUUGACAGGCUUGGGAUGUGCAAAUGAACCAGAAGCUCAAAGAUGAAAUUUUCAGUCAAGAACUCAAGAUACUAUCAUCACAUUAUGCAACUACAAACUAUGGAGCUGCAACUUAUCACUACAAUAGAAAAGGCACUGAAUAGAAGGUCCUGUGUAACAAGAUAAAAUUGACUGAUCUUGCAACUACACACAAGAUGCCGAAUGAGAACAGAUACACGAGAACAGAAAGACUUUUGGAACAUCUUCUUUGACAAAAAUUAAUUUCUGGAACAUUCAACAAACACUUGACAUUGCCAUUUGCCAAUGUAACUCUUAGCUCUGAUAUCACAUAUUCUUAUUAAAAUUUGCUUAAGAUGUACUCCCUCCGUCCCAAAAAGAAUGAUUUUCGGGGAUUUUUCAGAUAGAUUAGGGGUGAAUGAAAAAGACGCAUGCACCCUUUGUUAGUUCAGUUUGCAUAUAGAAAAUGGAGAAAAUAUGUUUCCAUUUAAUGGUGCAUGUACCAUAUCAAUGCCACAAAUUAUGCAUGCAUAAGAUUCAAAUCCUAGAACGUCAUUCUUUUUGACAAUUUUUGAAUACUAAAACAUCAUUCUUUUUGGGACGGAGGGAAUAGUCGGUUAAAAAAGCAAGAUCCUGAAUCUUCAAAGUCAAUGGCAGAUUGGCAGUGUGGUAGUACUUAUUUCAACCAACCAAACAUCUCAAUCAAUCAAGAAAUCAUAAUGACAAGAUACCACCAUAACAAUAUAUAGGAAUUAUGCAUCAAGAAUUCUUACAACAACAACAUAGCCUUUCAGUUCCAAGCAAGUUGGGGUAGGCUAGAGUUGAAACCCAACAAGAGUCACAAAUCAGGGUUUGAGCACAUGAAUAGCUGUUUUCCAAGCACUCCUAUCUAGGGCUAAAUCUUUGGGUAUAUUCUAUCCCUUCAAAUCUCCUUUUAUUGCUUCUUCCCAUGUCAAUUUUGGUCUUCCUCGCCUCUCUUCACAUUACUAUCACGCCUUAGGGUUCCACUACACACUAGUGCCUCCGGAGACCUAUGUUGGACAUGUCCAAACCUUCUCAGCCGGUGUUGGAUAAGUUUUUCUUCAAUUGGUGCUACCCUUAAUCUAUCACAUAUAUCCUCGUUCCGGACUCGAUCCCUUCUCGUAUGACCACAAAUUCAACACAACAUACGUAUUUUCGCAAUAUUUAUCUAUUGGACACAUCAUCUUUUUGUAGGCCAACAUUAUGCACCAUACAACAUUGCAGGUCUAAUCAUCUUCAUAUAAAACUUGCCUUUUAGCUUCAAUGGUACCCUCUUGUCAUAUAAAAUUAUCCGAUAUGGUGUCGCUAAGAGGGUUACACCCCAACGGAUUUCUCUUGGGUUUCAUCUCCAUUAGAAUGGCUAGGUUAAACGUUGGCUCGCCAAGCCUAUCAUAACCCUCCUCCUUUACCAGGGCUUAGGACCUGCUAUGUUGAGACAACAUAGGCGGAGUUGCAGCAAGAAUUCUUACUGGUAAGAAAAAUUAAGGCACCAUACCUAAAUACUAUGAAUUACAUGCUAACACAAACAAUGUCCGCAGGUUAGAAUUGUAAGUUAGAAUUAACAAUGAAACAUAAAUAGUUGUAAGAUUAGAUUAAGCAAGGACGCAUUCCGCAGGUUGAAAAGAGCAAGCAAGCACGCAUGUGAAAACUGGAACUGAAAGAGGCAGGUGGGAGCGUUACGGCCCAAACAUUAGUGAUGCAGUCCUUCAUGUCGCUGCGGCGGCAGUCCCAGCAGAGCUCCUCGAUGGCCAGGAGCCGGCAACAGAGGUCGGCCAUGUUACACAAUCGCACUCCAUCAGGAAGACGCACUCGCGGAGGGUUUCUUCUCCUCCAGCAUCACUGUGCGCCUUCUUGUCCUCCUCGUCAUCCUCGCCUGGGGCUGGCAGCUGGACCAUCUAGAUGUGGUUGAUGUCAUGAUCCAGGCAGCGCUCCACCUCAACGUUCUCCUCCAUGUUGCAUUGUUGCUAUCACCGGAGCCGGAGUCAUCCUCGCUGGCGGCGCCCUCAGCGUCGGCUCGGAGGUGGUGUGGCGGAUCCACUUCGGAUCUACUUGGUUAAACAUGAUUUAGCCGCCUGAUACGCGACGCUCAUGCCUAAGCCGAGUAAGCACGAAGUGCCGUCGGAUUUCCUCCGAUUUAACCACUUAAACAGGACCAUUUUAGCAUACCCACACGAAGGUGAGCGGUUCCAGAGAGUACAACGAGUCCACCGAGUUAAUAACUUAACCACUUAGUUUGAUUAUGAAAUAAACAUCAGAGUUUACAAGGUUUUCAGAAGGCAACGGAGAGUAAAACCACUAGUGGAAGCAACGUCGGGGUCGGACAUCCCUGGCGAGGCCAGCCGGAACAUCACUGAUCCCUCUCCUCGCCGUUCGAGGAGGGAUCCCACUCGACCGUCCAACCCGGAGGGUGCUGGGGCGGCCAAGUGCCAGCAGGAGAAGGGUCGGGAGCAGCAACAACACCUGAAAAACAGGAGCCACAACAAGGCUGAGCUACUAAGCUCAACAAGACUUAACCGACAGGAGUAAGGCUACUCCACACUUCUAGACAUGCAAGGCUUUAUGGCUGAGGGGUUUGUUUGCCAAAAGCACUAAGUAAAACCCUAUUUUCAAGUUUUAGCUCCGGUUCUAAGUUCAUUAACCGGUCUAGGUUUUGCACCCUAUUCUAAGCAAUCAUAGAACCAAAACAAGGUAUGUAUAUAUGUCAACAAAACCAUGUCAUCAUCAGAUUCCUCAUUUACUCAGGGUGACAUAGCGAUCAAGCAGUCUCAAACUGUGAGAGGCAGACGAAUCGAUUCGAGUUCUUUAACCAUGCAUGGUGAACCUAACCUCACGACAUCCGCGCACCCAGAGGUCGCUUCCUGUGUCGGCCUUCCCCAUCAAUCCCCUAACCCGUGUCGGGCCCAUUUACUUUGGUGCAAGGUUUCACAGACCCGGCCUCUACCGUUCUGUGACCACGCUUGCCACCACGUGCGACAACCAGCAGGGGAAACUCCGUUCCAAGAACAAUGGGGCGACCGCUCACGUCUAGGUUCAAUCCGGUACUAGGCUUCCUCAUCCCAUACUAAGUAUGAGGUUAGUACUUUCAAACACUUGAUCACGAACACCACCACUGUCGGGCCUUAGCAAGUUUUCAUAGACAGACGGGGCGAUCAUCCGACCACCAAAGAGUUACCCAAACCCUGCCCCGUCCAUCAUCCUUACAGUUGUAACAGAAAGGUAGACAUCCAACUCCUACAACUCGCGAGUGACAGGGAAUCACUCGGCUUUUACCGUCUCCUAGUUAAGCAAGCAAGCAGCUACCCGGUCCAACAGCUAGUGUUCAGAUCAUGGGAGCUAAGAUAUGCAUCUAGGGUUCCAAACAACUCCUAUACGUAAAUGCACAAGCAUGUUACAGAAGGCAUGCGCAAGUCUGGUAAAACAACACAGAGUUUUCAUGCAACCGGGGCUUGCCUUCGAGCAAGGAGGAAAAGAACUGCUCGACUUCGGGGGCGACUUCGGCUUCUGGGGGUAGGAGCUCAGCUACACCGUCGUCUUCUGGCGUCGGGUGCAGCUCGUAGAAGCCGUCGGCGAGGCGCAGCUCUACACGAAUGCAAUGUAUUAGUUAGCAUAGACGGUUAUUUCAAUAGCAACACUUGCAAGUCUGAGCCCAGAAACUUGCGACAAAGAGCAGGAGGGUGGGCAGGUUCAAGGGAGCUGGUGGAGAUCAAAGGUAAGGGUUGGGAAGAAACUUAUGAUCUGAUCCUUAAACUAGAGGAUGUGGUAUACUAGGGAUCCUCAGACGCAAGCGCUGAAGGGUUCCUAAGUUUUGCACAUACACCCUCGGUUGAAGAAAAGAUCACAGCAGAGCCCUCGAGUGAGGCGGAUAGGGGUCGGCGGAACAAAUAGGGUCGGGCGAGACGGAACCGGGGUCGGGCGGAUAAGAGGGGUCGGGCAAAGCGGACUGGGGUCGGCAGCUUACCUUCUUCCUACAAGGAAAGCUUGGGGUCGGGAAGAAACAGACUUGGGCGGAGGGGCUAAGGCUUUGAAUCGGCGGCGAGGUCCGGCAGUGCUCCAGUGGCGGCGGUGCUUCUUGUGGAUCACAAGUGAGCUCUUACGGAGCACGGAGGAGCAAGCAGCUGGGUGGCUUAGGGAAAACGGAGUGGAGCAGAGAGGAGAGUUCCUCAAGAACUUAGCGGGUGGCGCUAGGAGCUUGAGUAGGGAGCAAGAGAAAUGGCGGAAGGCAGCAAUGGCGGAGGGAACUCCGGCGGGGCUCGUGCAUUCCCUUUUAUAGCGGCCGGGAAGGGAGAAAGGAAGCGGCGCGGGAGAGAGAAGGGGAGCGGCGCGAAGGCCGGGGAAGAAGCAAUGGAUUGCUCUGCCGGGGCGGCAAUUGAGCGACGAGGGCGGUGGUGCAGGACUUCGGGGAUGACGUCAGCGGUCAUUGGGCUCUGGUGUCAGGGCGGCGUAGGAGCGGGUAUGCCGGUGGUUGAGAUUUGGUGGAGGCGGACGUCGUCGUGCGGUAGAUUUGAUGGAAGUGACCGGGUUAACGACGCUAGAAUCGAGGGCGCACAGGUGAGAAGACAGGCAGCCGCGGGCGCGCGGGCGAGUGCGGAGCAACAGAUUGUCCGGUGGCUUCUAACAGGGCGGGGAAAGGAGCUGUCGCGGCCGUGGUCAGGGUUGGCGGAGGAGGGAUCGUCGGGUAGCGAAGACCAGGCGGCGCGACUGUGUUCGAAGUGACGGAAAAGACGGGUGACAUCGGGCUCUGCGGCCGGGAUCUGGUGAUGUGAUGAUGGGCGCGGGAGGCGAGGCGUUGCAGAAAGGUCGCAGAGGGGUUUCCGCUACCAUUGGGGAAGGGGGCGCGAGAAUCCAUUCGGUCGCGGGCCAGAGAUGAGGCUGAGCGGCGGGCGUCGGAGAAGAUGAGCCACGCGGCGGGGAGACUCUGAAGCGGGCAUGCAACUCGAGUGCGCCUGUCGCGGAAGAUCUGGGGGAAAAAGAUCUCGCGGGUCCACCGGUCAGAUAGAACGGACGUUUUGGGAGGACUUAGAAGGAUCCAACGGUGAGCUGGGUUUGGCGGGGUCGGAACCGGAGCAAAGCGGGGAGGGGUCGGGUCUCAGGGGUCAGGACCGGUCGGAAGGUUGAACACUUAGGCGCAGAAAACUCGACAGUGCUCAGGGGCUAGGAUUUGGAUUAACUUGGAAGAUUUGGGGGCCGGUCGUCACAGCCUACCCCUCUUAAAAGGAAUCUCAUCCCGAGAUUCAGGUAUCAAGGGGGUGUGCUGUGCUUACCUCCAUGACGAGAUAGAAAACCUGGGAAGUGCUUGUUCAGAUACUCGUCUGUUUCCCAUGUUGCUUCAUCUUCGGUGUGGUUUCUCCAGAGGAUCUUGUACAUUUUGACCAUUUGGCGCCGGGUACACCUCUCUUUCUGGUCAAGAACUCGGUCUGGGUACUCAGCGUAGGUUAGGUCGGGCUCAACCUGAAGCUGCUCUUGCUCUAAGAUCUCGGUUGGAACUUGGACACAUUUCUUCAGUUGAGACACAUGGAAAACAUCGUGUAUGGCCGAUAGCUGUUCUGGGAGUUGGAUCCGGUAAGCAACGGGUCCACAAAUCUCCACAAUCUCAUAAGGGCCAAUGUAGCGGGGAGCCAACUUGCCUUUCACUCCAAACCGUUGUACUCCUUUGGUCGGGGAGACUCGAAGAUACACCUGGUCACCAAGGUCAAACUGUAGGGGCCUUCUUCGCCUGUCGGAAUAAUUCUUUUGUCGAGAUUGGGCAGCCUUGAGAUUUGCUUGGAUUACCCUUACCUACUCUUCGGCUUCUGCCACUAAGUCAGGGCCAUAGAUCUGUCUUUCUCCUGCUUGGGACCAGUUCAAGGGUGUCCGACAUCUCCGGCCAUACAGGGCUUCAAACGGUGCCAUCUUCAAACUGGCCUGAUAGCUGUUGUUGUAGGAGAACUCUGCCAAGGGCAGGCACUUGUCCCAAUUCUUGUCAUAAUGGAUGACACAAGCUCUCAACAUGUCUUCAAGGAUUUGAUUGACUCUUUCGGUUUGACCAUCAGUUUGAGGAUGAUAUGUUGAGCUACGGAUGAGCUUGGUGCCCAUGGAUGCUUGUGACUGUUCCCAAAAGCGUGCCACGAACUGAACUCCUCGAUCAGAGAUGAUGGUCUUGGGUACACCGUGUAGGGAAACUAUGCGGUCGAGGUACAACUCUGCAUACUGCUUGACUGUGUGGGUGGUGCGGACUGGAAGGAAGUGGGCGGUCUUGGUCAGGCGGUCCACUAUAACCUAGAUGGAAUCAUAUCGCUGUGAGGUAAGGGGCAGUCCAACUAUGAAGUCCAUGCUGAUGUCUUCCCAUUUCCAAGAGGGAAUAGGUAGGGGUUGCAGGGUACCCGCUAUCUUUAGAUGGCUGGCUUUGACACGCUGACAGGUGUCACAUUUUGAAACAUACCGGGCAAUUUCCGGCUUCAUUCUACUCCACCAAAAGGUUUGACGGAGAUCAUGGUACAUCUUAUUGCUGCCAGGAUGGAUAGAGAGCUUGGAGAGAUGAGCUUCGUCUAGGAUCUGUUUCUUAAUGUCGGGGUCGGCUGGUACAACCAGUCGAUCUCCAUAAUAUACGCCUCCAGUUUCGUCCUGCCGGAAUUGCUUAUAUCCUUCAUCCUUUAAUGAGAUCUUCUUGAUGAUCCGCUUUAUUUCCUCAUCCUCCACUUGUGUUGACCGUAUUUGGUCUUCCAAAACUGAGUCAAGGGUGAUGUGGCCAAGGGUUCCAUGGGGAAUAAUUUCCAAACUGAGUUUUCCCAUCUCAUGACACAGAGUCUUGGUGAAAGCUGUUACCAACAAGCAGUUGCAAUGGUUCUUGCGACUAAGAGCAUCGGCCACCACAUUAGCUUUGCCGGGAUGAUAGUGAACUUCCAAGUCAUAGUCUUUUAUCAACUCCAACCAUCUUCUUUGGCGCAUGUUGAGGUCGGCUUGAGUGAAGAUGUACUUGAGGCUCUUGUGGUCGGUAUAGAUGUUGCAGUGGGUGCCCAUCAGGUAGUGUCUCCAUAUCUUUAAGGCAUGUAUCACUGCUGCUAGCUCAAGGUCGUGGGUUGGGUAGUUCAGCUCAUGAGGUCGUAAUGCUCGUGAGGCAUAGGCAAUGACUCGGUUGUCUUGCAUAAGAACACACCCAAGUCCAGUGCCAGAGGCGUCACAGUACACGUCAAACGACCUAGAGGGGUCAGGUUGAGCCAAAACUGGGGCUGUGGUCGGCAGGUGCUUCAGGGUCUUGAAGGCUUCUUCACACUUGUCGUUCCACGCGAACCUGACCUCUUUCUUCAACAACUCAGUCAUGGGCUUAGCUAUCUUAGAGAAAUCUGGUAUGAAGCGCCGAUAGUAGCCUGCCAAUCCAAGGAAACUCCUGAUCUGGUGCACUGAGGCGGGAGGCUUCCAUUCUAUAACUUCCCGUACCUUACUAGGGUCGACGGCUAUACCAUCCUUGGAGAUAGUGUGUCCCAAAAACUUGACGCUAUCUAACCAAAACUCACACUUGGAGAACUUGGCAUAAAGUUGGUGAUCUCUCAGCCGUUGGAGAACUACAUGAAGAUGAUCGGCAUGUUCUUCUUCGCUCUUUGAGUAUACGAGGAUAUCAUCAAUGAACACCACCACAAACUUGUCCAGUUCGGGCAUGAACACCGAGUUCAUGAGGUACAUGAAAUAGGCGGGUGCAUUGGUGAGUCCAAAGGACAUGACCAGGUACUCGUAUAGUCCAUAUCUGGUAGAGAAGGCUGUCUUGGGUACGUCGCAUGGUCGGAUCUUGAUUUGGUGAUAACCCGAACGAAGAUCAAUCUUGGAGAACACCUUUGCUCCAGCUAACUGAUCAAACAAGACAUCAAUGCGUGGCAGUGGGUACUUGUUCUUGACGGUCACAGCAUUGAGGGGUCGGUAGUCCACACACAUGCGUAGACUGCCAUCCUUCUUCUUCACAAACAGGGCAGGGCAACCCCAAGGUGAUGUGCUGGGUCGGAUGAAGCCUUUUUCCAACAGAUCAUGCAACUGGGUCUUCAACUCGGCCAACUCAGCAGGUGGCAUCCGAUAAGGUCUCUUGGAUAUCGGUGUGGUGCCAGGGAUCAACUCGAUGGAAAACUCCACCUCUCUAUCAGGUGGCAUGCCAGGCAAGUCUUCGGGGAACACGUCAGGGUACUCACAGACAACAGGGAGGUUUUCUAGACGGGCUCCCGACAAAGGGUACACACAAGGAAGUGCAGACUUAGAAUGUUUCAAGGAUAGGGUAGGUAGAACUGCCAUGGAAGGGUGAGUUGAUGUAGAGAGUUCGGGCGGCUGUGUCUAGAACCACUUCAUGUCGGGCCAUCCAAUCCAUACCGAGAAUGACAUCUAUGCCUUCUAGGUCAAGGAGGAUAAGGUUUUCCUUGAAAAGGGUUGGGCCUAGCUGGAGAGGUACAAGGGUAACGAUCUGAUCCGAUGCUAUCUUUCCUCCCGGAGUGGUGAUCACAUAAGGUUCCUUAGUGUGACCGACAUCCAGCUCAUAUCUUUCUCUAGCCUUACUCCCGAUAAAGCUAUGAGAGGCUCCCGAAUCAAACAACACAACAACAGCUUGAUGUAAAACAAGGAAAGUACCCGUCAUUACUGGCGCACCUUCGGGGAGCUCGGUCAAGCUGGUGUAGUUGAGUCUGCCUUGUCGGACUUGCACCUUGGGCCUUCUGCCUCUAUUUGCCAUGGGGUUCUGACUUUGCUGCUGAUUCUUGUUCCGGGGGCAGUCCUUAGCAAAAUGCCCUUCAUUGCCGCAGGUGAAACAGCGGCUACUAGCUGCAGGGCGGGGUGGUGCUGGUGGAGUCAGCCGAGGCACCUGUGGUUAGAAGCCGGGAGAACGGGGCGCUGCUGCUGGUGGGGGUCGGGCAAUCCACCUUCCCGACUGCUGGGGUCGGCCGGGGGCUUGUGGAGGAACCAUCCGGAACCUUCGGGUUGGCUGGCUCGGAAAUGCCACGGAGGCCUUCCUCUUCUGGUCGGCUUUGAGAGCCUGCAUGCAAUCCUCUUGAGAGAUGGCCAGAUUGACCAACUUGUUGUAGGUGUCCACCUUGAUGGGGUUCAACCUUUCCCUGAGCUCCAAGCUUAGUCCUCGGCGGAAUCUGUCCCGCUUCUUCUCGUCGGUGUUCGCGUGAUAGCCGGCAUAACGGCACAAGUCGUUGAAAGCUUGGGCGUAGUGCAGCACAUCUCGGGUUCCCUGGGUAAGGGCCAAGAACUCGUUGAGCUUGCGCUCCAGGAGGCCUUCCGGGAUGUGAUGCGCUUUAAACGCGGUCUUGAACUCGUUCCAGCUGACCACAUGGUCAGCCGGCAGCAUGGCAUGGUAGUGGUCCCACCAGAGCCGUGCGGAGCCACGCAGCUGUUGGGCUGCGAACCGGGCCUUAUUAUGGUCGGGGCACGGGGCGGUGAGAAGCUCGAACUUGGAUUCGAUCGUACGAACCCAGGCGUCAGCAUCGAGCGGUUCUUGUGUCUUCUGAAACAAAAGGGGCUGUGUCCCCACAAAGUCCUCAUAGCGAGCCACAUGCGGCUGCUGCUGAGCCCUUCCACCAUGGGGCUGCUGCUGUUGUCCUUGUACAAGAUGCCUUAGCAGCUCGGUUUGAGUUGCUAGGAUUGCCUCUAGUGGAGAUGAGGGCGGGGGCGAGGGAAGAUCCUGUCGCUGUUCGCUGCUGCCGGGCACAGAACCAGAUCUGGUGCGAUGCGCCAUCUGCAAGAGUUAGCGUUCCAUUAAAUUCCAAAACUUAGAAGUACUCCAAUAGAUGGAACGCAUGAGUUAAAUUAUCCAAUGCAACUCUUGCUGAUAACGCAACACACGUCCCCAUAGGGAAGAUACACUCCUUUCAUCCUCAUGUUAGCUAGCGUUUAUCUUAGCCUUGUACUCAACUUCGGGCGAAUCAUACCCUACCCAGACUCCUAUAAUCCAACUUAAGCCACGGGGUCAGGCGAGGCGAUCCUCCCAAGAAAAAGGGUCAGCAACGAUCCACACUAAGAAGGGGUCGGACGAGGCGGAGACUGCCUCGAGGGGUCGGCGCAUCCGAUCUCGCAUACCGGGGUUAGCCAACUUGAACAGACCCUCAGAAAAAACAGCGUGUGUGGUCGUGGCUCAACUCACUUAGUCUAACAUUCCAACACUUUGCAAGAGUUAGAGGUCAGACUCAGGAAUUGACUUCAUAUACAGCGGUGUUCCAACACAGGGAAUACUCGACUCAAGGCUAACCUAUUACAAUCCUUUCCAAAAUUUAGGCUGCCGAGUAGUACAACAAGAGAAUGAGUCCCUGGUAACUCUUAAUCUACAAAUGGACACUAUGAGUAGGAGAAGGGGCGCCGUCUUCUUCGAUAUCCAUGCUGGACGCUUCCUCAUCCUCCUCGGGGUCCUCUUGAGCUUCGAGAUGCAUAUGGAGGGCAUGCAUAUCGUCGAGCUCAGCUUGAUGCUCCUCCAAGUGAGCAUUGGCAACCGCCAGCUCCAUCUCUAUUUCCAUCUUCUCCUCUGACAGCUCGAUCAUGCCGUCCACUAGGUCAGCUACUUCGCCUUCGAGCUCGGAGAUCCGGUCUUGCAUGUCGUGUAUCUGAAUGCCUCUUUGGAGAAGCUGGUAGGUUUGGCCUACCAGGUCUCUUCUGGCUGACUGGAGGUAUCCGUGAGCAUCCGCUGCGGUCCGGGCAAAGAUGGUCAUGGCUCUUCCUUGAAGCUCGAUCAGCCGAUAGAGGGCUGUCAUGCAUCUGACGUUGGUGGAGAUGGUGACCAUGGAGUACGUGGUGGCUAGCACCUCAAUAUUUCCGACGCGGUCGAGCCACGCCGGAUCCAACUGGUUCCUGGCGGGGAACAGGCCGAUAGGGUCUAGCAUGACCUCCAGGGGAUGCAGCUGAUAGAACUGGGUGAGAAGCUGAAGAGCGGCGGACUCCCAAGUGUCCUCCGGAGCAAGGCCAUAUGCUGAUAUUCCGAAGGAGGGCAAGUCGGGCCGCACAGGAGGAGGAGGUACCACCGCCUGUACAUUGCACGUCUGGAUGCCCUGCUCCAAAUACAGUCGUCCGGCGUACAAUGGUGGGGACUGGUACCCGAACCAUUUCAACGUGUCCCACAAAAUCGCGGGGAAACCCUCGAAAUGCAGACAGGUUGACUGGAAAGUACCAUCCGCUCCAAACAAAACAUGCCCGGGGACGACCAUCUGGAACCAAGAACCAAAACCACGUGAGAUAGACUCCAAGGGUCAGGGGUCGGAUAGAGAAGCAUUCGGCUUUAACCGAGAACAACUGAAGAAACUAGAAAUCCUUAGAACCGAAAAAGAGCUCUUCCGAGCAAGGUUGCUUUUGAGAAGAGUACUUUACAGAUUUCUGCUUAUGACACAUGCACGGCCUACCUUACUCUUAACCAAAACAACUGCCCGAAACCUGGGUCUUACGUGGUCAGUGCUGGUGGCAAGGCAACAAGUACGUCUCUCCCUAUAAUAGCUAGUCGAUUCUAGCAACGUCUCUUAAGCGAACGCGGUUAGUGUACCUGCAGAAAACACCAACACACGAACCUUUCGUGCCAGCACCCACGAAAGCGUUCCCAAACAUUACCGCUCACUAUAGGAAUGGCACCCAUGCGUUUAAGGCUGCAUGGACAACACUCAACCGUGGAGAUAGGUUCCCUUUGAAUGGAACCGUAUAACCCUUCGUAUACUCGUGAUGUGGAAUCAGCACACGUAUGAUAGACGUGGCGAAUCAACCGUGCUGAUAGGUUCGUUGGAAUCGAACCAUACCAACCUUCGUAUGGAUUACAUAUGGAACCUGCGCACGUGUGAUAGACGUGGGCGAAAACAACCACGAUGAUAGGGUCCCUUGAAUAGAACUCCCUAUCAACCUUCGCACACUCGUGAUGCGGAACUCGGCACACGUAUGACAAACGUGGCGAAGUGCCGGAAGGGUUAGCAAGAUAACCAAAUAAAAUAUUAGCCACCUAAAACAACCCAAAAUCCCCUAGGGCCUCUCGCACUAAAGUCAUCCUUAACGGUCAUACGAGAUUUUUUUCAAAAAGUUUCUUGCAACUUUUAUCUUUUCAAGAAGUGUUAGGGCUUGUUGUGUUCUCUGUACUGCUAAACCGGCUCUGGUACCAGCUGUGGCAGAUCCACUUCGGAUCUACUUGGUUAAACAUGAUUUAGCCGCCUGAUACGCGACGCUCAUGCCUAAGCCGAGUAAGCACGAAGUGCCGUCGGAUUUCCUCCGAUUUAACCACUUAAACAGGACCAUUUUAGCAGACCCACACGAAGGUGAGCGGUUCCAGAGAGUACAACGAGUCCACCGAGUUAAUAACUUAACCACUUAGUUUGAUUAUGAAAUAAACAUCAGAGUUUACAAGCUUUUCAGAAGGCAACGGAAAGUAAAACCACUAGCGGAAGCAACGUUGGGGUCGGACAUCCCUAGCGAGGCCAGCCGGAACAUCAUUGAUCCCUCUCCUCACCGUCCGAGGAGGGAUCCCACUCGACCGUCCAACCCGGAGGGAGCUGGGGUGGCCAAGUGCCAGCAGGAGAAGGGUCGGGAGCAGCAACAACACCUGAAAAACAGGAGCCACAACAAGGCUGAGCUACUAAGCUCAACAAGACUUAACCGACAGGAGUAAGGCUACUCCACACUUCUAGACAUGCAAGGCUUUAUGGCUGAGGGGUUUGUUUGCCAAAAGCACUAAGUAAAACCCUAUUUUCAAGUUUUAGCUCCGGUUCUAAGUUCAUUAACCGGUCUAGGUUUUGCACCCUAUUCUAAGCAAUCAUAGAACCAAAACAAGGUAUGUAUAUAUGUCAACAAAACCAUGUCAUCAUCAGAUUCCUCAUUUACUCAGGGUGACAUAGCGAUCAAGCAGUCUCAAACUGUGAGAGGCAGACGAAUCGAUUCGAGUUCUUUAACCAUGCAUGGUGAACCUAACCUCACGACAUCCGCGCACCCAGAGGUCGCUUCCUGUGUCGGCCUUCCCCAUCAAUCCCCUAACCCGUGUCGGGCCCAUUUACUUUGGUGCAAGGUUUCACAGACCCGGCCUCUACCGUUCUGUGACCACGCUUGCCACCACGUGCGACAACCAGCAGGGGAAACUCCGUUCCAAGAACAAUGGGGCGACCGCUCACGUCUAGGUUCAAUCCGGUACUAGGCUUCCUCAUCCCAUACUAAGUAUGAAGUUUGCCCCUAAUGCCGGGAAAUGGUCCUCAUUAAUAUAUGCAGUCGACGUAUCGGGUCGCGAAUAAGUCCCCUGUAAGAGGCUCGAGGUAUUUGAUAAUUGAUGGAGAUUGAUAUCCCACAUAGAUACCAAGUUUCCUAUGUGGGCCCAUAGAAGUACGCUUAGGCAAUGAGAUCGGUACGUAUACAACGCAACCGAAUUUUCACAGAUAGGAAAUAUUUGGCAUAUUCCCACGUACUAAUUGCAAUGGGGACUGCAUGAUACGCAGUUGGUCGCAAUUGUAUUAAGUCAGCAGCGUGUAAGACUGCAUGACCCCAACUUGAGGUUGGUAGGUUGCAAUUUUGUAAUAACAGUCGUGCAAUGGGUUUAAUUCUUUUAAUAAGAGAUUUUGCUAAACCAUUUUGUGUAUGGACAUAUGGGACAGAGUGCUGAACUUGAAUUCCCAAAGCCAUACAAUAAUCGUUGAAAGCUUUUGAGGAAAAUUCAGCAGCAUUGUCCAUUCGAAUUGAUUGAAUUUGAUGUUCAGGAUUAUGUGCUCUAAGUCUAAUAACUUGAGCAAUAAUUUUUGCAAAUGCAUGGUUACGAGUGGAUAAAAGACACACAUGAGACCAUCUAGUAGAUGCAUCUAUUAGAACCAUGAAGUACCUGCACGGUCCAGACAGUGGUUGUAUAGGGCCACAAAUAUCUCCUUGAAUACGUUCAAGAAAUUUUAGUGGCUCAUUUGAAUCUUAGCGGUCGAUGGCUGUACGAUCAAUUUUCCUGUAGCGCAUGAAGUGCACAUAAAAUCUGAAGAUUUAGGGAAUUUAGCAGUAUUUAACUCAUGACCAUUAGAAUUGCUGAUAAUUUUUUGCAUCAUCCCCAUACUAGGAUGGCCAAGGCGAUCAUGCCAAGUUUUGAAUGCGUCAAUAUUCGGAAAAAUUACCUUAUGCGCAACAUGUGGUACGGGUUUAAUGUAUGUAUAGUACAAUCCGGAUGAAAAAGAGGGAUUUUUUUCAAUAAUUUGUUUGCUAUAUCCGCUAUUUUUAGUAAUGAGGAGAAUUUCCUCAUUAUUGUCAUCACAUGUUUCUAUAUGAAAACCAUUUUGACGGAUAUCUCUAUAACUUAACAAGUUACGCUUUGAGUCAGGAUAGAAUAAUGCAUCCUCAAUUGUAAUUUGGGUACCCAUGGGGAGUACAACAGUGGCACUAUCAGAGCCAAUUAUUGUAGCAUCGCGUCCUGCGACUGUCAAAACAUUUCCUUGUCUUUUUGUAAGAGUUUGGAAAUACUUUGUUUCUCUAAGUAUAGAAUUAGUGGUACCACUAUCCACGAGGCAUAAUUCCUCCUCCAUCAGAUUGACCCCCAUAGGAACGUGGGUUGUUUAGGAGCAUUCGCAUGUUAGUUGUUCUCUAUUCACGAGCGCGUUGAUAACGUGUUGAAUGUGAAUGUAAAAUGAACAGAGAUUUGGGAACUCCUUUGUGUUUAUUGAUCUCUUUGGAUUAUAUACAAGUGAACAGCCGCGUUGUAUGGACGUGACUGUUCGGGAAAAGGUAACUGUUCAAUGGAACAAUCUACUAACGAAGGGACAUGUCCUUCGUAGUGCUAACUGCUUAUACUAACUAACUGCUAAUUCUCUUCCUCUGUUGAUGAGAUCACUGAGUAUAGAGAGGUGUCUGUUAGGAACAGACACACCGUUUCGUAACACAAACCAUGUUGGCGGAUGAUUGCCCGCUGAAGCCGCUAUAAGAAGACAAAUGACCAUAAUCACAUAAAUAAUCAAAAUACAUAAAAGAAAAUAGAGAAGGAAGAAAAUUGCAGCAUAUUCAGUUACAAAUAUAGACAAUGUUAUAAAUCUUGAAGUCUCAAUGACACGAAUUAUUACAAAUUAGUUCCAUCCACCAUGUUAUCCAGAAGAGGUCAAAUUAAACUACUACUAGGAAUGUCAAUUUACGACAAUACUGAAUUGCUGAAGCUAUCUGACAGAAAUGUCAUCUCCUUCAGUUGCGUCAAGAUGUGCUCCAUAUACUCCCGCUGCCAGUUAGACUCACGAUAUCUGGAACUUCUUCCCAUGCCCAUAAGUUCGAAUGCAUUCCAUAGAAACAAUCUCAUCAACCACCAUGAACCUUAUAUGUUCGAUCAAAGCCACUCGUGAACUGGUAAAUAAUCUGCAUAUGUCCUAAAUUUGUGCAGCUAUUUUUUGCCAAUGGUUAGGUAAAAGUUAGAAUUCAAGCAGCUAUCAGUGUGCAUCUGAAAGUUAGCUGGCAGUAGAUGUUGACUCGAUGCAAGUUUACCAUCUGGAUGUCAACUGAGACCUUGCCAUGGAAUUGACAGGCUUGGGAUGUGCAAAUGAACCAGAAGCUCAAAGAUGAAAUUUUCAGUCAAGAACUCAAGAUACUAUCAUCACAUUAUGCAACUACAAACUAUGGAGCUGCAACUUAUCACUACAAUAGAAAAGGCACUGAAUAGAAGGUCCUGUGUAACAAGAUAAAAUUGACUGAUCUUGCAACUACACACAAGAUGCCGAAUGAGAACAGAUACACGAGAACAGAAAGACUUUUGGAACAUCUUCUUUGACAAAAAUUAAUUUCUGGAACAUUCAACAAACACUUGACAUUGCCAUUUGCCAAUGUAACUCUUAGCUCUGAUAUCACAUAUUCUUAUUAAAAUUUGCUUAAGAUGUACUCCCUCCGUCCCAAAAAGAAUGAUUUUCGGGGAUUUUUCAGAUAGAUUAGGGGUGAAUGAAAAAGACGCAUGCACCCUUUGUUAGUUCAGUUUGCAUAUAGAAAAUGGAGAAAAUAUUUUUCCAUUUAAUGGUGCAUGUACCAUAUCAAUGCCACAAAUUAUGCAUGCAUAAGAUUCAAAUCCUAGAACGUCAUUCUUUUUGACAAUUUUUGAAUACUAAAACAUCAUUCUUUUUGGGACGGAGGGAAUAGUCGGUUAAAAAAGCAAGAUCCUGAAUCUUCAAAGUCAAUGGCAGAUUGGCAGUGUGGUAGUACUUAUUUCAACCAACCAAACAUCUCAAUCAAUCAAGAAAUCAUAAUGACAAGAUACCACCAUAACAAUAUAUAGGAAUUAUGCAUCAAGAAUUCUUACAACAACAACAUAGCCUUUCAGUUCCAAGCAAGUUGGGGUAGGCUAGAGUUGAAACCCAACAAGAGUCACAAAUCAGGGUUUGAGCACAUGAAUAGCUGUUUUCCAAGCACUCCUAUCUAGGGCUAAAUCUUUGGGUAUAUUCUAUCCCUUCAAAUCUCCUUUUAUUGCUUCUUCCCAUGUCAAUUUUGGUCUUCCUCGCCUCUCUUCACAUUACUAUCACGCCUUAGGGUUCCACUACACACUAGUGCCUCCGGAGACCUAUGUUGGACAUGUCCAAACCUUCUCAGCCGGUGUUGGAUAAGUUUUUCUUCAAUUGGUGCUACCCUUAAUCUAUCACAUAUAUCCUCGUUCCGGACUCGAUCCCUUCUCGUAUGACCACAAAUUCAACACAACAUACGUAUUUUCGCAAUAUUUAUCUAUUGGACACAUCAUCUUUUUGUAGGCCAACAUUAUGCACCAUACAACAUUGCAGGUCUAAUCAUCUUCAUAUAAAACUUGCCUUUUAGCUUCAAUGGUACCCUCUUGUCAUAUAAAAUUAUCCGAUAUGGUGUCGCUAAGAGGGUUACACCCCAACGGAUUUCUCUUGGGUUUCAUCUCCAUUAGAAUGGCUAGGUUAAACGUUGGCUCGCCAAGCCUAUCAUAACCCUCCUCCUUUACCAGGGCUUAGGACCUGCUAUGUUGAGACAACAUAGGCGGAGUUGCAGCAAGAAUUCUUACUGGUAAGAAAAAUUAAGGCACCAUACCUAAAUACUAUGAAUUACAUGCUAACACAAACAAUGUCCGCAGGUUAGAAUUGUAAGUUAGAAUUAACAAUGAAACAUAAAUAGUUGUAAGAUUAGAUUAAGCAAGGACGCAUUCCGCAGGUUGAAAAGAGCAAGCAAGCACGCAUGUGAAAACUGGAACUGAAAGAGGCAGGUGGGAGCGUUACGGCCCAAACAUUAGUGAUGCAGUCCUUCAUGUCGCUGCGGCGGCAGUCCCAGCAGAGCUCCUCGAUGGCCAGGAGCCGGCAACAGAGGUCGGCCAUGUUACACAAUCGCACUCCAUCAGGAAGACGCACUCGCGGAGGGUUUCUUCUCCUCCAGCAUCACUGUGCGCCUUCUUGUCCUCCUCGUCAUCCUCGCCUGGGGCUGGCAGCUGGACCAUCUAGAUGUGGUUGAUGUCAUGAUCCAGGCAGCGCUCCACCUCAACGUUCUCCUCCAUGUUGCAUUGUUGCUAUCACCGGAGCCGGAGUCAUCCUCGCUGGCGGCGCCCUCAGCGUCGGCUCGGAGGUGGUGUGGCGGAUCCACUUCGGAUCUACUUGGUUAAACAUGAUUUAGCCGCCUGAUACGCGACGCUCAUGCCUAAGCCGAGUAAGCACGAAGUGCCGUCGGAUUUCCUCCGAUUUAACCACUUAAACAGGACCAUUUUAGCAUACCCACACGAAGGUGAGCGGUUCCAGAGAGUACAACGAGUCCACCGAGUUAAUAACUUAACCACUUAGUUUGAUUAUGAAAUAAACAUCAGAGUUUACAAGGUUUUCAGAAGGCAACGGAGAGUAAAACCACUAGUGGAAGCAACGUCGGGGUCGGACAUCCCUGGCGAGGCCAGCCGGAACAUCACUGAUCCCUCUCCUCGCCGUUCGAGGAGGGAUCCCACUCGACCGUCCAACCCGGAGGGUGCUGGGGCGGCCAAGUGCCAGCAGGAGAAGGGUCGGGAGCAGCAACAACACCUGAAAAACAGGAGCCACAACAAGGCUGAGCUACUAAGCUCAACAAGACUUAACCGACAGGAGUAAGGCUACUCCACACUUCUAGACAUGCAAGGCUUUAUGGCUGAGGGGUUUGUUUGCCAAAAGCACUAAGUAAAACCCUAUUUUCAAGUUUUAGCUCCGGUUCUAAGUUCAUUAACCGGUCUAGGUUUUGCACCCUAUUCUAAGCAAUCAUAGAACCAAAACAAGGUAUGUAUAUAUGUCAACAAAACCAUGUCAUCAUCAGAUUCCUCAUUUACUCAGGGUGACAUAGCGAUCAAGCAGUCUCAAACUGUGAGAGGCAGACGAAUCGAUUCGAGUUCUUUAACCAUGCAUGGUGAACCUAACCUCACGACAUCCGCGCACCCAGAGGUCGCUUCCUGUGUCGGCCUUCCCCAUCAAUCCCCUAACCCGUGUCGGGCCCAUUUACUUUGGUGCAAGGUUUCACAGACCCGGCCUCUACCGUUCUGUGACCACGCUUGCCACCACGUGCGACAACCAGCAGGGGAAACUCCGUUCCAAGAACAAUGGGGCGACCGCUCACGUCUAGGUUCAAUCCGGUACUAGGCUUCCUCAUCCCAUACUAAGUAUGAGGUUAGUACUUUCAAACACUUGAUCACGAACACCACCACUGUCGGGCCUUAGCAAGUUUUCAUAGACAGACGGGGCGAUCAUCCGACCACCAAAGAGUUACCCAAACCCUGCCCCGUCCAUCAUCCUUACAGUUGUAACAGAAAGGUAGACAUCCAACUCCUACAACUCGCGAGUGACAGGGAAUCACUCGGCUUUUACCGUCUCCUAGUUAAGCAAGCAAGCAGCUACCCGGUCCAACAGCUAGUGUUCAGAUCAUGGGAGCUAAGAUAUGCAUCUAGGGUUCCAAACAACUCCUAUACGUAAAUGCACAAGCAUGUUACAGAAGGCAUGCGCAAGUCUGGUAAAACAACACAGAGUUUUCAUGCAACCGGGGCUUGCCUUCGAGCAAGGAGGAAAAGAACUGCUCGACUUCGGGGGCGACUUCGGCUUCUGGGGGUAGGAGCUCAGCUACACCGUCGUCUUCUGGCGUCGGGUGCAGCUCGUAGAAGCCGUCGGCGAGGCGCAGCUCUACACGAAUGCAAUGUAUUAGUUAGCUUAGACGGUUAUUUCAACAGCAACACUUGCAAGUCUGAGCCCAGAAACUCGCGACAAAGAGCAGGAGGGUGGGGAGGUUCAAGGGAGCUGGUGGAGAUCAAAGGUAAGGGUUGGGAAGAAACUUAUGAUCUGAUCCUUAAACUAGAGGAUGUGGUAUACUUGGGAUCCUCAGAUGCAAGCGCUGAAGGGUUCCUAAGUUUUGCACAUACACCCUCGGUUGAAGAAAAGAUCACAGCCGAGCCCUCGGGCGAGGCGGAUAGGGGUCGGCAGAACAGAUAGGGUCGGGCGAGACGGAACCGGGGUCGGGCGGAUAAGAGGGGUCGGGCAAAGCGGACUGGGGUCGGCAGCUUACCUUCUUCCUACAAGGAAAGCUUGGGGUCGGGAAGAAACAGACUUGGGCGGAGGGGCUAAGGCUUUGAAUCGGCGGCGAGGUCCGGCAGUGCUCCGGCGGUGGCGGUGCUUCUUGUGGAUCACAAGUGAGCUCUUACGCAGCACGGAGGAGCAAGCAGCUGGGUGGCUCGGGGAAAACGGAGUGGAGCGGAGAGGAGAGUUCCUCAAGAACUUAGCGGGUGGCGCUAGGAGCUUGAGCAGGGAGCAAGAGAAAUGGCGAAAGGCAGCAAUGGCGGAGGGAACUCCGGCGGGGCUCGUGCAUUCCCUUUUAUAGCGGCCGAGAAGGGAGAAAGGAAGCGGCGCGGGAGAGAGAAGGGGAGCGGCGCGAAGGCUGGGGAAGAAGCAAUGGAUUGCUCUGCCGGGGCGGCGAUUGAGCGACGAGGGCGGUGUUGCAGGACUUCGGGGAUGACGCCAGCGGUCAUUGGGCUCUGGCGUCAGGGCGGCGCAGGAGCGGGUAUGCCGGUGGUUGAGAUUUAGCGGAGGCGGGCGUCGUCGUGCGGUAGAUUUGAUGGAAGUGACCGGGUUAACGGUGCUAGAAUCGAGGGCGCACAGGUGAGAAGACAGGCAACCGCGGGCGCGCGGGCGAGCGCGGAGCAACAGAUUGUCGGGCGGCUUCUGACAGGGCGGGGAAAGGAGCUGUCGUGGCCGUGGUCAGGGUUGGCGGAGGAGGGAUCGUCGGGUAGCGAAGACCAGGCGGCGUGACUGUGUUCGAAGUGACGGAAAAGACGGGCGACAUCGGGCUCUGCGGCCGGGAUCUGGCGAUGUGAUGAUGGGCGCGGGAGGCGAGGCGUUGCAGAAAGGUCGCAGAGGGGUUUCCGCUGCCAUUGGGGAAGGGGGCGCGAGAAUCUAUUCGGUCGCGGGCCAGAGACGAGGCUGAGCGGCGGGCGUCGGAGAAGAUGAGCCACGCGGCGGGGAGACUCUGAAGCGGGCAUGCAACUCGAGUGCGCCUGUCGCGGAAGAUCUGGGGGAAAAAGAUCUCGCGGGUCCACCGGUCAGAUAGAACGGACGUUUUGGGAGGACUUAGAAGGAUCCGACGGUGAGCUGGGUUUGGCGGGGUCGGAACCGGAGCAAAGCGGGGAGGGGUCGGGUCUCAGGGGUCGGGACCGGUCGGAAGGUUGAACACUUAGGGGCAGAAAACUCGACAGUGCUCAGGGGCUAGGAUUUGGAUUAACUUGGAAGAUUUGGGGGCCGGUCGUCACAGGUGGGAGCCGAAGGGUAUAACGCGGAGGAGGAGAUGGGGGAGGGGAUGAGGCACGCCUGGAUCUCGUCAGAUUUGACGGCCAUGAGGGAGCACUUCUCGAGUGGUUCUUGGACUCAUCGGACUCGAUAUGUGGUGGCCGCGAAGGAGGUUGGGAUGGGCAGGAAGCGUGGCGUGGUGGUGGUGGGUGAGGUGGAGUCGUGGUGGAUGCGGCAACACGCGAGGCGGCGGCGGAAGGGAGGCGAGGCCCUCGCCUGCAAGUCUGGGAUCUACGGGCUACCUGAGUGUUUAUCCAACCCACUCUUGUAAUUAGCCUGCAACCCAUGGUUUGCAUCGCGUUACAAUCCGAUAAAACGAACCCCACUCCAAUACCUAACCAACCCACUCUAAUUGGCAGUCCAAACCAAACCUACCCAAUAACUUUUCAAUCCAUUACUCACCAAAUCAAUGCAGUUCCAUUCAAAAUCCGAUCCACUAAAACCAUUAACACCAGCCCAAUCAGCAGAGCUACUGCCAUCAAGCUAACCUGGCAAUGGGUGAUGGGGGUGUAUGACUUGCGGAAGCUAGCUAGUCAGCCCAUUAUAUCUAAUUAGCUAGCCCAUUAGGUCAAAUUAUAAAUCUAAAUCAACGUAUCAAUAAGAUAAUAUGAUAGAUUCAACAUUAUCAAAAAAUAGUCUAACAUCUAAGGUCCUAUUUGUUUGAGCUCUAUAUUUAAUACUCUAAAUUAGUAUGUAAAACAAUUGCACAGAUGAAAUCUAAUUCGCGAGACGAAUCUAUUAAACCUAAUUAAUUCAUGAUAGCACAUAUUUACUGUCAAAUCAUGGACUAAUUAGGUUUAAUACAUUCGUCUCGUGAAUUAGCCUCCAUCUGUGCAAUUGGUUUUUAAUUAGCUCAUGUUUAGUCCUCCUAAUUAGUAUCAAAAUAUUCGAUGUAACAGGGACUAAACUUUAGUUCGUGGAACCAAACACCCCCUUCAUCAAUGAUUAGUCCCUUCGAUUUUGGCAUUGUUUCUUGAUCGGGACAAGUCAUGGAACCCUUUGUUCUCUUUAAAACACUCUUGAUUUCUGUAAGGUCAAGUCAUGGAACCCUUUGUUCUCUUUAAAAUGCCUUGAUUUCUGUAAGGUCCCGUUUGUAUCCCUCCAUUUUAAAGGACUUAGAAUCUACUUAAUGAAGUAGGCUAAUUAUUUUAUAGGAAGAAGAACCGUCCCACUUUCCCUCUUGGAAGGAGCAUAGCAAUGUAGAACGUGACAUUCCACAACUUUCCAAAGUUCAGAUAUAACUCUAUCUUAAAUUCAUGGGGGUGGGAGAUGGAAAUUGAUUAUAUAGAUCCUCGUGCUAUGUUUCUAAUAUGCAACUUAUAGCACGCUCUUCAACUCGCUUCCCUAUAGCAGAAGUGCAUCACAUAAGUAUCUCUCCCGUAUGGCCAACAAUAAUAUACAAAUAUAUUCUACAUACAAUUAUAUUAGCUUAAUUAAUUUGUGUCUAAAUUAUGAUUAUUAGAAUGUAAUUCAAUUCCAAGGAUCCAAAAGGGGCGUAAGAUUAAUUUGUAUUUGAAUCUUGUGUGGCAUGGUUCCUCUAAUUUAGGAUUUGAGGAGGUAUUGAUGGUUUCUCCUUUAUCUUGAACGAACCACGCGAAGGAGCCACAGAUUAUAUUAAAACGAACUAGGCACUGGUGGUUUCCAGCAUCACCAAUUUUCAAAUUAGGCUUGAUCUAUGGAAUUUCAACUUUCCUUUUGAGGAAAUAAAUUGUAACUAGUUCGUGUUGUAUUUAAGUUCAGCAACUCUUCGGCGCAAACCUUCGGUGGUGACAUAAUUGGAUGGUUUCAAUGUUGCAAGUGCAAUUCUUGUAGAUUCUCAAAAAAGUUCUAUUCCAUGGCUAAGAAGGAAUAAAACCUCCAACAAUAUAGAAUCACGUCAUGUGAGCAGCACUGUUCCAGGAUUGCCCAUUCGACCUAAAUAUUACCUCAGUAACCCCAGCAGCAAUUUGAAGAACCCUCCAACCGUAAAGAGUUGCAGCAAUAUGUGUGAUUUCAUUUAUCAGCUGGUCAGAAGCGUUGAAAGGUCAGCUAGCUUAUAUUAACAUGGGUUUAACUAGUGCCAAAUGUUCCCUUUUGAAAGGAGAGUGUCAUGGCUACGCCAACCACAGCAUCAUGACAUCACCUGCUCCAUGUCGCGCAACCAAACCUGGUGAUGUAUAUGUUCCCCUUCCUCCCCCUAUGUGGAUCAAUGAGUGCUGCCAAUUUGAUCAAUCAGGUUUCAACACAUAAUGAGUGCCAUAGAAAUUUUGCUGGCAGCCAACUGAAUUUGAAUCCAUAGCUCAUAUAUUUGAUCAUGAAUUUUUUGUUUUGCCAAAGCAAGCAUAGGUGUUACUGAAGAGAAAAUGGAAUAUAAACCAAAUUUUCUUGUUUGCAUCAAUGCGUGUCAAUCACAAUAUUUUUGUUUCUUUUUUCCCGAUUCCCACAUUGACCUAAUUAUUAUUAGACUUUUAGGGGACAAAGGGUGAGAACUCUAGUAUCAGAGGGGGGAGGUGGUGCAGAGAUUUUGGGGAAAAAGGCUAAUGCCACAUGAAUUAGUAAGGAGAAAUCACUGUAGCAUUUUUAUCCAAUUUGAGAAUUUUUCCCUUAGGAUAGGAAUAAGGAUGUAGUGCCGGAAAGGAUGAUUUUGAAAAAAACAUAUGAAAAACGAUAAAAGAUGAGAAAUUCAUAAAAUAAUAAAAACAUUAUAGAAAUGAUAAAAAAACAUUAUAGACAUUCUUUGUAAAAGUGGAUGUUUUUUUAAAACAUUAUAACUCUACAUAUAUUCCUUUUGGUUGAAUCUUGCAUGUGUUUGUUUUUGGAAUCAAGUUGUUGAGUCAGCUCCAUCCCAUUUGGGUUGGGUUGGACCCAUAUCGUGUUUAGAUGAAAGGCAACUUAGUUUUUUUGUUUGAUUGAAGGGGUCAAGAGACGUGGGAUGGACACUAGUUUCACACCGUUAGCAACAGUUAUUAGUGGGCCUCACCUGUUAUCCGUGGGGCCAACUAGUCAGCCUCUUAUCUUCUGCCUUUUUUUUUCCUGUGACGCUUAUCUUCUUCCUCAUGUUUGCCUGCUCUGCCUCCUCACGCCGGCAUCGGAGCGCAUCCCGCCUACACCUCCGCGUUGCGCCGGCCGGCAACCCAGCUCCGUGUCCUCUCUUCCUCUUUCUCCAUGUCGCGCCGCCCGACCGCCCAGCUCCGCCUCCUCUCUCUCUUUCUCCGCGCCACCGCCAGCGGCCUCCUCGCCCCCCUACUCCGCCGCGCCCCUCAACCCCAGUGUCAACGGCCUCCUCAGCCCCUUGCUCCGCUGCCCCUCCUCGACCUAGUGCCGCCGGCCUCCCCCCCUACUCCGCCGCCUUCCCUCGGCCCAGCGCCGAUAGGCGGAGCCCAAGCUGGCCCUGACCAGCCGACGAAGGUCCCCUAUGCGGAGCCUAAGCUUGCCUCGACCUCCUCCGAGCUGUCUCUACUUGCUCGAUUUGUUGGUGACGGAGGAAACAACGAAGAUGACGGAGAUAAAGUGGGUCGGAGUGGUCUGACUGAUUUGGAGGAAUGCAACCUGAUUUGAAGGAAUGCAACCAACCCGUAUCUGGGAGAAUAUUCACUCCAGGGUCCAUCCCAACCUAGAUGAAUUUCAAACCAAACACUCAUAUAUCUGGAUCCAACCUAUUCCAACCCACUUCGACCCUUAAACCAAACACACCCUUAAUCUAUCUCAUCACACGCCUCCUUUUUUUUUAAAAAAAAAGGAUCAUCUUUAGCUUUCAUGGUAGCGUUAGUACAAGCAUUGUACUAAUGGUUGUUAGUUGUCGAGCAAGCCUUUCAUUUGAUGACUAUCACUACUCAUGAUUUUGUACAUAAUUAUAAAUUUUGACCUAUAAACCACUUGCAUUUGAAUCCAUAUGAGUAGGAGCGAAAAUGAGAUACACAACAUCAUACUUGGAAUAAUGGACAAGAAAUAGACAAAAAGGUGAAAAAUAAUGUGGAGGUAGCUGUUCCAGCAUAGCAAAAAUCGCAUUGAUUCCUUAGACAUGGAUCCUGCAAGCUAAAUUCUUUUCUAUGAUACUAAGACAAGUGACAACUGUGUAGCUUAAAAAAGAUUGUCUGAUAUGUGUUUUUAAAUAUUGCUUAAUCUAGUUGUUGGAUUACGAUUUUAUUUAGAAACUACUCCGUACCCAUAUAAUUUGAUGGGAAAUUACCUGUCAUCGGCCCAAAAUAGUUGAACGCAUUGUUGACCUUUUGACACCUAAACCCUAUAAUCCAACCUACUUAGAAUCCAAAUUGACAAAUAGUCAAACAGAUACAAUAUGUGAUUCUAAAUAUUUGUCACGUUGAUUUUUAGAUACAUUGUUUGACCAUUCAUCUUAUUUAAAAAAUUAUAUAAAUAUCGUUUUGUUGCUUGUUUCGUCUUUAAGAUAUUUCAAGCCUUACUCGUAAAAGGAGAAAGCAUUUCAGGCCUCACUUACAUAUAUUUGUAUUUUUAUAUUAAAUUCUUUUAAAUAAGAUGAAUGUCACGAUAGAAGAACAAACCUUGUCUAUCUCCUCCACUGUCCACGAGUGCUCACAGCGAAACGCGGUUAGAGACUGAGAGUGGCCCCGCAGUUUAUCGCCGCCUGGCUCCUCCAGCGCCCGCUUCCUCCCAACCCCGCACAAAACCUCGCCGUCUGCGACGAGAUUUACUCAUCCACUCGUUAGUUUAAGUGUGAGGCCACCGCGUGCGGGGGGCGGCGGCGCGUGCGAGGUGAGCGCUCUAACCUGCGAUUUGGGACGGAGGGAGUACCAUUGCUGCCAGUGCCACCUCCCCCAAUCGCGGCGGCCAGUGAUCACAUCACCGAAACCCGCGGCCCUCGAGGAGAAAACGGCGGCGAUGAGGAAGGGCGCCGCGGUUGGCGCCGGCCCGGCUCCCGACCGGCGGCCCUCCUCGGAUCCACGCCCCCCCGGGGCCACCCCUCUCCCCGCCCCGCCGUUUCGUGCCGGAUUGCAGGCCCUUGGGCGGGCGCCGGUGCUGCGGCGGCGGGUGGGUUGGGGUUGGGGACUGUGGGGGCGGGGUCUGCGGCGGGUCCUGGUCGGGGGGCGUGGUCGGGCAGCGCGGGAUCUGAGCCGCCAUUGAUGGAUUUUUUUCGAGCGCUUGGUUUUGAUCGUCUUGGUACGCUCGCUGUUUCCUCCUCCUCGUCCUUCUUCUCGCCGCCGCCGCCGCCAUCCACCCACCCCACUCCACUCCACUCCUCUCUCUCUCUCCCGUAUGUGUAUGUGUGUAUGUAUGUUUGCACAUUCCACUCCCACUGAUCUCGAACCCUAGAUCGAAUCGAGGCUGUGUGCGGGCCAUUCUCACGAGCGGACGUCAAUUCAGGUCCCCAUCUCUACUGUGCCGCCUCGCCGCCGAUCCGUUGCCUUGCACCGGUGGCGGCAGGGGCUGGGAACUGUGUGGUGGCGCCUGACGCGACUGCCGAGUCGGGUUUUGGCCGGCCGCGGUCUACUGAUUCGCUACUCCGGAUGGAUGGAUGGAUGGAUGGAUCAUGGAUAGAUGCAAGGGUCCCGAAAUGGAGCUGAAAAACAUGGAGUGGAGCAGUCCAAAACAGGCCCUUAUUCUCUGUCCCAAUCAUUACUAUACAGCUGCUGCGGCAGCCACAGCGGUGAUCUCUUUAGCCUGCUGUUGCCUGUGUGUGCUGUGCUGUGCCUGUGAUCUGCUGACGGCUCUGCUUUGCUCUGAAUGUUCCUAGCCCUUCCGCUCCUCAUCCUCUCCACCUUGGUGGCAUCUGGAUGGGCAGUGCAAAUGGGAUCAGGAUAUGAGAUGAGAUGAGAUGCAAAAGAGGUGGAUUUUCUGACUUGAGUCAUGGUCAAAGUACCCAGUGUAAGUGAAAUUUUACUUAGGGUGACCAUAUCUGACAUUACCCGGACCUAUGAAUGGGGUGCUAAUGAGGGGCGAUGAUGUUCAACCUUUUCUGAAUUGCAUGCCAUUGAGCAAUCAAGGCAGCUGUGGGUAUCUAUCUAAUUUGAGCUGAUCUCUCCCCUCAUGAAGCCUAUUUAACCAUCUCUUAAUGUUUGUGGUUCUGUGCCUAGGAUGGUCAUUCAGAUAUGUGACAACCAGCGCAGUUCCACUUAUAUUAGGAUGAGUAAAUUGUGCAGAAAGAGGUGUGAGGGCUUGGCUUGUAUGAUCGAGCAAAGGCGAAGCUGAGCCCUCUUAGUGCUAUUUCAAUACCAACAGCAUUGUCUUGCUGUACAAUUCAUAGUUUUCUUUCUCUCAUUUGAGCAUUUCAUUUUUCAAACUAUUGCCAGCCUUCAUUAUGAAGUCAGAACUCGGCAUUAGGGACUGCUCUUCCAUGAACUUGCAUGGAUGCCCUUUUGGGCAGCGGCAUCAAAUUAGGAGAAGAAUGAUUCCCUUUUUCUAAGAGUUGAUUCUUUUCUAAGAGUGUGAAUUUCACUUACAUGCAUGCCUUUGCUGGCGAUGAGCAUCCACCAGGCAUGCUCGCCCCUUCUCUUCCCUUCCUGCUGUGCUAUUUUUUACUUGUAUCUGGGUCAGAUCCGAAUACAAGUAAACAGAGCACCCCAAACCCUAAUGUAAGCUAUUUGUAUUCCGGAAGGCAUAUUGGAGCCCCCUCCACCCUCCAGUCUCCUCUCAGCUCACUUCCUGCACACGUCUAGUACCUGUCACGCUUUUCCUGGUGUUUAUAUGCAGGAGAAGAUACUUCUUAUUGUUCAUGGUGCCGUACGAUCUUUUGUUUUUGUUUGUUCUACUCUUGAGUGGCUAUGAUGAUUCACCAUCACAUUAGAGAGAUUUUGCUCUCUAGCAUUGUUUUAGCUGGUACCUGGGAUAUUUGUUCUAUUUGUUGCUUAACUAGGAUGGCUUGUACAUCAAGUAACCAGUUCUGCAGCCAACUGCGGCAGCUGAUGGCUGUUACCGCUGAUACUGAUGACAGCUGGUGGCCCAUCUGAACUAACAUUGCUGUUUCAUUUAAGGAGAGGGAAAGAGAGAGCUUAAAUUGUGUUGCAGCUGAUAUGGCAGAUUUGAUUGCUUCAAACCUUUUGUUUUUUACUCUUUUGAGCUCUUAUCUACUUAUUUCUUUAUGCUCUUUUGCAAGUCCUGCAGUUGAUGCUCUACCAAUCCGCGAUUCUGUCUUGUGUUGCUGCCACUGAUCUCUAGGGUCGUUCUUCACUUCCCUUCCUGCUGGAUUCGAACCUGGGACCUGGGUUAAUGUUAUUGGGACUAAUAUGUCCAGUCAGUUCAAUCUCACGAGUGAGCUUUGGCUUCCUGUAAGAAUGAAUAAGAUAAAAUUCCAAUGAGGGGCAAUGAUCAGCAAUGAUGUCUGAUAUAAGCGCCUUUGAGGCAGGCUGCUCUGGGCAUCACUGGAAUCUUCCCUCUCUCUUGGAAACCUUAUCAACUAUGCACUAAUGGCUUUGUCCUUGGAUGGUCAUGCCAUUCUUCAUGGGUGAUAACCAGGACAGCUCCUCUUUCAGAACAGGUUGAUAGGGUGGUAAGAGAAGGUGGGGAAUACAGUUAUAUGAUCGAGCAAAGGCGAAGCUGAGCCCACUCAAAUAUUUAACUGCUACCCACACUAUUUUAUGUGAUUUGAUUUUUUUGUUGAAUAUGUCGUUGCUUCAUGUUUUAUGUCUAACCUAUUUACCAACUUACUUUCUUUUUGCUGUAUUUGUAUAACUCCAUGCAGUUACCUUGCCAAUUGCGUUCAUUGGCAAGUUGUGACAUUUCUUAAUUUCUGCAGUUUAAUUCUGCUAUAUUUGUUUGCAGUAUCCUGCUGCAAUAUCUGUGGUUACAUUAUAUGAAGAUACUUUCAGCUAACUUAGUGCAUCUAAAAAUUUCUUGCAAUAAUUUCUUGAGUUAGUUGGACCUCCGUGAGUUUGGACUCUGGAGGCAUUGUGUUGUUGGGAAGUACUAACUUUGGUCAUCACAACUAUUAUAUCCGUGCUGCGUUGAUAGGGAUGCAAGUUAUAUAUAUUUUGGGUCAUUGGGUUGACCCAAAAAGUUGAUAAAAUGAAUUAGAAAAUAAUUUGGGAGGACCAGUAAACUAGAGUGGCAUGCCAUCAUAAUUUAUCAGCUGACCUAGAAAACACUAUUGGGUACCCACUAGCAUCCCUAUGCGUUGAUCCAUCUGGUAUAGUAUGCAUUCCUUUUGUUUUCGGAAUUUUUUGUCACUUGUCUGUUGAUCUUUCUUUCUUCUUUUGUAUAGCAUCCCUAUGCGUUGAUUCAUCUGGUAUAGUUCCUAUGCAUUCCUUUUGUUUUCGGAAUUUUUUUGUCACUUUUGUUUGUUGAUCUUUCUUUCUUCUUUUGUACUGUUCUUCCGUGGCUGUGAUGAUCGAAUGCCCCAUAAAAGUGUUGCUUUUUAGCAUCCCUGAAUUGUUGAUGCCUUGGGCAUUUUUCUCAAUUUGUUGCAUUAACUAGGAUGGCUUGUACCAUAACAAGUAACCAGUUUUUGCAACUAAUUGUUGUCAUUGCUACUGAUGUGGCUGUGGUGUUCUGGUAUUGGAGAGAGAGAGAGAGAGAGAGAGAGCAUGGUUCUUCCACCAAGUAUUGUGUUGAUAUUGGGGCAGAUCUGAGCCAUUCAAGUGACAUUACUGUUUGUUGCAUCAUUCGCUCGUACAAAGUUAUAUUUCUCGUUUGCUGUCUACUUAUAUUCCUUAAUGUUAUCCAGUACUCUCCAGUGAGUGAUUUCAACUUGGGAUCUGGAUGAUGGCAAUGGGACUAACAUUUCAACUCCUGUCUCCCGUCUCGUAAAAUUUGUAAUGCAUUCAGGCUUGGGUAGAUUCCUUGUUUUGUUUGUUGGGAUGCCCCAGCUUACUUGGAUGAAUUGAUCAUUUUGUUCUAAAGGAUAUUUUCUUUCCACAAGCUCUCUUAUUAACUACUGCAUCCAAUCUCUCUGGUGGUUGCCCAAUGUCUCCUUACUGCAGUGGCAUGAUGUGUUGACUUGAAUGUUCUUUCUAGCAGCCAGUGAUGGCAUCAAGGGUCCUAAUUGCGUGCCAAGAGCCCACGGCCAUGCCGUGUUGUGUGUGGAAAGAAAUUGCCUGCUCCCUGUCGAGUGGCAUUGAUAAUCUUUUUUUUAACUAACCAGGUAGGAGAGCUGGUAAUACAACUAAUGGGGAAAAAGAUAACAAUAGGACGGCUAGCCGGAUUGGGACAUCGACAUACCAGAUUGGGACAUCGACAUACCUCGCACUCAAUUCCUUCAACAAACUACUCUGGCUGGUCGGAUUCGGCUAUUGACACGCGCCAAACUUAACUCUUCACAAUAAAGUGCUCCGGCUAGUUGGAUUGGGAUAUUGACAGAGCCGCGCAACGCCCCGCUCCACUCAAACCUCCACAACAUGCAACUCCACAACAUACAGCUCCGCGCUAAUGACCUCAGCACCUGCAAAGCCACCACGGCGCCUGCACAAUGCCAACACCCCACCACUACCACCUCUCUCUUUUUUUCUUUUCUUUUUGAAAUAGAAAGAAACUCUCCUCCGCAACGGGCAACGGGCAUGAUGCGAGCUCUAGCUUUAGUUUUUUUUUCUUUUGAAAUAGAAAGAAACUCUCCUCCGCAACUGGCAUGAUGCAAGCUUCUAGAGCGACUGAAGGGGUGUGACACCACAUGCGCGUUGACGGCUGCUAGCAUGUCAAGUCGUGGCUGUUAGCAUGUCAAGUCGUGAACUGCAAGUGUACGAAUUAGUUGUAGUUCUUUCCUCAGAGUAGCUGUAGUUCUUUCCUCAGAGUAUUCCUUCAAGGUUUAUCAAUCCGUGGAACUUAUAGGACAACGCAUUGUUAGUAUUAACUUGGUGAUUGUUAGUAUUAACUUGGUAUUUAUGAGAGAUUCAGAUUCAAUCUACUAAGCAAGCAUGUACAGAUAGAUAAUAGAUAGAGCAAAGGUAAUCAAUCUAGAGCAUAGACUAUGCAUAUGUUGUAAUUCUGAGCACGGAUAGCAAAGCAACAUAUAUAUGAUCUUAGUAAAAAGCGUCUUUAAAUCUACACCUUCUGCUCGGAUCCUGAAAUCCCCACCUUACGCAAGAAAGAUUCUUCCACGAUCACCUUUAUCAGUGCAAGCAAGUUAAGGGUAUGAUCAUAAGAUUAUGUCAUACUCAUCGGUAGAUCAGGCAUGCAAAUUUGGUCACCACGACCACAGGACACUCUAGGCAAUCUAUCAUCGAUUCAUAGAUUGAAAAGCAAGCAAAUCCGAUAAAAUAUAAAACCAUCAAAGGAGAUACUUAAAUCGCUAAGAACAUGAACACAUAUAUUACUUUACCAUGAAUGAUUGUACAUUACAAGAUUACCAUCGGGAUCCUAUCUUAAUCUUGAUGACUUCUAGCUCUAGAACUCCAGCGUGAUCUUCCUCGCAGGGUGAUCACACCGGCAGAGGUUCGCCUACGCUAGCGUCCGACAACUGCACGACCCUUGGCUCUCCGGAGAGGUGUCCCUCAAGCUCCUUUUGCUUCUUUGCUGCUUCACGUCGAGUACGUCAUCUUGGAUAUGGGGCUCGGUGGAUUUUUCGGGGUAUUUAUAGUCCAUAGAGUGCGUGGUAAAAAUUGGAAGGCGAGGGGGGUGAAGGAAACCUCUAGACCGAUCGGUCUGGGAGGGUCCAGGGCAAUUAGCCUGGGCCUUCCUUUUGGCUCCUCGCAUCUUGCUUCGUCUCCAAGUCUCCUCUGGUGCUUUGAAGUCCUAUUUUCACUGGCAUGUGGGCCUGGCACACGUCGGUUACUUCGGGAUGAGAUUGAUCUUCAAUGACUUUCCAAAUCUCCACUUGAUCUUCUUUGAUUCCUUUUUGAUCCUGAAGUGAUCCUUGCCAUAUCUUCACAAACUUAGCUCUUGAGCCAUCUCAGAGGAUUGCUUGCUAAAGAUGGGCGUUGGAAGGCUCCAAAAGACCCUAGGUCGAUCGCAUGGUCUCCUCUGGGCCGAUCAGCCUAGGCUGAUUGCUUGCCAAAGAUGGACGUUGAAAGGCUUCAGAAGACCCUAUGACGAUUGACUUGGGCUCCUCUGGGCCGAUCGACCUAGGCUCUUCUUGGGCCUGUUGGUCUCUGUCUUUGUCUAGUUCGAUGCUCGUUCAGUGCUUUAUCCAAAAAUAUACUUUUAGGUCCAAUUCUAUGCAAAAAUAGAACAUCCUCCCACAUGUGAAAAUGACCGGUUUAUUAGGUGUAAUUAAUAGUUUAGGUAUUAAAUUCAUGUCAUUAUUGAAGAUAAAUAGGGGUAAAAGUGUGUCAAUAGUCAACGUUAACAAUCCUCCCAUGCUUAAACCUUGCUCGUCCCCGAGUAAGUCUUCGAUAGAAAUUAGCGUUACCUUUUUUGUGUUCAAUCCUGCACUUGAUCACACACAAGAAAACAUAAUGCUCUUAUAAAAUUUUUCAAUUAAUAUUCAAGUUGCAACUAGCCUUCUCUAAUAUGGAGGGUAGAUAUCAUUUAAGCACAUCCCACAAUAAAUUUAUUCUUUGGCUCUCAAUUUUAAACAAACCUCAGAAGAUUUUCAAUAAUACUUUUUUCAAAAAGAAACUGAAUUGAGAUCAACAAUUUAAACUUCAUUGCAAUUGCUCGUGUUCUCUUAGCUCAUCAAAUCUCUCAAACCUAUGCUAGAAAAUAUGUGUAAGGCUUUAUCUAGAUCUUUAGGAAGGUUAGUCCUAGCAAAAAUAUUAUAAUCAGGAUAUUAUCAAAACAAGAAAAACUUCUGAUGGAUUUUACUGAGACAUGUCAAAAAGGUCAUGGAAAAUAAUUGCUUAUGGAGAGAGAGAAUGAACACACAUUUAGAUAGUGAACAUGUGCAAGGGCAAAGAGUGAUCGUGAGGCACAAAUGAAGUCCUCGUAUUGGAUUGCACAUGGUUGGAAUAAUGAGUAUGAAAUAAUCCUUAAUCUUGAAAGCACUUGGAAUCUUUAUGAAGCUCAAAAAAUUGAGGAUUAUUUUAUUUUUUUCUUUCUUUCUUUAUUUUUCCACAAUAUAUAUUUUUUUCUUUUUGCUCCUCAGAACUCUUUGCAACAUAUUGCUUACUCAGUAUUAGUCAGAGAUAAUGUGAUGACUCUUCCCCAUACUUAGACGAUGCUCGUCCUCGAGCAUGAAAAGGAAGAAAGAUAAAUUGCUAACGUAAGUACCAAAAGGAAAAAAUUAUCUUACUCCACUGGACGAGCUUCCACACCAAAUUUCAGGGGCAAUAGAGGGGGAACACCCUAGACCGAUAGGCAUGUGGGUAGCUAGGUCGAUUGGCCUAGCCCCUUCUAGCCUCUGUUUCCUCCCUUUUUAUUCCAUACACUGGGGGUUACCUCCAAGUCUUGUUUUUUAUGAAAAGGUACUGAGUAAUCUUCCGAAUCUUCAUCAAAAUAUCUUUCAUACUCAAAUUGGGUUGUGGUCAAGGAGGUAGUCACAAAAAUGAUAAUUUGGGUUUAGGUUUGGAUGCCUAGUGAAAUUUGCGAAAUUUCCAAUGUAGAAAUUGACAAUGUAUGGACAGAAAGGUUAGCAAUAAAAGGUUACACAAAAAGAAAUGAUCAGCUUCUAAGUCUCAUACCACAGAAGUAGAUCCUGAAUCAAUUCAUCCAAAAAUAAAUUUUUGCAAUCUAUGGCUCAUAAAUAUUUGGCUUUGGAUGGGUAGAGCAAUUGCAAAAAGUAUUAUUGACACGGUCAACAUGAGUUGUAACCAAAAAUAAAAGAGCCUUUGAUCCACUUAAAAGAGAGAGCAAUAAACAAAUAUAGGGUCCAAAUUAUCAUAACCUCCACAAAAAGAUAAGGCGGUAUUUAUAUCAAUUUCAGUUCGUGUUAGAUAGAGCAUUAGUUCAAUGAUGCAAUAAUCAAGUAUAAAAAUUAAAUAAAGCAGCAACUAUCAUCAUCUUUCAACAUGACAAGAACUUAAACCAUCAUAAUUAAUCACAUAGCAUUAUAUUUAGGUGAUGCAUAUUUUAUUUAAGCAUGGCAUGGUGAAAUAAACGCACAAACUUAAAAUAAAGAGAAAAUAAAAUAGAAAAGUAAAAUAGAAAAUACUACGCAUACCCAACACACGUGCUAAAAUAAAUAAAAGGAAAAGAAAAGAAAACUCAAACCACACGUGUGCGUUUUUAUUCGUCCCCUUCGGUCUUUAGUCCAGGUCAUCUUGUGGUGGGUCAUAAUGUGGCUCUCCCUGCGGCACUAUCUCCUUACUAUUGGUACUCGUGAUACGCCUGCUCAUAGUGCUCCUGCGCUCCACCUUGGUACUAAUCUGGAGGCACAAUCCCCAGCAUGCCGAACUGAUAGGCGAUGAUUACGUUGCUAUCCUCAAUUCUGUCAGCGACUUGCCUCACAGUACAUGCAUUUUCUAAAUUUCUUUGUGUAUACGCGCCUAUGAUGCGUACACUUCUAUGUGGCUGUGGCAGGUGGCUGUACUGAAUAGACAAUGGAGCAUGCGGUGGGGUCCCUGAAAAGGAGGUGGCAUAUAACCAUGAAAAGCAUAUGGUGCCCGUGGAGGUGGAUGCGCUGGUUGCUGAAAUUCCGGUCCUACUUGAUACGCAGGUUGUUGGAGAUGUGUUGCAUAUGGACCUUGUGCCCAUGCUUCUGCCGGCGCCUCCGGCCACUGUUCUUGCUGCCAUCCUUCAUGGACUCCCUCGUAACUUGGUGCAUUUUGAAACUCCGUCUGCCAGUAGCUUGAGCUAGGUGGUGGCACUUGUAUUUUUAGAGUUGCUUGUGAUAAUGAGCCUUCUUCUAUUCUUUGUCCUCUCUUGUCUUUUUUUGCGGGAAAUAAAAUUCCUUCUUCCCACCAGUUAGUCUUGCCCACAUGGUAGAUUCCCAGCCUUCUGUCGGACAACUUGAAAUUAGUGACUCCAACUGUAUAUCCUUUCUCUCCAUCACCACCAAUUAAGUGUGCAUUUUUCAUUGUCCUAGCGUUAAUGCUUCCUCCUUUAAUGAACAACUCGGGACCCUUUCGAUAUCUAGCUUAAAAAGGAUGCAAUCAUGGUGUUUCGACGAAAAGAAACACUCCGGGGUAGGGAGCUUUCCUAACGCGUAACUAGAUAAUAUGCGCGAGCGUGCUAGUAUACUAUUGUAUACAAAAUAAAUAAUAAAGAGACACCAAAGCAUAGGGAACUCAGAUCUUUAUUAAUUCAUAGGAGAAUUACAAGUACAUGUUCCCACUGGGAUGUGUAGUUCUUGGUUCCCGUGGCCUCGUGAGGCCGCCGGUUAAUUACAUGCAUUGAGCCACAGAAGACCUCCGAUUAAGCUACACUGAUGGUCGUCAUCUUGAAGUCUCCAAUUGUACAUAAGUAGAUGAGCUGUAACAUAAAAGAACAAUAACUAUGCUGUGCCAAAGCCACGUUGGUCUUCAGCAAUCUAUGUCUGGCCUUGUCAGUCAUAGAGUUCAUAUUGAAGUCUCCAAAAAUGAGUUCGGCCUCAUCGGUCACGAACAAAGAAUGUCCAGCAUCAUUGAUCAGGACUAUGUGGUUCUGGCCUCGUCGGUCACGGAAAAGUUGUAACUGAGUUAUCCCAGUCUCGUCGGUCAGGGAGAGUAGCCAAGACUUAAUUCGUACGAACACACUGGUGUUGACAAUGCCAAAAAACGAAUGAGCUAGGAUAGCACCAUGAUUACGUUCGUAUACUCAUCGGAUAACCCGUCUUUUUUGUUUUUUUCCUUUUCUUUUGAAAGAUUCUCACACAUACGCUUCUAGCGGAACCAUUUCAAAAUCUGGACCCUUAGCUUGGCGCCAUCUGCUUACGCGUCUCGACGCCAGCCAUCCUAGCGCCAAGAGCGCCAAGGUCCAUGCGCAGCUGCUGACGGAUGCCAACGAGGCUUGGCGUCAUCCAUCAUGAUGCCAAACCUUGGCGUAGUGGAUCUUAGCACCAAGCUUGGCACCGUAGAUCUUGGCGCUGAGCAAUUUACCCUACCUCUUCGCGUUCCAAACGAAACAAGUAUAAUUAUUCCAAGAAGUGUGCAACAAAUUAUGCUGUGGUUCAACUGGUUAGGAUGUAGGCUUUCUUAUCCUAGAGACCUAAGUUCAAAUCCUUGUGUUGAAUCUUUUUUUCUACAUUUUAUUUUUUUCUUCCUCCCAGAUCAGCAACAAUGAAAAGUAUAAAUUUCACAUGCAUCAUGUCAAGGAGGCCGCAAGAGUAACAACAAAAAUCAUUUGCCGGGAGCUAAGAACUAUAUCUGCCAGCUCAAUAGACAUGAAAUCAGCAUUUGAGGGAAUCUCCUGGUACUUUUGCAAUACGAGAGUAGAAAAAAAAAAGCUCAUCUGUGACAACCUUAGCCAUAUCUCAAUACAUUGGAAUGGCGAUAAUGCCGAUAAAGCAAAACAAAAUUUGGAAGGGAGGGUAACCUGACACAAGAAUUAGAAGAAUUAGAAGAGCCACAUCGAGGGUAACCUGACACAAGAAUUAGAAGAGCAUGAGUUUUGAAUUGUACUGCACUAUACAAACUCCACGAACUAUAUUAUCCUAAGAUAUGAGAUUUCGUAAAAGAAUAUUGCACCGCUUGUUUACCUGUACAACAGCGUUCUGUUUUGAUUUAAGAAAUCGAGGUGCUGAUUUACUUGGUUUCCCGGGCUUGUCAAGCAAUGCAAUGAUUUUUGUUACUCUUGCGGCCUCCUUGACAUGAUGUACAUGAAAUUUAUACUUUUCAUUGUUGCUGGGUUUGAACUCAGGUCUUUGAGAUAAGAAGCUCACGUCCUAACCAGUUGAACCGCAGCAUAGUUUGUUGCACGUUCCUUGGAAUAAUUAUACUUGUUUCGUUCGAAACGCGAAGAGGUAUAGGAUAAAUUGCUCGGCGCCAAGCUUGGCGCCAAGAUCCACAGCGCCAAAGCUUGGCGCUAUGAUGGAUGGCGCCAAGCCCCCGCCACGUCAGCAUCCGCGUCAGCAGCUGCGCAUAGAUCUUGGCGCUAGGAUGGCUGGCGCCGAGAUGUGUAAGCUUGGCGUCAGCGUGGGCAUCAAGCUAAGGGUCCAGAUUUUGAAAUGAUUCUGCCAGGGACGUAUUUGUGAGAAUCUUUCAAAAACGGAAAAAAAAGUCAGAUAACUUCUUAAGAAGACUACGGUAGCUGAGGGUCACUCAGAUGAGUUGUGUCAUUAUCGAGCUCAGGUGAUCAGUGGCGGUGCCGUGGUUCUUAUUGAAUGAUGACCUCACCAGCACGGCCAAUAUGUAACCUGUUUAGUAGAGACACAUGGCAAUGCCUUGACAUUCAGACAGUUACCGGGCUGACUUUGCUUGGUAAUACUAGCUUUAUUAAUAACUGGAGUGACUAUCAUAUCUUAGCACACCCACAAAAAGCCAGCUACUAGUUGCAUCAGGUUCACGUGUCAAAUUUGGAGGCCAUUGCUCUCACUAAUAGUGCACAAUCCACAAAAUGUGACACACGAGUGUUAAUUCUGUUGUAGCUCAAGGGCAAUCACAUGUAGUAUUCACUUUGUAGGAUCUCUCAUUGCAUAUUUACAACUGAUAGGUUUACAGAACAUGUAAAGGGCAAGUAUAUAUACUGCCACACUCUUCUUAUAUGCUAACUGUUUGAGGUAUGUGGUGCUUUUCUAUAUCUGAAUUUCUAUUGGGAAGUUCCUUGCUUCCUCACUGCUCCCUCACAUAGCCCUGCAUUGUAUGCCUUGCAUCUGUUUUACAGAGGGCGAGCGAUAGGCAGAAACCUUCUACGUGCAGCUGUGCACUAAUCUUUGCUUAGCUUGAUGAUGCGUCUGUUAUGCUCUCAGCUAGCUUGGCUGCUGCCCAGAUUAUCAGUGGCCUCACGGCUACUCUGAUCGCCUAAACUAAUUGGCCGGCAUCAUAGCCUCUUGUUGGUGAGGGCUGUAUCACCGCUGGUUCCCAUCUGCACAUCUCCGCCUAAUGGAACUGCUGCUGUCGUGACCUUUGAACAUCUGUACACCAUGCUCUUUGCUUUGUUACUAUCCUAAACAAGUUCGACGACACACGGCAAACAUCGCUGCCACCAGUGUUGUCAAGUGUAUACCACAGCCCACCUGAACUCCAUUGACACUCUGAGUUGAGAGGCUCAUUAGCUGGAGCAUUAGCCAUUGGUUCAGUUCUGAAUUUGUAAGAUGUGCUUAUCUGACUAGCUAAUCUAAUAGGCUUCGAAUAUCAUAGCCCCUUACUGGAAGGAGCAUCACUGCCGGCCACACAUGCGCAUAUCACUGCCUCCGCACAAGUACUACUGCCGGCCACUAUUCAUCACCAUAACCCUGUUUAUUUGCCUGCUUACUUCUAUCUAGCCUUUCUGCAUCUUGAAUGUGGCUGUACCAUUAUUCUAGUACUGCUUGGGGCACAUAUCAGGUUGUGCCCUGCUCUACAAGAUGCGCUGCUCUUGUGGUUUACUUCUCCUGCUCACAAGGGCAACUCCAAAAGGCUGCUAACCUUACUUUCAAUAUCUCUUUUAGGGAAAAAAAGAAAAAAAAAUAAACUCCAACAGUACACCUAAAACUCCCCCAAAAGAUUAGCGUCGCGAAAAAACUCUCCCUCACCCCGCGUAUAUUCGCGACACCGGAUCUCCCCAGUACCGAUUCCCGCACGUGCGGCCCCUUCCCGCGCGUUUCCAGAGUCGCCGCCAUCUUCUCCGUCCUCCUCGCCGCCGCACUCCGGCGCCUUCCCCUCCACCUCGGCCGCCAGCCCACCCCCGCCGUGGGGUUCUUCCAACCGUACACCAACGACGGCGACGACGGGGAGCGUGUGCUCUGGUGCGCGGUGCGCGCCGUGCAGGAGCUCCGCUCGGGCCUCCCCUGCGCCAUCUUCACCGGUGACGCGGACACCUCGCCCGACGGCCUCGCCGCACGCGCGCUCAACUGGUGCGGCGUCCGCCUCCUUUGCCCUCCAUAGGUAAUACUGUGGCCCGAUCGAUCGGGGUCUGUGCCUCGCAGUGAAAAAUUGGAUCUUGGCGGUUCGAUCUGCUUGUUGUCCUGAAGAGUUACUUUGAUUCAGUUCAAAUGAUUAAUAUUAGUGCGGCUGAUUAGUCGUUUCUUGUUGAGUACGAUCUGAAUUAACAAAGUGUCUGUUUCAGUUGUGCAUUGCACCACUUUAGAAAUUGAGCAAGACAUGCUUAGUUAGUAGUUACUGACCUUGUGAUCCUGAAUCAUACUGGAUUGUCUUGCCUCAAUUUUUCUUGCAUGAGAGCAUUGCAUGAAUUUUACUAUUUCCUGCUGCACUUCCUUAAAUAGGUUUCUGUAGUUUGAGUUGGUAAUAUUUCUUAGCAAAAUUGUGGUAUGAACAAGCAUUUUGGGAUCGGGAGGGUUCAUGAUGCAGCUCCCCGCCUUGCUUUUGUUGCAGUACGUUCAAUUUAACUUGUUUCUCUGCAAGUUGAGCCUUUGGUGCUGUAUAUGGCCAUUGUCUGGUUCAUAAUGCAUUGACAAGGUCAAUUGGUAAGAACAAGGCAAAAGCAACGGAUCCUAAUGGACCCAAUAUGAUAACGUGGCUUGUUUUGAAUUAUUGAGGAUAGUUUUUAUCGAUCUGCUAUGGGCUGAUAUGUUUUUCGGGAAAAAAAAUUUUAGCAUAGUCCCAAUACCUCGUUUUGAGGAAAAUUUUUUUUGGAAAACUCUUGGAGUUGAACUACCUGUACCUCGACGAUGGCUGCAUUCGGCGCCACUCGGUGCCUCAACUGAACUGAUGCAAAACCGGCUACUUGAUCAACUGCCAGAUGCCUCUUGACUGCCUUCUUGUUUGCCUGCGUAGUGCCUACUCCUGCCCGGUUGUCACUUCUUAAUGAUUGUGGCCAAUCUGAUUAACAAGUCUAAAUGACUUGCGUCACAGCCUCUCAUAGGGAGGACCCACAUCACUGCUGCCUUUUAUCUACACAUAUUUGCCAUCACUGAUCUGCUGCAUGCUCACCAUCAGAGAGAGGCUACUUGCACCUGCACUGCUGUGCCUAAUCUGUCCUUAAUCUUGUGACGACCGCACUCUUGAUCUGCCAGCAAUCAACUUGUGAUCUGCCCUCUACUCACACCUUAAUCUUGUGACGACAGCUCGCUCUUGCACUUUGCACCUAUACUGCAGCCAGCCCUUGUUCUAUCUAAGAUCUGCCUCUCUCUUGUGAUGGCAUCUUAAUCUUGUGACGAACUGAACAUGUUUGCAUGCUACAUCUUGUGAAUACCGCAUCUGCACCCUGAUCUUGUGAAGACUGCUAGCACACCUAUAUCUACUACUCCAUGGCUGCUCUUUUCUAUUUUCUUCUGAAGACCGGAUCUUCUGACGAACUACAAGCGCCACUGAGGGCCUGGCGUUGCCUUGGCUUGCCUCUUCGAUGACGGUGGCAAUGGCAACCUGUACCUAGCAAAAAGAUAACCACAGAGCUGCAGCUGCUGUGGAGUCUCACCAUGUAGUGAUGCGGCCAUGGCGACGGCGGCGGCCUUGCUUCUCCUCGGCGUGACGGGCGGCGACGCUAGCGGCCUCCUUCUUUCGAUCUGUGUGCGCGCGCGCGCGCGCGUGCGCUGUGGACGGGAGCCGCCGGCAGGGCCUCGGCUUCUCUCUCCCGGUGUGUGUCUCCUCGCAAGCGAAAUAGGAUAUGGCUUUGUAUAGGCAGUGCUUAGGGUUAACGGCAGGAGGAGCGUCUGGAGUCGAGCGCCGCCGUGAUGCUGUUAGCGAGCGAGCGAUUCCUGCGGGGCAACUCCGUGGACGAGGGGCCGAGAGCUGUUGCGACGCGUUGUCAAAUUCAAACGUUGCUGAACUAGAGCCUAUCCUCUCGAUUGUUGUCUAGAAACUAGAACCUCUAAGCUUUGAACGAGAGGAUAAGCACGCUAUAGCUUAUAGCUCAGGAAGAUAACAUGUGUACCUUGCCGUUCGAAGUAACGCCAGAAUGCGUGAUGGCCGAAAGAUACUGGUACUUGUACGUAUCUCAUACGCAUACGCGUACUGGACGAGCGUCAUGCAAAAAUGAAUUGUGGGCCGUUGGAAAGCUUCGAACCAAUUGGGCCAGCCUUUAUCAGUUUGUUUACUAGCCGCACAACAACAGGGUCCACGUAAUCACAGGUGGGGUCCACGUAAUCACAAGUAUACCCCCCUCAAAUAAAAAACCGUAAUCACAAGUAUACAGUCUCAAAUACAUGGCCAUGCAAAGGGUACGUGAAAGUGCCCAUAGCUCCAUUAAGGUAGCGUAUAAAUCUUUGCUGUUAAACACACCUUCCGUAACCAUAUACUUUACUAGCAAGCGCUAAUGCUUAUAUGUUAAUAUGAUCACUCAAUGAUAAGUCGGUCCCGCGACACCUUGUAUCUUCAUUUUAAAAAUGCCAAAUUUUCAUUAUACACAUGGCCAGGUAGCAACCCGAUCCAACAGUUUCGGUCCCUGUCAUGGCUUCAGCAAGCCAUCUAUUUAUCGUUACCAAGGAGAGGUCAGUUACUUUCAUUCCCACUACUGCACAAUAAAGCCAAUUCAUUUCGGAGUCAGUAAUUUUGGUCUCCUUCGUUCUUCCCGAGACGCGGUGGCUCAUCCAAAAAUGAAAUACUUGUGGUAUGAGAUUGCAAAUAUUUUUCCGUUGCCUGUUUUCUUCCUUUGCAAUUUUCUUCCAGAAUUCCUUUAAGUCUUCUUCUUCCACUUCUCCAUAUAUUGGGGUUUUAGGAUUGAAACCCAGCAGUGUUGUGAUUGCUCCAUAUGUAAUAAUCUUCACUUCAUCCUUUAUUCUAAAGGAUAGUAUGGAAUUUCUUCAUUUGUCUCCUCGUUCCAUUGCAUGGCCUCUUUCAUGGUCAUGAACAUCUCCACGGCUACAUCCUUGUGUACACUGACGGGGCCACUAAGAGCGAAUUGCAUCCACCCAAUAUUUCCCAGGAGCUUGUAAAUAUCAUUAUGAAAUCCAAUAUCCUGAAGAAAGUCGUCGUUGAAGUCAUGGUUGGUGACGAUUCUCCCUUCAAUAUUCUUCAGCCCCUCUUUCUCCUCCUUGCUUUUUAUCAUGAAGCCGUAUGUCGACUUCUUUUCAGUGAAGCCCCCACGAGAGCAAGUUGCUCUCCUUGAAGUGUCUGGUGCGGCUUCAGGAACUCAAUGCGGUUCAUCGAACCGAAUGGAGGAGCUUCGUGUGUUCAUCCCACCAACCAACAUACGAUCAUUGCGUGGUGGUGCCACGUCGACGUCCAUGCCUCGCGGUGACUUAGAGACCGAGUGCCGCCGCGAAGCGCUCGAUGUAGAUGAUGCUACGGCCGACGAGCGUGACUUCUUCGUCCUCCCGAAAAACCUUCCAAUACUCUUGUCAGAUUUAGUGACCCGCAGUCCACCAGGGGGUUACCCAAGUGGUAGAUCUGUAGGCGGAGGAGAUUACAAGACCAAGAAAUCGAAUGGUAACAUAGGAACGUAAGAAUCUGAGUCGGACUACAACAUAUAUUCUACAAUAUUCAAGCAAAAUCUGUUUGCCCAGCCUCCGAGCUCGAUCUCCACGCGUCUUCAUGCCUUGGCCCACACGGCGUGAUCGGGCGGACCCACCUAUCAGGACCGACCAGUAUCCUGGUCGGUUGAGACCCGUGGGUACCCUUAUCCCUCAAGUCCCCCAAGAAAUGUGGAGUCGAACAAGGGGCUGAUGGAUGUGCAACGAAGCUUGUAAUGCACUCAGCUGAAGUUGCGGUAUCAUCAUAGUGAUGAAGAGGUUACGCAGUGCUCAAAAAAGGAAGAAAAUUGAAGCUUCCACAGGCGUAUGACCAAAUGCACAUGGCUAUGCGACUGCUGAGCUCCGGGAUGUCUAGCAUCCUAUAGAUCAAAGGGAAGCACAUGGAGGGCGUCGCAAGACGCACUCCAUAUGGAGUAGCCCUCGAGCAUUGAAGCGAUUAAAGUAAUCGGUCCAAUCAUCAAGAAUCUGAUGUAUUAUUUCCGUUGUAAAAGGGAUCCAAACAUAGCGCCGAGCCUCCGAGCGUGAGGACUGGUAGAGUCGCAGAGGCACGCUGACCAGAAAUAGGCGCUCAGCCCCCGAGCGCGAGGACUGGCGGAGCUAAGGAGGCAUGCCGACCUGAAAUAAGCAUUCAACCCCCGAGCAUGAGGACUGGCAAAGCCAAGGAGGUACGUCGACCAAAGUAAGGCGCUCAACCCUCGAGCUUAGGAGCCGGCUGAGUCGCAGAAGUACGUCGAGUCACCUCCCGCCCCGAGCUAGAGAGGUCAGCUGCGCGACGGGAGGCAUGUUGAGUCUUCUGUGGUGCCCAGCUCUCGAGCUUGGGAGCUGGCCGAGCCACUGAAGCACACUGAGUCGCCUACCGCCCCGAGCCAGAGAGGUCAACCGGGCAACGGGAGCCACGCCGAGUAGUUUUGGAGCUAUAAAAGGACAAUCAAAGAUUAUGUAGCAUAAUAUAGAGCAUUUAAUAAUUAAAUAAUUUGGAGUUUUAUUCAGCGUAGAAGUAAAUUCUUACGCAUCCUGCUCUUGUAGGCCAUGUAAUUUCCCCAAGUAGUUAGCCCGUUACGUUUAAGCACCUGACCCUGUCGGGGUGUUGUCGAGAGUGGGCUUGAGCAUGCUUAGCCUGAAGCAACACAUGAGGGCCAGGCUUCACGGACUAAGGCAUGUACUACCCGAGUACUUUAGCAACAGUUAAGAGAGACGGACAAGCCGUAAAGUAGUCGGAACUGUGUGGAAAAGCAAGAGCGUGCACUGGGCACUCGUAGGUCGCAGCCCUAACUGCCCGAGUAGUGGACGGACCAAGCUAUGUAAGCAGUCAAGGUGUGACAGGAUGGUCGACAAAAGUCACGAAGACAUAGCGAAGCCGAGGCGUGAAGGUGUAUGAAGAUAUAUAGAAGCUGUAAAAUAUUUAAUUGACAAUAAUACUUAGCUUGAUUCAUAGUCGAGUCAAAGAUCCAACAUGUCAUCCUUGCAUUUGGGCUUAGAAGCCCUAGAUGCCAGCUUGGUCGUCGUGGUCGGCGAACAGCUGGUUCGAUGAAGCAAACUGGUCUCAAUUGGCUGGAACUUGUCCCUGACUAGUAUGCCGGAUCCAGGUGGUUGAAGGUGUCGCAGUGCGCUGACGUUGCUGAUCAAAGGGGAAUCAGGUCGGGUUGCCGUGAAUGUGGCAGGCCUCUUGUUGCUUGAGUCAUCAUGGCCGUCAUGCAGUAGGGCACAUGUGGUUGUGCCGUACAUCUUGCGCAGGCCAAGGAUGCAAGUUCCAUCCCCUACCGGAUCCUCGUAAGAUAGUCUUCGCGUAUCAAGGAGAUAAUAUAGAAAAAAAAGCAACGUAGGAGAUUCGGUGGAAUAUAUUUAAUAAUAAAAGUAAAGGAGAAUUGUUCCCUGUUGUUUGUGUGGCUGAUCCCAUCCAGAAGCACCUGUUCUCUAUUCGACCAGGAGUCAAAAAAUGAAUCGAAUCUCCAGGUGACCUGACUCCAUGCGUGAUGAUUGCGAUUGAUCCAGUGUCAACGUCAGGGUCAUCGGGCGUCCCGCAGCAGCGCACAAUGGAGGCCUAGCGGUGGCGCAUAGCGGAGGCACAAAUACGCCAAGCCAUGAUGGUGAAGCGGUCGGCGGUCGAUAAAGAUGAGUUGGCGUGUGUGAAAAAUUAAUCGGUGAGUAGAAAAUCGAGUAGAUCAAUCUAAGAGUGAUAAUAAGAACGACUCAUCAGGAUUGCAAGAUGUAGUUGAUGACUGCCGUCGAGUUCGCUGGUGAGGAUCUCAUGAUAACCCCUACCUGGUGUGCCAACUGUCGGAUUUAGUGACCGGCAGUCCACCAAGAGAUUACCCAGUGGUAGAUUUGUAGGUAGAGGAGAUUUUAAGACCAAGAACUCGAAUGGUAACUCGAGUGGAGUUUUGAAAUUUUCAGGGCCUGCCUCCCCUGGUCUCCAUCUUCCUUCACAUGGCCACUUGAUCAUCAUUGUACUCACAAAUUCAGCAUUCACAUGAAUGGCAGCUCCAAAUCAAUCUCCUCAACUCCUUUGUGUUGGUACUUUGUUGAAAAUCAUGCACUUAUGUGUCAUAGCCUUGUUGUUUUCUCAAUUUCACUCAAUGGCUUGUCCUUUGAGUUGCAACAAACAAGUAUGGUAGGCCACUCUUUGUUUCUUUAUGCAUGUGUGGUAGGUGAGAGUCCCUCCAUGAUUGUUCCCGUGAUCACAAAUCAAGCAAUUAGUGGUAAUGAAGCUCAUAAACCCUCCAAAUUAUGUUUAGAUGCUUAAUCUUCUUCUAAUUUUGAAAAUUAAAAAUUAACACAGAGCUAGCAAUGAGUUCAAAAACAUUUUGGAGUAGUUUUGAAGCAUCAAAAAUAUUUGUAAGUCGAAAAGAUUUCUGACUACAUUAAUUUUGGUUGCACCGGUAUCGUUUAUUCUCAUGAUUGAGAUGAAGCAGUUUUGAUUUCAACUGUGGGGUAAUGCGUUUAGGUUCUAAUUUUGGCCAAAAAUGGGAGAGUGAUUUUGAAUGAAAUAAAUAAAUAUGGCUCAGAAAAAUUCUAAUUCUAAGAAAACCGAUGAGUUUUUCAAAUUUAAGCAAACCAAAAUCCAAUGGUCACGCGAGUCCUAGCAUGUGUCAAAAAUUUACAAAGUAAGAAAAUAUGGGCUCUACUCAUGUGUUUAUCAUGAAAACAAGUCAGGCUAAGUAUCAUGGUUAAGAUGAAAAGUCUAAUAGGAUAGGGAUAUAUGGUUCUGGUUUUCCAAGAAAUAUCAAAUAAAAAUUGGGAUGGCUCAAGUCAUUAUUUAUGAAAAAGAGAGGAAUAAAAAAUGACUGAGUGAAUAAAACUCCAAAUAUUAUCUUGGCCGAAGGUUCAACUUAUUCUAAUGUUCACCAGGUAUGACGUAGCAAAAACUGUGGCUCACUUACUUGACUCUUCAAAUGACUUCAGGGUUGUCCUCCCAGUAGCUUAUUCUUGACUCGAUGAUCGGGUUGUCUCCCGCAAAAUGCUUCGUUUAUAGUCUAUAGCUAGACCCUUCAAUUCUUCACUUUGGACCAGCGCUCGGUGUCAGCACUGUAGUCUUUGGCACCCACUUCUUCACCAUCUUUAGCUUAAAUGCAGGCACAGGCUUGGUUAUCUUUUUGGUCUUCAUAUGCUGGUGUUCUUCCUUCUUCUGGACGAUAGCAACUUUUUUCUGCUGACUUCUUUUCUUCUGCCUUCUUAUUCUUCUCCUCAUGCUUGACACGAUGAUGUAGCGGUAUAUAAUUGUUAGAAAUCAUGUUGCAUACCUCAAAGCGUGGGCGAAACUUGAACGCGCUCAUAGUGCCAUUGAUGUCAAACUUGAUCUUGCCCUUCCCAAUAUCUAUGUUUGCUCUUGCGGUCUUCAGGAACGGCCUUCUAAGGAUGAGUGGGGAUUUAGUUCCUUCUCCCAUCUCGAGUAUCACAAAGUCAAAAGGGACAAAGUGAUUUCCGAUCUUCAUAGGUACAUCUUUAGCAAUGUCUUCAUGAUAGCGAACGGUGUUGUCUACCAACUCCAGGUACAUAGUAGUCGGUUCUGACUCCUGCAGGCGUAGCUUCUUGAACACAGUUUUAGGCAUGACACUCGCACUUGCGCCAAGAUCACAUAAUGCCCUACCAAACAUAGAUAUCCAAUUGAACAUGGGACGGUUGGACACCCAGGAUAUCUUUUCUUCUCGGGAGCUUGAUUAGCGAUUGCAGCACUGCACUCUUCUAUCAUCUUGAUGUGAUCCGUAGUGAACUGCGGAAUCUCUCACUUGUUCGUUAGGAUAUCCUUGAAGUAGUGAGCGUAGGUUGGAAUAUGUAGAGUGUCCAACAAUUGUAUAUUGAUGUUCAAUCUGCGCAUAACUUCAACAAACUUCUCAAACUGUUUGUUAGUUUUACCUAGACGAUGGCGUGGUUUCUCUGGCAGAAUAUUUAUGUCAUCUUGAUAGAUCAUCUAAACUCUGGCUCUUCCAUUUCAAUCUCCGAAGUUGGGGUAGGUGCCUUCUCCUUUGAAGUCAUCUAUGCUUCUGCAGCUAGUUUAGGCUUCCUAGCUCCCAUCAGACGUUCUGAGUUUUCUGUUUCCUUGCCUGAGUGAGUUUUAAUAGCUUUAUCUGACUCUGGAUUCAUCAGUUGUCCUGGCAACAUCCCUUGAAUGCUUGUAAAAUUCCUAGCUAACUAUGUAACUUGAAUUUCUAGCAUCUUCAUCAUGUUCAUUACUUGGUGGUUCGAACUUCCGACCUCUGUCACCUUGCUGUCAAUAUUUUCCUGAAUCUUGUCUGUAGCCUCAAACUUAGUGAUAGUGUCUUUAUUAAUCUUGUAUUGCUCCUCCAUGAACUCCUUCAACUAAAUAUGUAGAGGCACUGUGUUCUGGAUGGAUGAGCUUGCAUUGAAUUGAGGUUUGUUCUGUCCAUAACGAUAGUUGGAUGGUGGAAACUACUCUCCCUUCUUCAUGUAGUCUAACAACUUUGCUUCCUCUAGAUAGUUCUUCCCGACAUGGUUGUAGUCACCACACUCUUCACAUGUUGAUCUUGCUUCUGCUGCCUUCAGGUCUAUAGCUUGAGCUUCCUUUAUCUCCAUCUUCUCCAGUCUCCUCAUUAGCGAGUUGAUUUUUCCUCCGAGUAAUUGAUCAUGCUCCACCUGCAAUACUCCUUGUGUAUUUUCUGUAGGUUGAGCUGGGAAUAGCGCCCAGAUGAUGCCCAUGCAUCGGUGUCUGCAACCUUCUUGAAUAACUUGGAAGCUUGAGUUGGGUGAGGUCUAUAAUUGAUCCUCUAACCGAUGCGUUGAUGAUUGCCCUUAUUGCUGGUGUCAGCCUUUGAUAGAACUUCUGGAUAAAAUUCUCCUUCGGGUACUUAUGGUGUGGAAUUGCACAGACAUAGUCAUUGAAGCGCGCUCAUGAGCUUCAGCAAUCAUCUCGGAAGCAUAUUGAGUAAAAGUAGCUAUCCUGCUUCUGAGAUUCUGAGUCUUAGCUAGCGAGUAAUGUUCAAUUAAGAAAGCCUUUAUUAACUCAUCCUAAUUCUGAAUUGUUGCCACCGAGAGAGAGUAAAACCAUUGAAGCGCUCUUCCAAGUAGAGAGUAAGGGAACCUUGCCCUUAGUUGAUUCUGAGUAACUCCAUCCACGUCGAAGGUGUUACAUAGUUGCGUAAACGCUCGUAGAUGAAAAUUAGCAUCGUCCUUGCCACUGAAAGGUGAACUUUGCAAGAUCCUCAGUCUUGAAGUAUCGAUCCCAAAUGGUCGACCAAUGCCACCCAAUUCAUGGAUAGGUAAUUUAUUGAUGUUCGGGAUGCAAAGUUCCCCGAUAAUGGGCUCUCACUCCGGUUGUUGAUCUCCCAUUGUAGAUGCUUGCGGUACUUCUGGAGCAACUGCUGCUCCUCCUGGACUUGCUGGUGGUGUCGACUUUGGAAUAGAUGAUGAUGAUGAUGAUGUUUCUAACACAUCCAAUUCUUCCUUAACAUCUGAAGCUUUGAUCUUCAGCUUUCUAGCUUGUGCUAAACGUCUUCCUUGCAUGUAAAGUGUUUCUGGAUCAUCCACAAAAUUUUUCGGUUUGUUGGAGAGGUCAAUGUCCAUCUCCUGUUAGCGUUAGUGAAAGCAAACACAUAUAUACAAGAACUAGAUCUGAAAUAUUAAUUGAGAUUGCACAAAAAUAAAAAGAUUGAAAAGAAAAGAUUGAAAAAUCAUGAACAAAAAGUUAUAUCUACAGAUGCAUAGCUAAACUAGAACUUGACUAUUAGUUCCCCGGCAAUGGCGUUAGAAAAGCUUGUUGACGGAUGUUAACACACCAAGCUGUGAACCGCAAGUGUACGGAUCAGUUGUAGCUCUUCCCUCAUAGUAUUCCCCCAAGGUUUAUCAAUCUGUAGAACUUAUUGCACAAGAUCUAUUUCAACUAGUAUUGUUAGUAUUAACUUGGUAUUAAUGAGAGAUUCAGAUCAAAUCUACUAAACAUGUACAGACAGAUAACAGAUAGAGCAAAGGUAACCAAUCUAGAUCAAUCUAGACUAUGCAUAUGUUGUAAUUCUGAGCAUGGAUAGCAAAACAAUACAUAUGUGAUCUUAGUAAAAAGCAUCUUUAAAUCUACACCUCCAGUCCGGAUCCUGAAAACCCCCACCUUACACAAAAAGAUUCUAUGACGAUCACAUCUAUCAGCGCAAGUAGGUUAAGGGCAUAAUCAUAAGAAUAUGUCAUACUCAUCGGUAGAUCAGGCAUGCAAAUCUAGUCACCACGACCAUAAAAACACCCUAAGCAAUCUAUCAUCGAUUCAUAGAUUGAAAGGCAAGAAAAUCCGAUAAAGCAUAAAACCAUCGAUGGAGAUACUUAGAUCGCUGAGAACAUGAACGCAUCUAUUACUUCACCAUAAAUGAUUGUACAUCACAAGAUCACCACUGGGAUCCUAUCUUGAUCUUGAUGACUUCUAGCUCUAGAACUCCAGCAUGAUCUUCCUCGCAAGGUGAUCAUGCUAGCAGAGGUUCGCCUAUGCUAGCCUCUAACAAUUGCACGGCGCUCAGCUCUCCAGAGAGCUGUCCCUCAAGCUCCUUCUGCUUCUCUGUUGCUUCAUGUUGAGUACGUCGUCUUGGAUACGGGGCUCGGUGGAUUUUUUGGGGUAUUUAUAGUCCAAAGAACGUGGCAAAAAUUCGAAGGCGAGAGAUGAAGGAAACCUCUAGGCCGAUCGGUCUGGGAGGUCGGCCUAGGCCUUCCUUUUGGCCCCUCGUAUCCUACUUCGUCUCCAAGUCUCAUCUGGUGCUUUGAAGUCCUAUUUUCACUUGCACGUGAGCCUGACACGUUGGUUGCUUUGGGAUAAGAUUGAUUUUCAAUGGCUUUCCAAAUCUCUACUUGACCUUCUUUGAUUCCUCUCUUGAUCCCAACGUGAUCCUUGCCAUAUCUUUACAAACUUAGCCCUUAAAUCAUCUCGAAGGAUUGCUUACCAAAGAUGAGCGUCGGAAGGCUCUAGAAGACCCUAAGCCGAUCGGCCUGGGCUCCUCAGGGCCGAUCAGCCUAGGCCCUUCUUGGACCUGUUGGCUCUGUCUUCGUCUGGUUCGAUGCUCGUCUGAUUUGAUGCUCGUUCAGUGCUUUAUCCAAAAAUAUACUUUUAGGUCUAAUUCCCUGCAAAAAUAGAACAUCCUCUAAAAUAUGUUACACAUGUAAAAAUGAUCGGUUUAUUAGGUGUAAUCAAUAGUUUGUGUAUUAAAUUCAUAUCAUUAUUGAAGAUAAAUAGAGGAAAAAAUAUGUCAAUAGUGAGCGUCAACAAUGCGCCACCACCGCUCAACCAGAUGGUUUAGGUUUACACCAGGAAGCAUAGGCGGCGUGAAGGGAAGAGGUCAAAACGACGAUGCUUCCAAGAAGGUUACGGCACCCGAAGGUGUCGCCACCAUCGGCCCAUAGGAUGGGCAAGGCUUUCGCCAUAGUCCCAAUCCCCUUGCACGCCCCGACCGCGAACCGCACAUGCCUUGCCACAAGAGCCACCGGGCUCCAUCGCUGGAUGCUGGUGACACACGCGGGCAUCCUUGCUGUCACCGAACGCUACCACGUGUGCCACAAGCGUCCCCGCAACGCGCAUCGACAAGUAGCAGCCGCAGUCACGAACCAGCCCGCGAACUGCCACUUGGGGCCACGCGGCGCUGCCGCACCAGGCUUGACCGCCGCAGCGCCUAGAGCCGCCGCCGCCAUGGCCACAGGUCACCGCAGGGCUCGGUCGUGCCAGAACCGUGCUGCCGACGCCCGCGGCCAUAGGCCACCGCAGCGCCCGGCCAUGUGCCGGGUGUGAGCCGUCGACGCCCGCGGCCCUAAGCCGUCGCAGUGCCUGACCGUGUGCUGCAAUGACCCCGCGCUUGCCCGGACGCCGACCGCAUCAGCACGCUAGAGCAGGCAGAGAAGGGCAUGAUUCGGCCCUCCUCGGCCGGAGUAGCACACUGCCGCUAAUCCCGAGCGAAGGGUGCCGAGCCGCCGCCGCCGCCAAGGCCGGUGCCGUCCACUGACGGAAUUAGGUAAGAACGGCCAGCAGAGCGUGGAUCCGUUCGACCAACGUGCAGAUCCGGCCACUCCCGAGCGGAUCUGGCUGUCAGCCAUGGUCACAACGCAGAAGGGAGAAAGAGCGGAGGGAGAGGAAAGAAGGGAGAGGGAGAAGGGGAAAGGAGGUGGAACGGGCUGCCGCCCUCCUUGCUGCUCAUCGGGCUUCCGAUGGGCAGCUCCGGCGGCGGCGGUGGUGGGUUGGGCUGGGUAUCCUCGGAGCCACCCGAUUCGUCCAGAGAGGAUGACGCAGGGGCCGCGGGAGUUUUAGCGGCAUUGACAAUCAUGAUUGAAAAAGAAUGGCCACACUCAUGACACUGAUCUUGAAUUCUUUGAGUAAUAGAAACAGGAACGGUUGGUCAUUCUAGCUUGUUGUGGGGCCACGGUAUGCAAUUGAAUCAUCGAUGUUGUAUGGACGGAGAGAUAAUAGCUUAUGCUUUUAAUGUCACUAGUGUGUAAUUCUGCUCGUUGGUUCCAUCUGGUGGCCCACAUGUACUCACGAUGAACCAGACUGAUUUCGGUGGCUGGUUUCUUUUGCGAACCCUUUGCUAACUACCUCAGUACCUGCCCUCCAAACUUAUGUAUUUUGUUACAUUACCAGUACAAGUCAGAUCUGUUCACAUUGGUAGCAGUUGUAAAUUUUUUAUAUCGAUUAUACUGUGCAGGAGAAUUGCUGUAAAUCAAUUUCUUUGGCCAGAUGUAGAGUGCUCCGUAAGUAAAUUCCUUCAGAAGUCGGUUAAGUUGCAGCCAAUAUUGAUUUCAACUUGUAAACCUUUUAGCUAGGCUUUGUUUGGAUGUUGAUAUUGGUAGCCUUAGCAUUGAAUUGGAUCAAAUACCAAAUUAGACUAGUAUUGGUAUUAAGUUACAGUACCAAAACCAUUGUUUGGAUGUAGAUGAAAUUACUAGAUAGAAUUUCAUGAGAUAGACAAAUCCAAUUCACGUUUGGAUGUAUAUAUCCUGAAAUUGAGAAUUGACUGCUCCUUUUCACAUCUUCUUCUCUCCACGACUGAAGCGUCCCCACAUAAGUAGAGACUAAAUGUGAUCCAAUUAUCAGUCCCAGGAGGCUGAUAACACAUUUAUUCAACAGAUAGUUCAGAAACCGUACAACUCCCGAAGGAGCGGGCGGGCAAGCCACACCCAAAGCAAGACUAAAGCGAUGACAAUACAAAUCCAAGUUGCAGUCCAGUCGGACUCCGGGCUGCAAUCGGAACUAUGCGUCAGCGGAAGCAUCCUGCAAAAGGGCCAACACCGCAGGCAGCGUUGGGUGCAGACGCAACCUCCUACUCGAAGUCCUCGGCGACAAAGUCCGGAUCCUCCUCUGAAGUAACAACACAAGAGUGAGUACAAAAGUACUCAGCAAGUCCAACCCCAUCCACGGAGGGGGAUACAACAAGAAUAUGCAUAUGAAUAAUCAAGGAUUAAGCUGUGGUUUAUUUGCAGUAAAGCUGAAUUUUAGACACAUGCAGGGUUUCAUUUCAAAGAAGUUUCGUGAAAACAUUUUAGUAAACGAUAUAUCAAGUGGGGUUGAUCCUACACAAAGGAUCCAAGUUUUAUCGCUACCGGACUCCCCGUCCGCCGUAGCGCACGGCACACCUGCCGGACACUUCCAAAAUUCCACACACCCACACACGCAGUAAAAUACCAGUCAUAACCCAAAAGCUAGUUGUGUGACCGAGCCGUAACUCGUCCAAUGCCGUGGACACGGCUACCCGGAUAGGUUUUAACUCUGCAGAGGUUGUACACUUUUCCCACAAGUAGGGUACCGUAUCGCGAUCACCUUAGUGACGGUACGGAUCCUAACAAAGCUAUUACCCACCUUAGCCAAUACUGACUAGUCAACACGGAAGCGCUCAAGGGGUUAACAACCCAUCCACGGGGCCGAAACCGGGACCUAAGUCACCAAGAGCUUAGUCCUUUUCCAAGGCCUCCCGUUGCUCACCAGCACACCUGAAGCCUAGCAGUUUAGCUAGUGGGGUUUAUGCUAAGCCGUUGCCCAUACAACGGUCGAGUGGUUGUACGAUGAUGGAAUCAGGCAGGAUGACACAUCAACUCGGUCCUUAGCCAUGACAAGAUGGAUAUCUCCCACUCUGCUCAACCACUAAGGUACGAGCCCAACAAUCCGGCAUUCCACACAAGAAACACCCAUCCAUCUCAUCCACCACCUCUCUUUACACCUGAAAACCCAACUCCUCAGUUGUACACACUCACACAUUUAUUUUCCGAAUAAACAGAUGUAGUCAUGGUUGAAUUUGGAUAAUGAGUUCCUAAGCAUUCUAGCAGUAUUUAUCAUCUAAACAGAGCAACUCAUAUUUAGAGAUAAAUAUGGGACAACAAGGAAUAAUCAUAACAAUCAAGGGGUGGCUAUCCAACCAUGUCUUGCGAUAAAACAAUAUGCAUUUUAUAAAACAGGCCAAUAGGUUGUGUCUGAAAAACUGGGUAGUAAAUAUGCAUCAAAGGGUGAGAUUGGACUUGCCGUUCUCAAAGCCUUCCGGGAGCUCCUGCUCGCGGUACUGGUCCUCGGGCUCGGGCUCGCGGUCGAACUCCUCCUCGCGCUCCUCCUCGGGUACUCCGCGAUCUACGGCACACACAAACGAGCACACAAUAAAUAAAAAGGGAAACAGGUUUUACCCGAUGAGCUCCGAACAGGAAAUAUGAACGGAAAAUAGGUAGGAAGGGUAUUUUCGUGGAAUUUUGAUAUGCCUCGGCGGAAAUAUAGGUGAGGAGGCCGUGGUCGAAUUUGGGGUUAAUUGGAGGAAAUUUGGCGCAUGAAAUGACGGGUUAAAAGGGGUAUUAGGGGCUUUAAAGGAGGUUUAGGACUAAACCGCGAAAGCAGGGGCCUAUUUGUAAAUAUUUUCGGAAGGGUGGGAGGACUUGUUCGCGAAUAGGGAAAACUUGAGGGUUAGAUCGGGAGAGGAGGGAUUUUAUCUUCUUCUUCCUCCUUGGGCCAUAACAGGAAGAAGGGGGGGGCGUUGACCGGUGGCGGCCGGCCGGCCUUGCUUGCCGGCGGCGCGGCCGAGUGAUGGGGGAGGAAGAGGGUGGUGUGGGGGGCCCGUUUUGGGCCCUCACCUUGGGCGGCGAUGGUGGGAGGAGGGGCGCCGGCACCGGUCCAGUAGGGGGCGGCGGCGGCAAGCGACGGCGGCGGUCGGGCGCACGGGAAGCAAGGGAGGGGCGGCGGCAACUGGCGGCGGUGGUGGUGGUGCGGAAGGCCGGGCGUGGCCCCCUUUUAUAGGCCGGCAAGGGAGGGGCGGCGGUAGCAAUAAUGGUGUCUGGGACUUCCGGCCGGUGGCGUGCCCGGGCGGGCUUGCGCGUGGAUGGCGUGGCGGCGUGGUCGUCGAGGACGCACAGGGGGCGGCGACCUCUUGGGGAAAUGCGCCGGGGGGGAUGGCGAGGUGGCCGGCGGAUGGUGCGGCGCACAGGGGCGGCGAUGGGAUGGCUCGGGCGGAGCAGACGGCGCGUUCGGCGCACAGGGGCGCUCGGCGCGGCCGGCGCGGCCGGCGCGGUCAGGCGCGCGCGGCGCGUCCCGGCGCCCGCGGCGCGGCCGACGCGGCCUGGCGCGUGCGGCGCGACCGAGCGCGGCCGGGCGCGGCCCGAGGCGCUGGCGAGCGCGUGCGGCCCGGUGGGGCCGGUGCACGGCAGGGGCUGGCCGGGAGGAGCCAGGCGCGUAGCGCCAGGCGGAUGGCGCCAGGGAAAAAUGCACCAGGAGAAAAUGAAGGAGAGAGAAGGGAAGGAGAGUGAGGGAGAAGAAAAGGAGAAGGAAGAAGGAGUAAAGGAAGAAAAGGAAAAAGGAAGGGGAAGGGAGAGGAAAAGAAAAAGGGGAGGGGCAGUUCAGCGAAAGUUGCGGGAUUUAGACGGCUCGCGUGAUGGAUUGGACGGCACGCGGCGAAAAUUACGGGGAGCGGAAAAAGAGGGUUGACGAACCGGGGCCGGAACGGCGGGUCCGACGGAGGGGAAAAGGGUUUGACGGAGCUCAGCGGUUGGAAAAUUUUUGGAAAGCAUUUUUAACGCGUGAUUUAACCGGGUGUAUUUUACGGGCGUUACAAACCUACCCCACUUAAAUUGAAUCUCGUCCUCGAGAUUCGGCUGAAUCCUGAACAGAUGGGGAAAUUCCUUCUUUAACGCAUCCUCGCGUUCCAGAGUGGCUUCUUCCUCACCAUGCCUACUCCAUUGGACUCUGCAAAUCCGCACUGCUGAAUUCCUUGUUCUUCUGGUGACGGUGUCAAGAAUCUUGACGGGUACCUCCUGAUAUCGUAGAUCCUUCUGCAAAUCUAUGGUUUCCACCGGUACUUGCUCUUCUGGUACUCUCAGGCAUUUUCUUAGCUGGGACACAUGAAAUACCGGGUGGAUGUCCGACAUUUCCUCGGGCAACUGAAGACGGUAGGCUACCGCUCCAACUCUUUUUAUCACCUUGUAUGGUCCGAUAUACCGAGGGGCCAGCUUUCCUUGCACUUGGAACCUUCGGGUACCUCGAAUCGGAGAGACCUUAAGGUACAUGAAGUCCCCCUCACUGAAAAUCAACUCUCGUCUCCUUUUAUCUGAGUAGCUCUUCUGUCUAGACUGUGCUGCUUUCAACUUCUCUCGUAUUUCAGCUACUCGCUCUUCUGCUUCCUUAAUAAAAGCAGGUCCUACCAGGGUGCGCUCUCCCACUUCCGACCACAUCAACGGGGUCCUGCACUUUCUCCCAUAGAGAGCCUCAAACGGUGACAUGCCUAAGUUGGCUUGGUAGCUGUUGUUGUAUGAGAACUCUACAUAUGGUAGACUCUGUUCCCAAUCCUUGCCAUAAGUAAGGACACAUGCCCUCAACAUGUCUUCCAUGAUCUGAUUCACUCUCUCUAUUUGGCCAUCGGUCUGGGGGUGAUAAGCUGAACUAAAGUCCAGUUUGGUGCCCAUAGCCUUAUGAAGACUCCUCCAGAAUCUAGAGGUGAAUUGGGUCCCUCUAUCCGAAACAAUUCUGCUAGGUACACCAUGCAACUUCACUAUAUUGUCCACAUAGAGUCGAGCUAGCUUUUCUCCUCCAUAGGUGGUCCGUACGGGUAAGUAGUGGGCAACUUUAGUGAGUCGGUCCACUAUCACCCAUAUGGAGUCAUUCCCUUUUUGAGUCUUGGGCAAUCCCACUACAAAAUCCAUGCCAAUCUCGUCCCAUUUCCAAACUGGAAUGGGUAGUGGUUGCAGUAACCUGGCUGGCUUUUGAUGUUCGACCUUAACCCUUUGGCAAGUAUCGCAAUGAGCGACGAACUGGGCUAUGUCCGCUUUCAUCCCGUUCCACCAGUACUUCUGCUUUAAGUCCAUGUACAUCUUGGUGGAUCCCGGGUGGAUGGAAUAUGCUGAGUUAUGGGCCUCAUCCAUGAUGGUUUGCCGGAAUUCACCUUCCUUGGGUACACAAAUCCUAUCCUUGUACCACAAGGUUCCCUUUUCAUCCACUCUGAAGUCUGGGGCUUUAUUUUCUCCGGUUUGUUUGCGAAUCCUCACCAGGUCCGGGUCCGAGCCUUGGGCCUCCCGGAUUCUUUCUUCCAGGGUGGGCUGAACACUUAGCUUGCGGCUGGUAUUCUGAGGAAUGAUAUGCACAUUUAAUCAGGCCAUUUCCUCUUGUAAGUGGGGGUCCUUAGGUCCGAUCUGCCCAUAGGAUUUCCUGCUUAAUGCAUCCGCUACCACAUUGGCCUUACCGGGGUGGUAGUGAAUUUCCAGGUUAUAAUCCUUGACCAAUUCUAACCAUCUCCUUUGCCUUAAGUUCAGAUCUGGUUGGGUGAAGAUAUAUUUUAGGCUCUUGUGGUCAGUGUAAAUCUCACACUUGUUUUCGAUCAAGUAGUGCCUCCAGAUCUUGAGGGCAUGCACUACGGCUGCAAAUUCCAAGUCAUGGGUGGGGUAAUUUUGUUCAUGGGGCUUAAGUUGACGGGAGGCAUAUGCUACUACCUUCCCAUCUUGCAUCAGGACACACCCUAACCCUUGUCGAGAAGCGUCACAAUAAAUGACGAAGUCCCGCUGGAUAUCCAGUAGGGUUAACACUAGGGCGGUCGUUAAUCUUCUCUUCAGUUCCUGAAAACUCCUCUCACAUGACUCAGUCCAAUUGAAUUUCUUAUCCUUCCUGAGUAGCUCUGUCAUAGGUCGGGCUAUCUUGGAAAAUCCUUCAAUGAACCUCUGAUAAUACCCAGCUAAACCCAGAAAACUCCUGAUUUCACUAACAUUGGUGGGUUGCUGCCAGUUGGAGACGGCUUCCACCUUCUCGGGGUCAACUGCUACUCCUUCUGCGGUCAAGAUGUGACCAAGAAAUGCCACCUUCUCUAGCCAAAAUUCACAUUUACUGAAUUUAGCAUAGAGUCGGUGGGCUCUCAAUCUCUCCAGCACUACUCGCAGAUGUUGCUCAUGCUCUUGGACACUUUUGGAGUAAAUAAGUAUGUCGUCGAUAAAGACCACGACAAACUUGUCUAACUCCUCCAUAAACACCUUGUUCAUGAGAUUUAUGAAAUAAGCAGGGGCAUUGGUCAGUCCAAAGGACAUCACUGUGAAUUCAAACUGGCCAUAUCGGGUAACAAAAGCUGUCUUCGGAAUAUCACUUUCCUUAAUCUUGAGCUGGUGGUACCCUGACCUCAAAUCUAUUUUGGAGAAGUACUUGGCUCCUUUUAACUGGUCAAAUAGGUCAUCUAUUCUGGGAAGGGGGUAUUUAUUCUUGAUGGUGACCUCAUUUAGUGCGCGAUAAUCCACGCACAUCCUCAUGCUUCCAUCUUUCUUCUUGACAAAGAGCACUGGGGCUCCCCACGGGGAUGAGCUAGGUCUGAUAAAGCCACUCUGCUGCAGUUCACCUAGCUGUUUCUUCAGCUCUGCUAACUCAGAUGCUGCCAUUCUAUAGGACCUCUUGGCUAUAGGGGAGGUUCCAGGGAUAAGGUCGAUCACAAACUCUAUAUCCCUAUCCGGGGGCAUUCCAGGUAGUUCUUCAGGAAAAACAUCCGGGUAUUCACUCACUACCGGGACUCCUUCUAUGGCCUUGGCUUCCAUGCUAAAAACCAUUGGGUCGGGCCCACUUCCCCGGGUGUGGCAGGUCACUUGCACGCCAUCCUGGUUAAUUAGGCGCACCACCUUAUCAGCACAUCCUAUGUGUCCAUCAUGUAGGCUUAACCAAUCCAUUCCAAGGAUCACAUCUAUUCCCUUAGAUUUAAGUACUACCAAAUCUACUAGGAACUCUACCCCACUUAAAUUGAUCCUUACCCGGGAACAGCCUAGUCGACACUGGAUGUCGGCUCCAGGCGUUCGGGUUAUUAGGGGUACCUUUAGUAGUACUGUAGGUAUGUGGUGCUUAUCCACAAAGCUUGAUGAUAUAAAAGAAUGUGAUGCUCCAGAAUCGAAGAGUAUUGUUGCCAAAACUGAGCUGACUAGAAACUCACCGAGUACAACGCCCUGAGCUUCCUGAGCCUCUUGCGCGCUGAUGUGGUUGACGCGGGCUCGUCCAAAUGACUGUUGGGGCUGCCUCAUCUGCUGGCUGUUGUUGUUGUUGUUGCCGGGCCGGCUGUUGCUGCGGAUGGGAACACGGUUGGCUCCUGACACUGCUGCCCUUGGCCAAGUCACUGCGUUGGAGAAGGCUGAUGCAGCUGGCUUGUUGGCGUAGGGGCAGUUGGCAAUGAAGUGCCCUGGCUCACGGCAGUUGAAGCAUGCCCUGCCGUUGUUGGUGACUUGACUGGCGCUGUUCUGUGGGGCCUUGACAGGGUUCUGGCUUCUGAAUGGGGCAUUGGUCUGAUAGGAACCGGAGGCUUGAGACUGGGUCCGGUACUGCAUGGGAGCUUGGGACCUGGGCAUGGGGUGACCAAAGCUUCUUGGUUUCUGGAACCUGUCCUGCUGGUGGGCCUUGCUGUCCAGGAACCGGCGCUUGUUGUCCCUCCUUUCAUCUGCCUUGGCUCUCUCAGUCAGAAUAGCCAUGUUCAUCAAGGUGUUGAAGUCAGGGUAGAUCUGAGGAGUAAGCAGGGUCCUCAGUUCUGCGCUCAAGCCCUUCUUGAACAUGUCUUGCUUCUUCUCAUCCUUGUCUACUUCUUCUGGAGCAUAGCGAGCCAACUCCAUGAACUGAUAGGUGUACUCUUCCACGGACUUGUUGCCCUGGCGCAGUUCACGGAAUUCAUCCGCCUUGCGCUUCAUGGUAGCCGCAGGAAUGUGAUAGCGGCGGAACUCUGUCACAAACUCAUCCCAGGUGAUAGUGGAGGCAUCCUGGGCGGCCGUGCAGUAGUUCUCCCACCAAGCUAAAGCAGUCCCAGUGAGCUGGUGUGCAGCCAGGAGAACCUUGUCCCUGCUCUCACAGCCGAAUGGCUCUAGCUUCCUCUGAAUGACCCGCAGCCAGUCAUCUGCGUCCAGGGGGUUGAUGGACCCGCCGAAGGUGGGUGGCUUGGUGCGGAGGAAGUCUGUCAGCUUCUCAUUCAUACCCUGUCCGCGGGGCCUCUGGCGGGUGAUGGCAUUGGCCAAGGCUUCCAGCAGAUGGGUCUGGUUGUUCAUAACUUGUACCAAAUCAAUGACCGGUGGGGGCGGUGGCUCCUGUGCUCCCACUUGACUCUCUCCCCUGCCCUCGGGCUGAUUCACCUCUUGCUCCUCAUGGUGCACUACUGGUGGGGGCCCCUGCCUUUCCUGCUGCCUUUCUGCACUGGGAGUGGCACGUGCUUGACUCGGGGAGGUCCUGGUGGCACGCUUGGGAGGCAUCUGCAGAUUGAGUGAACUUUCAUGAGACUUAGAUUUGGAUAUUAAAGUGAUGUUUAGUUAAUUAAUUCGAAUUUUCGAAGAGACAGAAUCCACCUCCUGUCGACAAGCACACAGACUAACAACAACAAGCACAAAUGAUUUUAUUAUUUUGCCGGGGCGGUUACAACACUUGGGGUAGGGCCAAAACACGUGCUACACGACCGGUACAACAACACAACUGGGGGUACAAGCCUAGACUCGGGACAGCUUCUGGAGUACAACUCUGGACUACGGACCAUGACGACUCCACUCCCUCGGGCAAACUCUGGGCUGGGCAAUCUACUCGCGAGACGAAUCUGCACACUGCGCGGAGUGAUCUUCUGGCGGAAUAAGGAGGGCCAACACUUCAUCUCUUAGGGUCCCACCUGCGGGAGGGGGUUCUGAGGCUUCUCCAUUGGCCACCUCAGAGUCCCUCUCUGAAGGCGGUGGUGCUGGUGGGGCAUCGGGGCUCUUCCGCUUUCCGGACCCCUGGGCAACAGGGACUCCAUCCAAUACUGGGGCCUCGUCGUCCUCCACGACCCGCAUCUUCCUCCUCGUGCGGUUCGAGUGGUGGACCUCCUUCAGUGCAUGCGCGUGCCGGUCCUCGGCCUCUUUGAGGGCCUCGAUGACGAGGGUCUCAUUGCUUUGGGCGGCCGCGGCUCGGGCUUCAGCUGCUGCCAACCUCACCUGGAGCCUCCUCACCAUAACCUCGGCAUCCUCGGCUCUGCGGAUCUGCUGCUUCAAAUGGGCGGCCUGCUCAUCGCAGAGUUCAUCCAAAGUGAGGAGAUAGGCAGCCAUAUGGAGCACGGUGGGGUCAUCCUCGCGCUGUCCACGUCCUUCCAAAGUCCUCACCCGGGCCAGCCAAACCGGGCGGUUCUUCUUGACAGGCGGGUAGAACCUCAUCGGUGUGCGUCCGAUGUGCCUCUCAUAAAUUUGGCACAGGUAGCGCAGGGCUUUCCGAGCUGCCGCCUGGUAAGUGUCUUUCCGCCGGAAACCAGUGGCAGACACAUUCCAAGGCUGAAUGUCAGGGAAGCGGCUGCUCCUGCCCACAUAGAUGGUCAUCUCACACCGGAGAGUCCCACGGUCUUCAUACUCCUGGCUAGAGUACUCCGGGCGCUCGUAAAUCCCGAGGCGGUCCAUGCAGGCGAACAGCAACUUGGGAAAACCGGGCUCCUCCAAGCAGUGGCUGUUAAUCCAACCUUCUUCGGCAAUCUGGAAAGAAUCGGGGUGUAAAUCAGUUUUGCAAAUGAGCAGGGGUGGCAAGAAAUUUUGUAAAUCAUUUAAUUUGGUCAAAAAGGCUUUUCCGGUCCUAAUGGUUACGUCCUACGGCCAACGACGGCUCUGAUACCACCUGAAGCGUCCCCACAUAAGUAGAGACUAAAUGUGAUCCAAUUAUCAGUCCCAGGAGGCUGAUAACACAUUUAUUCAACAGAUAGUUCAGAAACCGUACAACUCCCGAAGGAGCGGGCGGGCAAGCCACACCCAAAGCAAGACUAAAGCGAUGACAAUACAAAUCCAAGUUCCAGUCCAGUCGGACUCCGGGCUGCAAUCGGAACUAUGCGUCAGCGGAAGCAUCCUGCAAAAGGGCCAACACCGCAGGCAGCGUUGGGUGCAGACACAACCUCCUACUCGAAGUCCUCGGCGACGAAGUCCGAAUCCUCCUCUGAAGUAACAACACAAGAGUGAGUACAAAAGUACUCAGCAAGUCCAACCCCAUCCACGGAGGGGGAUACAACAAGAAUAUGCAUAUGAAUAAUCAAGGAUUAAGCUGUGGUUUAUUUGCAGUAAAGCUGAAUUUUAGACACAUGCAGGGUUUCAUUUCAAAGAAGUUUCGUGAAAACAUUUUAGUAAACGAUAUAUCAAGUGGGGUUGAUCCUACACAAAGGAUCCAAGUUUUAUCGCUACCGGACUCCCCGUCCGCCGUAGCGCACGGCACACCUGCCGGACACUUCCAAAAUUCCACACACCCACACACGCAGUAAAAUACCAGUCAUCCCCCAAAAGCUAGUUGUGUGACCGAGCCGUAACUCGUCCAAUGCCGUGGACACGGCUACCCGGAUAGGUUUUAACUCUGCAGAGGUUGUACACUUUUCCCACAAGUAGGGUACCGUAUCGCGAUCACCUUAGUGACGGUACGGAUCCUAACAAAGCCAUUACCCACCUUAGCCAGCACUGACUAGUCAACACGGAAGCGCUCAAGGGGUUAACAACCCAUCCACGGGGCCAAAACCGGGACCUAAGUCACCAAGAGCUUAGUCCUUUUCCAAGGCCUCCCGUUGCUCACCAGCACACCUGAAGCCUAGCAGUUUGGCUAGUGGGGUUUAUGCUAAGCCGUUGCCCAUACAACGGUCGAGUGGUUGUACGAUGAUGGAAUCAGGCAGGAUGACACAUCAACUCGGUCCUUAGCCAUGACAAGAUGGAUAUCUCCCACUCUGCUCAACCACUAAGGUACGAGCCCAACAAUCCGGCAUUCCACACAAGAAACACCCAUCCAUCUCAUCCACCACCUCUCUUUACACCUGAAAACCCAACUCCUCAGUUGUACACACUCACACAUUUAUUUUCCGAAUAAACAGAUGUAGUCAUGGUUGAAUUUGGAUAAUGAGUUCCUAAGCAUUCUAGCAGUAUUUAUCAUCUAAACAGAGCAACUCAUAUUUAGAGAUAAAUAUGGGACAACAAGGAAUAAUCAUAACAAUCAAGGGGUGGCUAUCCAACCAUGUCUUGCGAUAAAACAAUAUGCAUUUUAUAAAACAGGCCAAUAGGUUGUGUCUGAAAAACUGGGUAGUAAAUAUGCAUCAAAGGGUGAGAUUGGACUUGCCGUUCUCAAAGCCUUCCGGGAGCUCCUGCUCGCGGUACUGGUCCUCGGGCUCGGGCUCGCGGUCGAACUCCUCCUCGCGCUCCUCCUCGGGUACUCCGCGAUCUACGGCACACACAAACGAGCACACAAUAAAUAAAAAGGGAAACAGGUUUUACCCGAUGAGCUCCGAACAGGAAAUAUGAACGGAAAAUAGGUAGGAAGGGUAUUUUCGUGGAAUUUUGAUAUGCCUCGGUGGAAAUAUAGGUGAGGAGGCCGUGGUCGAAUUUGGGGUUAAUUGGAGGAAAUUUGGCGCAUGAAAUGACGGGUUAAAAGGGGUAUUAGGGGCUUUAAAGGAGGUUUAGGACUAAACCGCGAAAGCAGGGGCCUAUUUGUAAAUAUUUUCGGAAUGGUGGGAGUACUUGUUCGCGAAUAGGGAAAACUUGAGGGUUAGAUCGGGAGAGGAGGGAUUUUAUCUUCUUCUUCCUCCUAGGGCCAUAACAGGAAGAAGGGGGGGGCGUUGACCGGCGGCGGCCGGCCGGCCUUGCUUGCCGGCGGCGCGGCCGAGUGAUGGGGGAGGAAGAGGGUGGUGUGGGGGGCCCAUUUUGGGCCCUCACCUUGGGCGGCGAUGGUGGGAGGAGGGGCGCCGGCACCGGUCCAGUAGGGGGCGGCGGCGGCAAGCGACGGCGGCGGUCGGGCGCACGGGAAGCAAGGGAGGGGCGGCGGCAACUGGUGGCGGUGGUGGUGGUGCGGAAGGCCGGGCGUGGCCCCCUUUUAUAGGCCGGCAAGGGAGGGGAGGCGGUAGCAAUAAUGGUGGCCGGGACUUCCGGCCGGUGGCGUGCCCGGGCAGGCUUGCGCGUGGAUGGCGUGGCGGCGUGGUCGUCGAGGACGCACAGGGGGCGGCGACCUCUUGGGGAAAUGCGUCGGGGGGGGGAUGGCGAGGUGGCCGGCGGAUGGUGCGGCGCACAGGGGCGGCGAUGGGAUGGCUCGGGCGGAGCAGACGGCGCGUGCGGCGCACAGGGGCGCUCGGCGCGGCCGGCGCGGCCUGGCGCGCGCGGCGCGACCGAGCGCGGCCGGGCGCGGCCGGGCGCGGCCCGAGGCACUGGCGAGCGCGUGCGGCCCGGUGGGGCCGGUGCACGGCAGGGGCUGGCCGGGAGGAGCCAGGCGCGUAGCGCCAGGCGGAUGGCGCCAGGGAAAAAUGCGCCAGGAGAAAAUGAAGGAGAGAGAAGGGAAGGAGAGUGAGGGAGAAGAAAAGGAGAAGGAAGAAGGAGUAAAGGAAGAAAAGGAAAAAGGAAGGGGAAGGGAGAGGAAAAGAAAAAGGGGAGGGGCAGUUCAGCGAAAGUUGCGGGAUUUAGACGGCUCGUGUGAUGGAUUGGACGGCACACGGCGAAAAUUACGGGGAGCGGAAAAAGAGGGUUGACGAACCGGGGCCGGAACGGCGGGUCCGACGGAGGGGAAAAGGGUUUGACGGAGCUCAGCGGUCGGAAAAUUUUUGGAAAGCAUUUUUAACGCGUGAUUUAACCGGGUGUAUUUUACGGGCGUUACAACGACGCCCAGGCUGCGGGCCGUAGCUUGGGCGCCACCGCGACGAGCUGUUGCUUGCCUGAGGCGGAGCGCCCCCCCCCCCCCCAAGCAUCGUCGGAUCCCACUGGAGAAGAAGACGGGGCGGCACAGCUCACCGGUGAAGGGAGCAGGGAGGGGCCGCGCCGCCUGCAUCCGGGGCAGAGCUCAUCCGCCCUCACCUUGCCUUGAUAGAGAAUAAGAUGGGGAUCCCGCUGGAGAAGAAGACGGGGCGGCGCAGCUCGCUGGCAAAGGGAGUAGGGAGGGGCCGCGCCGCCCGCAUCCGGGGCAGAGCUCGCCCGCCCUCGCCUUGCCUCGCCGGAGAAGAAGACGGGGAUCCCGUUCUGGAGAAGAAGACGGGCCGCAUUCGGGGCAGAGCUCGCCCACCCUCGCCUUGCCUCGUUGAAGAAGAAGACGGGGAUCCCACAGCUCGCCGGCAAAGGGAGCAAGGAGGGGUGGCGUGUCUCGGGCAGAGGAAGGGAGGCGCGGCAGAGUUCGCCGACGAAGGGAGCAGGGAGCGGCCGCGCGUAGAAGGAAGGGGAGGGGUGCCGACGCGGGUGGAUGUACGCCAAGAGAGAUGAAGACACGGGGAUGGGGGAGGACAAUUCCAUCCAAUAGAGAGGCGGAUGGCUCGGUAUCGAGUGUGACGGGGUGAAAGUGAGUUGAAUGUUGGUAGGUAUUGAGGUUGAUUUCCAAUUCCGAAUUCCAAACCAUCAAAAUAUACCAUCAAAAUAUUUAGUAUUCAGAGCUACCAAUACCGAUUCUGAAAAUCGGUGACUCAAUAUAUGCAUUGAAACGCCUUAAUUAUAAAUGAUGGUGCAAUGACAAAAAAAAAUCAGUACGAUUCUACAGAAUUGCCAGUACUUUAUUUUGGUAGUUCUCUUUUACACUGAUGGGCUAAAUCUGUUGGCAUGUAGUAAACGGCUUUGCCGCAUGUUGCUGCGAGAGCAACACAAGGUCGCAGCAGAGAGACAGUAUUUUGUGGGGGAUGGCCAUGUUCAUUCUGGAUUUUCUGACAGGGCGCAUCGCAUCAACAGGUGCGUCGCUCACUCAUUGAUCCACUACUAGGCUUUGCACUUUUGUCUGCAGUGUGCCAGCACAGCCUCACUGCUCACAUGAUGAUCCCGUCUGACUUCCUCACGGUCACGCCGUCAUGGCCGGGUUGAUGGCACCAAAUCCAUUAGCUAGCAAGGAAGCUGUUCCGCUGGAUGCACCUUGCAACUGGCUCUGCGCGGUGAGCAAGUGCUUGGUGCGCCCACAGCCCCACACAUCUCUUCUGCUGAACAAGAACAAACGCUGCCCGAGAUCGCCGCUAUGAUCCGUCAAUCUUGAGCAGUGACCACAGGCUCACGAAUGACGACUUGCUAAUAGUGCUUUAGCUGUUCAUGUCUGCUGCACAACAUGCUUAUCUCUUUUGCCUGUCAGCUGCAGUUGCUUUAGUUAUUGUCCCGCACACUUCGACUUAGCCCCGUUUGGAGCUCCACAGCUAAAGUUUAGUCUAAUGUUUUGAUGCUAUUUAGGAUAAGCAAAUGUGAGCUAAUUAUAAAAUUAAUUGUAUAAGUGGUGACUAAUUGGCGAGACAAACCUAUUGAUCCUAAUUAGUUCAUGAUUAGCUCAUGUUAUGCUAAAAUAAAUAUGUGCUUAAUUAUAAAUUAAUUAGAUUUAAUAGAUUCAUCUCGUGAAUUAGUCACGACUUAUACAAUUAAUUUUAUAAUUAACUUAUAUUUAAUCUUUCUAAUUGGUAUGCAAGCUGAGCCGGACUAAAAAUUAGAGCACCCCUUUACUUGUCUCUUCCUGACAGGCAAAGAUGAGCAUUGCCACAUACUGCACAGUGUCACCGCAGAGCGCGGACCUGUGUCCGUGGCAUUGUACGGCUGUCGUUCGGUACGAAGUCGUUUCACGAGAAAGGCCUCUUGUGGAUGCUGACUGCGUGCUUCGUUCACGUGAUGAAUCUUGCCAACGUCUCUCUUGAGCUGGCUCGUAUACCUCCGGUCUCUACAGUUCUGUACUUCUGUUAUUUUUCAGCUCAUGUUUAUGCCCUCUAGACGUGGGAUGGUUCAUGUCGUGCAAAUGAAUUUAGGGCAUGUGUAGCUUCCACGUGUUAAAGUUUAGCACAUGUCACAUUGGAUGUUUGGAUACCAAUUAGAAGUAUUAAACAUAAACUAAUUACAAAACUAAUUGUACAGAUGGAGUCUAAUUCGCAAGACGGAUCUAUUAAGCCUAAUUAGUCCAUGAUUUGACAAUAUGGUGCUACAGUAACCAUUUGCUAAUGAUGGAUUAAUUAGCCUUAAUAGAUUCAUCUCGCGAAUUAGCCUAGGGAUUCUGCAAUUAAUUUUAUAAUUAACUCAUGUCUAGUCCUCCUAAUUAGCAUUCGGACAUAUGAUGUGACACGGCUAAAAUUUAGCAUCUGGUAUCAAAACACCCCUUUAGUGUUGUUUGGAUAUAAGGUGCUAAGCUUUAGCAGGGUCACAUCGGAUGUUCGGAUGCUAAUUAGAAGGACUAAAUAUGAGCUAAUUAUAAAACUAAUUGUACAGAUGGAGUCUAAUUCGCGAGACGAAUAUCCAUCAUUUGCAAAUGAUUACUGUAGUACCACAUUGUCAAAUUAUAGACUAAAUAGGUUUAAUAGAUUCAUCUCACGAAUUAGACUCCAUCUAUACAAUUAAUUUGUAAUUAGACUAUAUUUAAUACUUCUAAUUAGUCUCGAAUAUCCGACAAGUGUUAAAGUUAACACCCCCUAGAGUGUCGAUGUUUGGAAGCCUCUCCUAACGAUGGCAUUCCUUGUGAUAUCACAGUUACCCAGUGGUCUGAGAUGGAUUAUCCCCCAGGACUGUGGGUGGCUGGGUGCAGCUGCUAGAGGCUAGAGCGUCGACUGUCAGUGGCUAGAACUGUGGCGCAACGUGGUGGCAAGUGGCAACCACCUGUGUGCUCUGACUCUCUGACUGACCGGUUGCAGGCUUGCAGCACACAGCAGCAGUGCCGGCGCAUCUCUUGUGUCUGGAAACGCGUCCCCGAGGCACGGCACGGCACGGCACGGGGCUGUUGUAACAAGCGUAUCCGACAGAGCAGCUGCAGUAGAAAAAUUCCUCGUUUGUAACGGAAGCUUGGCAUGUCUGGAUGUCUUUACCCUGAACUGGGCUUGGUUUCCAUCUUGUAUAUUUCUCGCAGGAGCGUACUGCUGCGGACACCGUCGUCAAAAAUAGAAAAUAGAUGGAUUUUGGAGUACUUUAUGUUUGCAGUUGAGCCGUUCAUGCGUUGCUGUUCUGAACUUUGUCCCCUUUUGCAGUUUCUAGGUCAAAGGUUGGGAUCAUUGAGGCCAGUGGUGGGCCAGUUGAGCCCAGGUGGGUCCACGGAUUCCAUGAUGGGCUUGAACAAUAGCCCCACUGAAAACCUGCUGUUCCGCGCGCUCUGCAGUUUCUCGUUAGAAAAGCUCAACGCACUUUUUUUUAGAACAGAACUCAACGCACCAUGCACGCUGCUGUGCUAUGCAUUCUACCUUCAUUUACAAUACUUUUUAUUUUUGAAACACGAUACUUAGUGUUCGCCACAACCCUCUUGUCCUUAAUUACACAUGUAGGAAAAAAAGUAAACUAAUGGUGCAAUUAUGUAAAGACCUGAAAAUAGACUAAAGUUGUGGUAGAACAAGAAUUACUCCCAUCAAUUCUCUUCAGUUUCUCACUAAACUUUUUUUUGAGGAACUUUUUCACUAAACUGAACAAGUCCUUACCGGAGCAAGGCGUAGCUUGCGGCAUCUCCACUUAUUAGCCAGUCAUGGCCACACACUUAAUAUUGAAAUAUGUAAUGCAUACUUGGAACAUUCUAGAAGAUUGUGGAGAUCUCAAAAAACUAACUUUGCCAUGUAUAAGGAUAAGAUCAUGGUAAGAAGAUUCUUAAAAAUUAGAGAAUGCAUGAGCCAUAGUUUCCAUGCUUCAUGGUAAAGUAUAGAAUACUCUAGAACUAGAUGUUUUAGAUGUUUUAAUAUGGUAGAAAUAUAAAAAAUUAGGAUGAGAAGGGUUAUAGAGUUAGGAUAUUUUGUAUGGAAGAGUAUGGAAGUUGCCGUAUGGCAACACCAUAAUGAUCAUGAGCACCUAUAAUAGAGGUGCUCCCCUCCCUCUUAACCAUACCAUGGCAUAGAGUGACAUGUGAGCCAUAGGUGAAAAGAUAACAAGGUUGCCAUGUAGUGUAGUGGUGUUAUGAUAAGGUAACCACAUAAAAAGUGUAAGAGUGAGUGUUAUAUCAAAUUGUGAGUAACUGAAUAAAAGAUUUAAGUUUCCUUAUAGAGAGUUGGUCUCUCAUGUUGGUGUCAGUGUGAAGAUCUCCUGAAAGUAUUGUGGGUACAAAGUUCACAGAAAAAAUGGUGUCACAUCACUUUGGUGCCACUUACAAGAAGUGGGUGUUAAGGUUUGAACCGAUUUCUCGACACUUAAAAACCGCACGCGAUUACACACACCUCCGCACACACCCGAUGUAAUCUCCCAACCACCAUUGACGUGUGCCGCACUGUUGUUUUUUCUGAUCGUCCGGACGCGAGGAUUCCCGGCGCUCCCCCGGAUUUUGGAUUGAUCCGGCGGCGGAGGAAGACGAAGCCCCAUCUCUGAUCUCCCGGAAUGUCUCCCUGUUUUUUUGGGAGUCCUCGCAGGUAAGCCGCGCACACUAGGUUCAACAGGGACCGGCACUGAGGCACCCAAUCCGAUCCAAUCGCCUGGUCCAUGCCACUCCGGGGAAGGAAUCUGAUCGUCGUCGUCCCUUUCACUUUCCGUGGAGGACUUCUGACUUUGUAGAGCGACGGCAGGUCGGGAUAGGAAUGGUCGGCGAUGUGAUGCUACGGGCCAGUUCUACUGCACCACACACACACCUUGCGUCGCCGAUAGCGGGUGGUUUCAGAACGUUCAGUGGUGAGCUUGGUUCCGGCUUCUAGGACGUACGCAUGCGCGCUGUCCUCGUCAACGGGAGGCAGCACCGCGGUGGGCACAGUGCCACAUCAUCUUUGGUUUGUUCGGUAGGGUUCCAGCUUCUCUGAUAAUUUAUUUUAAGCAACAGCUUUUUACAAAGAUUCUUUAUAAGGCGAAGCCAUUUUGAAACUAGAAGCCCGACCCAAGAUGCGACAACGAACCGUUCGGAUCGAUGGAGGAUAUAGGAAUCUCAUAGCAUUUUGGUAGCGCAAGGCGCAGGGGAGGGAGAUACACGCAGUUGGGGUCAUUUCGAACAACGCCGGCGUAAGCAAGAAGAACGCGACGCAGUCCAAACUGACAAAGUGACAAUUGACAAAACCAUUUCGUGCCGACCCGGGCAUGACCAUCGGAAAAUAAAACUCCUACCAAAUUUCCAAACUUUGCUCGUGUUUUUUUUUAGAAAAAGGGGAGAAACUUUUGCUCGUGUCACCAGGCCAAACGCACAAGACUCAACAAGGCAAUUCGUUCGUCAGCAAAGUUAACGACACCUCGCCUCACCCUCCGACCGUGCGCCUCGACAUUAAACACCACCAAUAGUGACCAUAGCUAGAGGAGAGAGUGUCUGUGUGUGUGAGAGAGAACGCUGGGCGCGGCUCCAAUGGCGGCAGCUGCCUCGUCAGCCCCUCCUCUGCUCGCCUUAUUGCCUCUUCUCCUACUCCUCGCAGCCUUCUCGCCUGCCACAGCCACAGCAGCACGCUCCUCCAACCCCAGGGCUCCGUUCCCGCCACUCGCUCCUCUGCACCUGCAAGCUCUUCGGCAGCAGCGGGCGCGGGCGCGCAGCUCAGAUGUCAAGUACGUCGCCGCCGCCGCCGACGGCGCCAGCAACGGCACGGCGGCGAAGCCGUUCACGGCGCACUACUUCCCGCAGGAGCUGGACCACUUCACCUUCACGCCCAACGCGUCCAUGGUCUUCUACCAGAAGUACCUCGUCAACGACACCUACUGGCGGAGGCCCAGCGGCGGCCGCAAAGGCGGCGCCGCCGGACCGCUGUUCGUGUACACCGGCAACGAGGGCGACAUCGAGUGGUUCGCCACCAACACCGGGUUCAUGUUCGACAUCGCGCCCAAGUUCGGCGCCCUCCUCGUCUUCAUCGAGGUACAAAACAUUUUACAAAGCAUACGUCUUUUUAGAAAAAAGGAAUUAAAUCCUGCCUCUGCAAGUGCACACAGCUUAUUUUUACAAUUUUUCAACCAUACUGCUGAUUACAGGGAAUUGAGCACACAAAAGAUCAAAACCAAUUAAAAGCGAGUCUAUUAUUGUUUCUCUAUCCAUUCUUGACGAAAAUAUACAAAGCAACAGUCUCGUUGCCCUGCUCGCCAAACGAACGAUCUCAACAAUGCUCAAAAUCGCUGCCAAUAAAUUUCUGUGGAGGUAGCCUGCACGAAGGAAGUAAAGCAUACGUAGACGUAGCACUUGUAGAAUACAACCAUCAUCGAUAAUAUAUUGCUUAGUUAGCAAGUAUAAUCGUAGCAAAAACUAGCACGGACAUUUUGCUUUGUAGCUUUUGAAUUGCCGGUCCUUGUUUGGAUGCUGAUAAGAUAACACAGUCAAAAGUCUUGAGCUCCACAUCUACCUGUCAAUCAAUAGCACGAUUCUUCUCAUACUUAACACUCAACCAAACCUGACGCACGAAACACAUCCUUUUCCUGACGCUAACAUUGCCUUGUCAAACACAAGGAAACUGGAAAAAGAAACCGUCAGAAAAACAUCACACUGAUCCAGCAUCACGCAAGCACUAGCUUUUCAACCCAUAUGAACAGUGCGAUUGCCUUUUUUCCCCCAAUGGUUUGAGCAUGGGGAACACUUAACACUGUAAUUAAGCUUGGUAAAAUGUUGCUCCGUGGCCAUUGAUGAACAGCACCGGUUCUACGGGGAGUCGAAGCCGUUCGGGAACGACUCGUACAAGUCGGCCGAGACGCUGGGCUACCUGACGUCGACGCAGGCGCUCGCCGACUUCGCCAUCCUCAUCGGGAGCCUGAAGCAGAACCUCUCCGCCGAGGGCGCCCCCGUCGUCGUCUUCGGCGGCUCCUACGGCGGCAGUAAGUUCAUCCUCUGAUUGGGUACAGUUAUCUCUUGCCAGGAACGAACAAUGCACAUGAUGAACAUGUACCUGUCAUGUUCCUUGCGACGCGGAUCUGGAUCUGCCUACUUAUUCUUGAAAGAUCAGUUAUCUCUAUUAGUUUACUUAUUACUUGCUGACCGUGUUGAAUUGUAGUUGCGUGUCCGAAUAGGACGUGUUGAUUAGAUAAUUAAACCAGCUCACUUUGUUUAUGGUUGUGCUUGACUGAUGCUUAGCUUGUUGUUUGCAGUGUUGGCUUCAUGGUUCAGGAUCAAGUACCCCCACGUCGCCAUUGGAGCCCUGGCGUCCUCCGCGCCAAUCCUGCAGUUCGACUACAUAACACCGUGGAGCAGCUUCUACGAUGCCGUCUCGCAAGACUUCAAGGUACUAAUGGUUGAUAACUGCAUUUUUAUACUCCUCUACACAAAUAAUAACUUUCAUCUAAAGAAUGAGUGGUACCUCGGUCUCAAAUCUUAAAUGGAUAUGAUUGAGAAGUUGAGUUUUGGGAUUGUUAUGGUAGGAUAUGAUUAGUUUCAUGUCUCUCUGGGUUUAAUUACUGACAAACUACAACUUUCUGAACAGAAUAAUUGAUCAAAAUAUCUGCACAAUGGCCCAGAUAGCUUAGGGCAAAACAGACACCUUUUGACCUGUGUCUCCAGGACAGUACUCUGCUAACCGAUGGUGUCAGCUCUGAAUCAAUAGCACUGAUCUAAUGCAAGGACACAUUGGUUAGUUAGCAUGUCUUUGGGUCUUUGCUGCAGGUGGCUACAAAGAUCAAUGAACGUUCAGUGUUUUCAGUUGUUUAGCUGCACUUGACCUUACUACUUUUCCGUUGCCCCAGUGCUGUUCAUGAUCGUGCAACUUAUUAAUUCUUGGAUUGAAAUGUCACAUUGUCACCUGCCAAUAAUGCAACUAAAUCAGCUACUCAUGAAUCCAUGACUGUGAUGGCUCAGUGUUUUAUGAGCUCGAUUGCGAUACUUAACUGCGCAUCUGAAUUGUAUAUAACUUCUCAAUUUCACUUGCAUUAUGUAGCUGUAAAUCAGGUCCUUGGUCUACUUGAAAAUUGUUUUGUGAUUGAGAGAACCCCUUUUUUUUUGAAACACCUGAGUGCUUGUCUAAAAAAGGAACGUGUCAUCCCAAGCAUUCCAUGUCCAUGACUAAACAAGGUAAAAAGCAGACGAACUGGCUUUCGUGCUGGUGACAUCUUUGUCAGAUUAUUGUAUUGAUGCUUUGUUAGUCAUUGUCCCAAGCUAUAAGAUAUGCCAAUUCUUCCCCCCUACGAUGUUUACUGAUUGCAGCUUGCAACGAACGUUUGCAGUCUGAGAGCUUGAACUGCUUCAGCGUCAUCAAGGCAACCUGGGAUGUGCUGGAUGAGAGAGGGGCCAGCGACAAAGGGCUCCUGGAGCUCAGUAAAUUGUUCAGAGCCUGCAAGUAAGUUCAUUUUAAACUCAAACUCGUCUCGAUCAUGUCAGGGAAUGAAAGCAGACUUACUGGUCUUGAUUAUUGCCUGCAAGUAAUGCCUGAGUACUGGAUUGAGUUGUGUGAAGUGCAAGUAAAUCGAGCAUUAGUCAAAUACUUAGGCAACUAUAGGUUCUUUGUCUUUUUUAUUCCCGUCAUGCAUAUAUAAAUUCAUAAAUAAUAGGACAUGCGUGUACAGCUCAACUUGACAAGGAUGCUCAACUAUUGAGCACUAAUGAUGUACCAUCUUUUCAGGCACUAAUGAUAUAUCUUUAUUAUAUGCUGCAACUUAAAUUUGUUUUUUUUUUCCUGCACUCCAUUUUCAGGACUGUGAAGUAUGCUUAUUCGAUCCCAAACUGGCUGUCGACAGCAUUCACCUACACUGCCAUGGUGGACUAUCCGACCCCGGCCAAUUUCCUGGAGAAUCUACCUGCCUACCCUGUCAAGGAGGUUGUCCAUUUUUACCCACAUUCUACAACCAAUUCUCCCAUUUGAACCAAAUUAAUCACAGCAGAUAGUGUUUCGGAAUUGCCAAUCUGAACUGCACGAACUAUUCCAGUUCUUCUGAACUUGUGUUUCAAAACCGUGUGCCAAACGUAACCUUGUAUUAGCAAUAAUCCACUUCAGUUCUAGUGAUCAUGUAAGUUCUCAUGAAAACUUCUGCAGAUGUGCAAGAUCAUCGACGGGUUCCCCACAAACACAGACAUUCUGGAAAAGGCAUUCGCAGCGGCGAGCUUGUACUACAACUACACAGGAGACCUGACUUGCAACCCGAUUGAGGACGAAGAUGACCCGCAUGGCCUCGAUGGCUGGCAAUGGCAGGUAAACCUGAAAGAUAAUUAGUACCAUGCUAGUGAAAGCACAUAUAAUCUCAGAUUGUUGACAUACUCCUGUGUAGGCUUGCACCGAGAUGAUUAUGCCAAUGACAGUCUCCAAUGAAAGCAUGUUCCCACCAUCCAGCUUCAGUUACAAAGACAGGUCUGAUGGAUGUUUUCAGAGCUGGGGGGUUCGGCCGAGGCCACAUUGGAUCACCACUGAAUAUGGUGGAUAUGUAAGUGUUUCUUUAGAGUUUCAGUGUGCGCAUAUGAACCCUUAGUGGAAAUAAUUGCUGGUAUACCAAGUGCUUCAUUUGGUUCUGCAUUGCACACUUUGCUGCAGAAAAUCGAUAAGGUGCUCAAGAGAUUUGGGAGCAACAUUAUCUUCUCCAACGGAAUGCGAGAUCCAUGGAGUCGAGGCGGGUGGGUCUAUAUGAUUUCUUUGCUGCCUGAGCAUUACUCGUGAUAGUUUGAGUCUUCCAUAUAACAGUUGUGUUGCAAUUGUAACCAGGGUGCUCAAGAACAUCUCAUCCAGCAUCAUUGCCCUUGUCACAGAGAAAGGUGAGCAAGAAAGUGAAGAAAAUAACUGUAAGACUGUAGUAGCAUUUUUAUUCUGAUUCACUUAUCAGCUACUUUUCAUGGUGAUCAGGGGCUCAUCAUUUGGACUUCAGAUCGGCAACGAAGGGGGAUCCUGACUGGGUUAUAGAACAAAGGAGACAAGAAGUUGAGAUCAUACAGGGAUGGAUAGAUCAGUAUCAUCAGGACAUGGCUGAAAUAUACUACUGAGAAGGUUCUAUUACAGUUACAGUCAAGGAAGACAAUAUAUUUGAUUUAUGGAAAACAAUAAAAUAAAAAAGGAAAAUUUCCUUCUUACACACGAUGAUUAACAGGGCAAGUUAAGAUAACAUAAGGUGAAAAGUCAAUAAGUUAUGUCACUGAACAUCACAAACUGUACGUUGUACUCAAAUGGUCUUGCACGAAUCAUGAAUGAAUGUUUCUUUCAUGAUCAGUUUCUAUUUCUGAAACUUCAUUACUUUGCUUGGCUACGAUUCUAAGAUAAGAAUGAACGAUGGCACUAUAUUAUUACUCACUACUUUCUUCUGUUUCUGGGAUACAAACCAGCCCUAAAUGUCUAAUUUCAAAGAAAAGAGCAGCAGUGCAUGGGACAAAAGAAAAAUAGAUCAAAUACAGCUUUCAAAUAGUUCAUGAAAAAUCUUACCGUAUGAUUAUCAACUACAUACAUGAAAAUUUUCAAUUACUUAGUUUUUUUAUCCCAAUAAAAGGCCUCUAAGAGGGACUAGGUGAUUCUAGAAAUAACACAGACCAAGUUUGUCAGUGUGGUACACCCACACCUCCUGCCACACUUAACACCACCAAGUUACAAGCUACAGCUGAUACAAACCACAACCUGCAUGAUUACAAUAGAUAAAAAUGGGAUUCCACUAAUGGCCUGCUCCAAGCUAGCCUACUACAAAUAGCACAAUUUUGCGCAGACAACAUGCAAGAGCCAUGGAUUGGUCAGCAGCUGGCCCUUAGAUUCAGAAUUUUACAUCACGGGGAUAACUCCAAGUUCCCAUAGAAGAAAGCCUCGGCAUUGCUGAGGAAAUCCGGCUGUGAGAAAAGAAGUUGAGUUAGAUAAGCCUCACUUAUGUAGUCAUCACUUAUGUAAGUUAGAAUCAGAAAGGAUCUUACUUGAUUAACCUAGUCACCAAACCUGCGGUCUCUCUUCAAAAGAAAUCCCAGUCAACAAGAAAAUCAUCCAUGUCACCAAUCGCCCCAUUCCGUGACUCGCUUGUUCCGGCAGGGAGUUCAUUAAUGUUAUUCACUUGAUCACCAACAAAUUGCUGAUCAACGGCGUGCCACCUUCACGGAGAUUUCCAGUUGCAGACCCACCAUUCGGCAUCUGGGUUGGCAUGACAGGAUUGCCUAUCUGAAGGCUAGAAAAUGUAGGUCUGAUGCUUGAGGAACUACCCAAAGUAGAGUUACCAAUUGGUACCACUGUAGAGCUUGCACUGCUUCCAGAGUUAAAUUGUGUCUCUGCCACCUGCUCACUCAAACCUACCAUUGGUGCACUUGUCCCCAUGAGUCCUGCCAUUUGGUUCUGAUAUUCAUUCAUAAAAGUUGGAACCCGGCUAGAGGAGGCUACAAGUCCUGAGAUCUGAUUUAUCAUGAUGCUGUUUGUAUGUGUUGGACCAAUGAACGUUCCAGCAAUAUGACCAAUAUCAGGGAACCUUGGUGGCACACCAUUUCUCCAGGAGCUGCUAGAGUUGAGAAGUCCAGCAAGCUGAUGAGGCUCCCUCGCAACUGGGUUGAAUAGGCCCACAGAAGAUGGCGGAAUCUGAAUUGAAGGCUGGUUCACCAAUUCAGGUGACUGCAGUGGUAAAUGAUCGGAAGGAGCUACUUGGUUGAAUUGUCCAGCAGAAGAUGACUGAGUAUGAACCGAAGGCUGGUUUGCAAACUCAGGUGACUGCAAUGGUAAAUGACUAGAAGGAGCCGACAUCUCACCUUUUGCUAUCUCUUCAAAGAAGUUGUCGGCAUCAAAAGGAAUGCCUCUGUUUGCCUCCAACAUCUUGCCACGCAAAAUGCUCGCAUAGGAAGUGCAAGAACGAGAUAAAGGAAAGUGCAUUCUGGUGCCCAAUAGUGAACCGUCAUUUGAGAUGCUUGCACACAUGAACUGCCAGAAGUAGCACAGUAGCUUGUGUUGAAUACCACAAUGUUUGAUACAUUUGUAGAGGAGCCACUUGAAUAUCCACUUGACUUUGUGGGCUGCACACUACGCGUUCCAACUGCAAAUGGAGAGUUCAUCCUUGUAAAUGGGUUGCCUGAGCUUGAAACGCCAAAUAAGGGAGAGGGUGGCUCGUGUAUACCAAGUUCCUUCUGAUGCUGGGAACUUUCUGCAGGCACACUGAUGUUGCCAUUAGCACGUAUCCCGCCACUCAGCCUUGCCUGUAGUUCUUCCAUGAAUGGAUUUGAAUGUUUGAAUGUGCCAUCAUUCAACUGUUUCAGGUAGAUACGGUAUUUCUGAAAUCACAAGAUAGACAUGGACAUUCUAUGAAGGAAACAAGAUUGACAAGGACCUAAAAUACUGAAAUUGUUUUGUUGUUUCAUUAAUUCCAGAAAUGUAUGUGCGAGUGCCCGGUUUCUGGUUUUGCUCACGUGCCAUCCAAAACUCAAUAUAUGUGUGUAUGCUAUUGCAAAUUUUAUGUGUAGUGGCACUUUUGUGGGUGUCACACACACAAGUUCCACAAGAUGUGUGUCACACACACAAGUCCCAUGAGAAGUGUCACACACACAAAUUCUGGAGACAUAAACACUUGAGUUUGAGAUGGCAGUUGUGGGCGAAAAAUAGUUUGAUCCAAAAAUAUAAUAAUAACAUAGUGGAUAGGAACUCAAACAUAGGAGUCAAACACAAGAGUAUAAACAAAACCUGCAAAUGACUUGCAAUGCAGUCUCUAGUAAGGCCAUCCACGUUCAUCACUUCCAGUAGCUUCUUUGGAACAGCCUCUGCAUUUACAUAAAAAAUGUUACUGUAAAUACAUUAACAGAAUAAUUAAGCUUCAUAGAAAAUCAAGGAAAAGUGAGUUCUUACUGUCCAAGCCAAUCUGAUCGAUGGCUUCCAAAAACUUGUGGUGUAGCUCACCGGACCACUGGAUCCUUUGCUUCUUCUGGGUUGACAUUCCGUCCUUGUCCCCUUUAGCACCAUUGCCAUCCUUUUUGUUCUUCUUUGAAUGCUUCCUGGUGUGGUUUGCACCAUCCUUCUCACUGUUCUCGCCAUGCCCCGAUUGCAACUUCGGACCAGCAGCAUCAUUACUACCACUGAUUUUAUUCAUUUGAUCAUUCUUCACACUCCUUCUUACCACAUUUUUUUUUGAAAUGGGGAUUACCCCGGCCCCUGCAUCAAUUGAUGCACAUAGCCUUUUUUAUUGCAUAGUUCAGAAGAUUUCAAAUAUUAUAAUCACGGAUCAGUCAAGGUUGAGGCAUGAAUCAACCAUCUAAAAAUAAACAGCAACAAAUAGCUAUCCAUUUGCAAUUCUCCUAUUGUGUUGCCACCCAGUAGUCUGGAAAUAGAAGUCAUGUGCAACCGUCAGCAGCUGGUUGCAUCCAGUAACCAUAGGCUCCCGCUGAUCUGCCGGGAGGAGGUGGGACCAUAAUUGUAUCCAGUGCACCACCAUACAAAUAACCUGCAAAAAGUUAGUACCCGUUUGUUUGUUAAAGAUAAAUUUAUUCAUGCAGUUCCAAAUUGACCAACAUAAAGCUAACACUCCAAAAUGUAUCCUAGCCUUAUUUUUCUUAUCUACCCUGUUAAACCAAUUUCCAAACAUAUUCUUAAUAUUGGAAGGGGGUGAUAUAUUAUAAGUGAAGCAAACUAUACGCCAAAUAAUACGGUCAAAAGGACAUGAUAAAAACAAGUGUUCAACGGACUCCAUUGAGUCACAAAAGCAACACUUUUGAUAUCCGUUCCAAUUUCGUUUGGCCAAAUUAUCUUUUGUUAACAUGACUUUAUUUUUAAGGAACCACAUGAAAAUCUUAACCUCCAGGGGCACUUUUAACUUUCAUAAGUAUUUAUGCAAGUAUCUCGUAUUACUAUUCAUGAGUUGGGAUAUAGAGACUUCACAGUGAAUUUACCGAUAGUAGUUAGUUUCCAAACAAACUGGUCCGGAUCAACAGACAAGUUAACCGUCAUUAGGCGCUGACAUAAAUGCAACCAUUCAUUCCAUUUAUUACCAGUCAAACCUCUUCUAAAAGCAAAAUUCAGAGGUGUUUGAGCAAGUACAUUUGCAGCACGAACAUGCUUGUGUCACACAAUAUUAUAUAAUGACGGAUAUUGUUGAGCCAAAGGUGUGUCACCAAGCCAAAAAUCUUCCCAAAAACGAAUGGAUUGUCCAUUUCCAAUUUUGAAAAAUCCAUGGGUGAAGAAUCCAUCCUUGAUCCGCAUCAGCCCUUUCCAAAAGGGUGAAUAAGUGGGUUUUGCCUCUAAUUGAGAAAGAGUUUUAUCCUUCAAAUAUUUGUUAUGUAACAAUUCUUGCCACAUACCUUGCUCGGUAAGAAGUUUAAAAAGCCAUUUGCUAAGUAAACAUUGAUUCUUAACCUCUAGUACUUCAAUACCCAAUCCACCUUGGUCUUUGGGGUGACACACAAUGUUCCAUUUUGUUAACCUGUAUUUUUUCUUAGUAUCAUUACUUUGCCAAAAGAAACAAGACUUGAAAAAAUCUAAACAUUUUCGAACUUCCUUAGGUAUCUCCAAAAAGGAGAGCACAAACAUUGGUAGGCUCGUCAAAACCGCAUUAAUGAGCACCAAACGAUCUCCAUAGGAUAGAAUUUUGCUUUGCCAACAUCCAAGUUUUGAAACAAAACGACUUUCCACUGGGUUCCACUCAGAAUUGCGCAAUUUUCUAUAAUGAAUAGGUAUUCCCAGAUACCAAAAGGGAAGGGAACCCGACUCACAGCCAAAAAUCUGUUUGUAUUGUUGUUCCAUCUCCUUUGCCUUACCAAAACAAAAAAAUUUCACUUUUAUGAAAGUUUAUCUUUAAACCUGAGAGUUGUUCGAAAUGCAUAUAAUUAGCUUCAUAUUUACAUCCUUUUCUAAAUCAUGCUCCAUAAAAAGUAUGGUAUCAUCUGCAUACUGUAAGAUGGAAACCCCUCCCUCCACCAAAUGAGGUAUGAGGCUCCCAAUUUGGCCAUCCUCCUUAGCACAAGAGAUAAGGAUAGCCAACAUAUCAGCAAUGAUGUUGAAAAGCAUUGGAGACAACGGAUCACCUUGUCUUAAUCCUUUUCUUGUUUGGAAAUAAUGGCCAAUGUCAUCAUUUACCUUUAUUCCAACACUACCACCUUGCACGAAUUUUUUGAUCCAUUCACACCAUAGUGGAUCAAAACCCUUCAUGCGAAGUACUUGUUGCAGAAAAGGCCAUUUCACCUUAUCAUAUGCUUUUUCAAAAUCAAUUUUGAAAAGCACACCAUCUAACUUCUUACGAUGAAGCUCAUGAAUGGUUUCGUGGAGAACGACCACACCUUCAAGAAUGUGUCAUCCUGGCAUAAAGGCAGUUUGUGUAGGUCUAAUCACCUUAUGUGCCAAGUUCGUAAUGCGAUUAGUAGCUACUUCAUUGAAAAUUUUGAAGCUAACAUUCAGAAGGCAAAUUGGUCUAUAUUGUUGAAUUUACACCGCAUUCUUUUUCUUAGGUAAAAGAGUAAUCACCCCGAAAUUCAAUUUGAACAAAGGUAACUCUCCGGUUUUUAAUUGGUCAAAAAGUGCCAUUAGAUCAUUUUUUAUGACAUCCCAAAAUGAUUGAUAAAACUCCAUCGGAAACCCAUCUGGUCCUGGAGCCUUAUUAUGCUCCAUUUGAGAAAUAGCAUAAAAAACUUCUUUCUCAGUAAAAUCAGCUAUUAGAAGCAUAUUCUCUUCAGCCAACACUUGAGGGAUAUCAUCAAUGCGCUCCUCCAUCAAAGAGAAACUAUUUUUUCCAGGCUCACCAAAGAGUCUUUUGUAAUAAUCUGAAAUAUAAACUCUUUCUUACCACAUGCAUCCAUACGUUCCUAAAUUGUUCAAGGCGUGUUGGCUUCAGCAAGUAGUCACAUGCGCGGUACUUUACUCCCUUCACCAUAAACUCCCUUCUCAUCGUUUGCAGAUAUUACUGCAUGAUAUAAGAAUAUAAAGGCAAUUAUGAAAUGCACAAGUCAAUAAUCUCGAUAGAUUGGAAAUAAAAUAAUCAAGUGGCCUUUAUGUUUUUAAUUUGACACAUCCCCCUUUCCUCAUUUUCUUUGUACCUUUCAUUUUACAUGAAACUACAAAAGGCAUUUAAACACUACAACAACAAAAUUCAUUAUCUAGUUUGAUAGGACCUAGUGCUUAAUUAUGAACCAACAGGUCCUUCAAAAAAAUUAUGAACCAAGAGUAAUGCAUUACAAAUAACAAAAAUCAUUUGCACAUAGGGCUUACAAAUAACUUAUUAAACUAAAAAUGACAUCUAAGUGGUCAGCUUGACACCACCUAGAGCUUACGAACAAAUGGUAAUGUACAAAACCAUAGAUGGUAAAACAUUAAUCAUGUGCGGGCGCUUAUGAACAAAACAUAAAUUAUGGAACUAAAAAUGACAAAAAUUAAGUGGUCAUCUCGACACCCCUAACACUAACGAACAAAUGGCAACAUUUAAAACUACAACAACAAAAAUUCAAUUUCAUGUAGAAUAACUUAUGAACAAACCAUAACAUGUGAUACUAAAAACAACAUUAAUUAAGUGAUCGGCUUAACAACUAACAGGGGCAAUUAUCAUUCAAAACUAAAAAUUUCAAAAAAUUGAUCUCAUGUAGGGAUAACAAACUGUAACUUAUAUGGAACUAAAUGGACAACAUUACGUACGUGGUCAACUCGAUAUCAUGUAACACUUAUGAACAAACAAAAACGUACAAAGUUGCAAGCAAUGACUGCAUGGAGGGCUUUCAAGCAAAGUGUAACAUACAUGAAACUAAAAAUGACAACAUUAGUAGUCAUUUGAAACCAUCUACCUCUUAUGGGUAAAGAGUAACACACAAAAGUAAAAAUGAAAAAAGUCAAUUUUCGUAUAGAACUUAUGAACAUAGUGUAACGUGUGAAACUAUAAACAACAAACAUAACCAGUUCUUUUUUAUUCACAGAAGAAACACAAAAUUGAGCAGUAGCUCGACUACGCCUAGGGUUACAAGCAAAUAGUAGCACAAAAGGUACAUAUAUAACAACAAAAACUUGCAGUUACUAUUAGCUUGAUUGUAACCAAAGAUAUGCAUCCCAAAAUCAGGUCUUAUCAACAUUCAUAAUAAUCAAUCGAUCUACCAGAUAUCACACGCCAACAGGGUGUAUACAUGAUCUAUUCAGUGAGUAUCUCCAAAACCAUAUCCAAAUUAAAACAAGUAGUACUGCUACUUCUCAUGACUGCUACUCUAAGCCUAAGAAGGAUCAGAAGAUUCCCAGGCACAGAAAUUGUAGCUAAGUUUAAGCAAGGGUUUAAAGUCUUACAAAUGACUGGGAUAUCCAUCUCCAGGCUGAUGUGCUCGAGGAGCUUGAAGCCAUCAAUGUCAUCCACCAUGAAGAUGUCGCUGAUAACCAGGUCGAACUGGUCAUCCCUGGCCUUCCUCUCUCUGAGCAUGUCCAAAGCUGUCGUCGUGUUGGUCACCGUUGUCACUGCAUGGUACCACAAGAAUUCCAUCAAACAGAGAGGGAAAAAGAUCGCCAAAAAAGUUUGUCAUCUGGCCUCGACCUUGAUCACAGCUGAAUCGGAAAAAAAAACACUAACCUUUGUUGUAGUUGCAGAACUUUAGCUGUCUCCUAAGGAGCAGAAGGCCGGCACGAUUGUUGUCGACGGCGAGCACUUGCAGCCCUCUGGGAACUUGUCCACGUCCAUCUCUUUCCCAUCGAAACGAAUACGAUCAGCACCAAGCAAGGAACCGCAAAACACCAAAAUGCCCUCAAAAAUCCGAGAUGAACACCGAGAAAACACCCAGCAACCCAAAGAGAUUCGAGCUUUCUUACCUGCUGCAAUGGCUUCCCUGCAAGAACCUCUGGAUUGAAGCAACACGAGGAGACCAAAGAUGGGAGCAAUCCGAAUUCGAGGUGAAGGGAAAUGCAGCAUGGGGGAGGGGGAUUUAUAGCGGGGGAAUGUCGUACUCCCCAUGGGGCUUCAGAGAUUGGAAGUGUGUUCAUCCUUGUGUGGGAUUCCUUGGCAUUAAUUUCUACUUUCAAUUUUUGCCACGCUGAUUGAGUUCUUUGCCACCCAGCAAGCACAAGCGAUGACCAACCCUAGCAUUCUUGCCACCCUUGCAGCUAGCCAACACAGGAUACGUUGCUUCGAGUAGUGCUAGGUCCAUUGCAAAUGUGAGAUAUCCCGUAGACGAGAUACAAGUGGAAACACCAUGCAGGUUGGUGAUACCUUAUGGAAGGAAACAAAAUAAGUUUUGAGAGGUCGCAACCGGCAUGGCAGUAAUGGCUCAUGUGUUCCCAAAGGAACCCCGCCAGAAUAUUCUUGGGUGCAAGUUGUUACUAUGUUGGAUGAGUCGUGCGAGCUUGACAUCCCUACUGAUGAGGGGAUUGAGGUUCUCGGUGAUGCGAUGAACUAGUACAUACUGUGGUAUUACCGAGAUAUCGUUCUAAAUAUUAAUGCAUCAUCAGAAACCUCACGGCCGAACCAAGAUGAACCCAUGGUACAGUCAAAUGUUGACACGGCGUAGCCGACGCAGUCACAUGUGCAGGUAGCUACUACUAAGGGCGAGCAGCCGACUCAGUCACAUGUGCAGGGAGCUACCAAUGAGGGUGAGCAGCCAAUGCCGCUAUCACCUAUUCUAGAAGGUCUCACUGAGGAGGAAUGGACUUCGUUUCCCCAAGGCGAUGAUCCAACAUCGUCGAGGCCACCAUCUCCACCUCCCGAGAGGCCACCAUCUCCACCUCCCCAGCCGCCAGCGGUACCUCGUAUGGUUAGGACAUAUGAUAAUAAGGAUCCAUCGACACAAGUCGACAAGUUCUUAAACGUACUGAAAAAUAAGGCUUCAUCUUCUGAUGAGAAAUCUGUAGCUUGCAGCCCCUCUCGGUGAAAGGAAAUAGAUGAAGGCCUCAAUUUCUUUGCAUCAGAUGAAGUCCCAGAUAAAUAUGAGCAUGGCAAACCAUUCUUGUAUCGGUGAGAUCUGCUGGAGGGCCCAUGGGAACUCAAUAAGCUGCAUGGAUGGAUCAUGGACGCAAUGGAGCAAGGCAUUCGAGCAAUCCCCGCGCGUAUCCCAAAAAAGAUUUUCCUUGGCACUUGGGAUUACGAGAUUGUGAUUGAUUUUGAUGAUUUGCACAAACUUUACUGUCAUCAACACCUCGACGUCCAGCUCAUUCAAACAUGGUGCUUGUAAGUCCACAUGUACCGCAUACACAAUUUUUACGUACAUACAUAUAUAUUUUAUAUGUCUAGUACCUGAACGACUACCUAUUCUGCAGGAUGCAAUGGAAAGAGGAAGAAUUGACGAACGGUAGGUACUCGGUAGUGUACCUUGACCUAGCACGAAUUAGCGAGCCAGAGCACAGGUUCAAAUUGAAUGAAAGGGUCAAAGCAUAAAUGGAAGCAGCACAGACACAAGCGGAGAAAAAUGCUAUAAAGGAAAAAGCCCACAAAGAAGAAAUGCACAAAGUGUCCAUGUAGAUUGAAGAGUUAUGAGGAAAAAGGCUCACAAGUAGCAGAUCAUGGGGGCUUACAAUUUUCAAUAAGCUAGCUAGUUUAAAUUACUAUUUAUAUACUUGGUGCUAAUUAAUACCAUCUAUAAUAUAAAUUAUUCUAAUAUAAUGCAGAGAUCACUGGAUUUGCAUCUGUAUUUACCCCAAGCUUAGAUUUGCAAUGAUCUUGGACUCAACCAGAUUUACCAAAGAUAGUUACAAGGAAUUCCUAGGUAUUGUACAAAAGUAAGACAUCCCUUGGAAGUAAUGCAUGUUGAGAUUCUAUGCGCCUAAGUUGUAUUACUAACUCUUGUCUUUAUAUCCUCAAAGUGCGCACAGGCUUUACGUACUGAUAGGCGGGGAAUGCCCUGAAAACAGGAAGAAAGUGAUGAAAAUAAUAACACAUAGAUGGGUAGGAACAUAAAAACUUCCUAAUGGUAAUACAUCCUAAUCUUCAUUUACUUUAUACCUGCAGAUGCCUAGAAUCGACACUCGUGAUGCGGCGCUCGAAGACAGAGGCAUUGCCAACAUUUGUAGGACAUGACGAGGUUCAUCCAACAGAAGAUUUGUCAUGAGGAUGGAGAAUUCUUUGAUCCAAAUGGCGUGUUGGUGGCGGACGAAUGCACACGUCUUCGUAGAUGGACCAUAGAUGGACAAAUAGCUCUAUUCCAAUUGUUGAAUUAUGUGAAUUAUCUAUCAUGUACGAUGCAGUUUUUAAUAAUAUGAAUUAUUUAUUAUUUAAGUUCGUUGUUACGUGGUUGGAGAUACAUUUUUAAAUUUGGCAGCUAAAAAUUGGCGGAAAAUAGAAAUUAUAAAUAAAUCACGAAAAAUAAUAUAUAGGGUGGGAAAAUAAAUAUUCUUGGCGGGUGGGGCGGGUGGCAUAACCAUCCGCUAGCACAGAAAGCCUCUGUGCUGGCAGGCGAGCACCCGCCAACAAUUGGUAGGUGCUCAGCCCGCCAGCACAGAGCCCUUUUAGUCGCCAGCACAAAUCUUUUAUGGCCUGGUGAGUGUUCAUCCUUGUGUGGGAUUCCUUGGCAUUAAUUUCUGCUUUCAAUUUUUGCCACGCUUCCAUCACCAGCCUGCUCGCUUUUCUCCUCUCUUCUGAGCUUGUGGCUAUAGUCCGUUACUACUAAAUGAAA